CCUGCAUAUCUAGUAAAACAACCUACACAGAGAAAAUGAUAUACAAGUAUCUUGAGAAGCACAAGGAGGCAGAACUCUGGGAUUGCUCAAGAAGGUAUUUUGUAACCACCCACUCUUUCCUGGAUGAGUUUCAUGCAGAAGAUACACCGCAAAUCUGCUUGUCCAGUUGCCAAUCUUUCAUCUACAUUUUCCGCCUUUGUUUCUGUCGUUGCAGUCAUCAGACAUCUAAGGUUGCAUCAAGGGAGAUCCACCAUCAAGAUGUUGACACUUUCACUGAGCGACACCUGGAAACAUAUAGGAUACAAUGUCUGAGUGAAACUGCAAGGAGAAAAAGCAUUUCGGCUUUCAUUUCAGCACGAAGGGACUAAUAAGAAAGAAAAAUGUUCAUUCACAGAACUGAUUGAACUAAGAUAAACGUUGACCGAUCUGUCCUCAAAAUUUAGAGUGGCUGCACAAACCUUUUAGGUAAAGAAGGAAUUGCAACUGCAUUUUAAGUAAACAAAUACUGGAUCCUUUGUAGCUGAAAACAGGCAUACAUGAACGAUAUUCCAGCAUCUUGUUAUAAUGAUGGCAGUCAUCUUAGAAUGACACCAUCUCCACCCAGAAAUUUUCCACUAUUUCCAGAACUUACUUUCAUUGGGAAAACAUAUGUAAACCAGGUAUUUAUCAAACAAUAUCAAGCUCAAAAUAAAGAACCAGGCAGCCACUCUCCUUCCCCAGUCUGUCAUCUCGCGCGACACAAAUACCCCAAAAUCCAGCCUCCCCCAAUCCUAGGUGCUAAGAAUGGAAGCGCAUUGAGUUCGGGUUCAAAUCCUAGCCAAAUCCUCAUAUGGGAUUAUAAUGGCAUUUUGGAAGAGAAAACCCUAUGGGGUUUUGGGGUUUUGCUUUGGGCUGAGUUUGGAAUCUAGAUGGACGGUAUCCCAAAAAACCGAACCAAACUAUUCAUACUUAAAAAAUAUCAUUAAUCUCAAGCAAUUCACCACUUCUAUAGGCAAUUAUCGCUUACUUUUGUAUUAAUAUGUCUUUUAUUUGGAUACUUAAAAGAAUCACAUCAAUUGAGUUUCAGAUUCCCAAUUACUUCUUCAGGCCGGCUUUAGCACUUCCUCUCAAAAAGCGUAGGGUGCUGAGACAUUCUGCGCGUGCAAAAAAAGAUUACGAAUUAGAUUCGCUCCGUGGCAAACGCCUACCGAUGGAAAAGGAGCACAGCUCGGUCGCUGACGUACCUGUUUGCUUCUGGCGGAGGUUGAGCGCCAUGGCUGCCGGAAGCUGCGUUCAGCUCGAGCUUACGAGAUGGAGAAGAGAGAGUGGAGAUUCGUGCAGGAGAUCAUUCGCCGCUCCGGCGGUCGCUUCUCCCGAGCAUUCGGCCUCGAUCGCGAUCUGGAGACAGUAGCAGCGUCCAUGGGAAACGUUGCCGACAAGAUGACGAGCCGGAUUUGCAGUCGUGCUUUCGUAAUGGGCUCGAUCGGUUCGGCCUGAUUUGGGCCGAGCGAUUUGUCCGGCCCAUUUUGCGGCCCAAGUGAGAGAUGGCCCGUUGAGCAGUGAUUUCGGUAGACCAGAUAAAUUCCAUCAUAUCUAUGGUUUGGCGACAUCUCUAGAUGGGACGAACCUGGAUAAGGCCGGAUGAUACUAGAGAUAACUUCACUGGGCCUAAGAUAUGGGAUUGAUCCAAAUUAGAUAAGAGAAAAGAAAAUGGUUAAAAACAGAAUGGGACUACCGUCAUAAUUACGAUGGUCGUUGGCAUUGGAUAUGAUCUCAUCAUCGUUAUAUUCUAAAAUUUUCCAAACAAAAUAUAGGAUAUGAGCAAUUGGAAGUUAUCUUACCCUAUUUGAAUCAUAUACGUUAUGACGGUUCAAGUCAAGAACGGAACCAGCACGUUUCUUCCGGAAAAGGUCAAUAGGAAAGGGCCGGGAAAACUUUAGGUGUUUCCAUAGUAAGACAUUCUCGUCUUUGAAAGCUAAUUAGUGGGUAUCAAGUGCUACGUACUUUUCUAUUUCCCAAAAAUAUCAUACUUGUAAUGCGAUGACUAAUUUGGACAUAUGAGAUCAUUAUUUUCGUUAAGCAUGGAACAAAAAUUACUCUCUGAGGUUUGAAUUAGAGGUCCUUAGAACAAACCAAAUGUACAAACUAAAAUAAAUUGAUUUGACCUAAUGUAUAAUCACACUUGACUUGAAGUUGAGGUUUCAUUUUCCUAGAGCUUUAUUUUUGAACUUUCAGCUUGAGCUUAACUCGUUAAGUAUUAUAUGUCUCAAUACCACCCUAUCUAGACACGACUUAGAUAUUAAUUUCUAUCAUGAAACUUAAGCUCUAGCUCAAAUUUCAUCAUCAAAUGAAAACUACAACUGAUAUGAUUUUUUCUUUGUCAUAUGGAAACUCAUUCGUGUAUUUAACAUAGAACACAUUUGAAUGAAUGAAAUUAAGCUUUAUAAGUUAUUAAAAAUAACUUAUUAGGAAGUUUGGGGCCAAUUCGGUUUAAAUAUCAGGGCCAAAUUAGGCUAGGGAGCUCUUGAGCAAUUCAAGUAAAGCAUAAUCAAUCUCAUUUUGACUCCAUCUGAUCCUCGAAUCACUUGUACUCAGGUCAAACUUAGCAAGAGCUGAAGAAUCUCCGUUCAUUAAUAAGUCGGGACAAUAGUCAUGAUUGGGCCUUGGAUUUCUUUCUAAAGUUUUGGCUCUAGUAACUAAUGUUGACACAUGAAUUUUGUUAAUAUCUUUAUUUGGUGAACCAAAACCAAUGAUUUUGGUAGUGACCGAACACUAGGGAAAAUAAAAAAGUUUAGAGUGAAUGUAUCAUAUAUGUACAAGUUAUAUUAUUUUAUAUCAUAAAAAAGUUUAGAGUAAAUGUGUUAUAAUGAGUAUAGAGUUUAGGAUAAAUGUAUCAUUGAUGCGCAUUGUUUAGGAUCUUUUAUGAUUUUUUCUCUUUCACUUAAGGCUAUAUUUGUUUCACGGAAUAUUUUCCAUAAUUUUUUGUGUUUGGGGUGUAAACUUCUUAAAAUUGGGAAAAAUGAUGUCCAUUUCUGAAAAAAGAAAAUCAUUUUCUCCCCCGCCUCUCGUCCUCGUCUCCUCCUCCUUCCUCUCGUCCUUUCUUCAGAGCUUCUCCAUCUUUCUCCCACGAGUCUUUCUCUCGUCCAAUUCUCUGGAGCUUCUUCGUCUCGUCCCUCGUCUCCGGAACUCCUCCUCCUGUGCCGCCACCGCAGCCGCGGUGUGCUUCUCUUCUAGAUAGCAGAGUAGAGAGGGCGUUCCCGCCGUUGUUUAGUCAUCCUUCACAGUCCCAAGUCAAUCAUCGGGCGAUUUGCUGAAGUUUCGCGUCCACUGAUAUCUUGGAAGUCCAAAUUGUAGAUCCAGGUCGGUUUCCACCCCCUCGUCUCUGAGCAAUUCUCCAAUGUCGAGUGCAGUUCCGUCUUCAUUCACGUCGAAUCGGCUGUGUGUUCGUUGUUUAUCGCGGUACUUCACUUGCUCUCUGGUGGGGGUUGAGUUGAACGCAUUCAACAAGAAGUAAGUUACAAAUGAUUCAGAAGUAGUCGCCUGUUGGGGCAUACUUUCUAGGUCGCCACAUAGGGCAACCGCGUGAGCACUCCGGCAUUUUCAUGAUGAGACGAAUGAUGGACAUGCAAAUCUUUCUCCACAACUUAAAGCCGGAGUUCACUGCAUCUGGCCUAUGGAAGAUGAUUCAUGCAAUGAUUUUCUCAGAUGAAAGUAAUAUGUCACGGUGAUUUCAUUUCCUGGGAUGGUGCUAAUCACCGAGCCACCUAUUGAGUCAUUAACUUCAACUCCUCCCCAGGUGUUUUGAAUCUUGAGGGAAGAAGGUGAAUAUGUUCACAUUUGACAGAGCCCAGUGCAAGGUUUUCUUUUUGAAAAGAAACGUUCAGCUCUUCUCUGAUCAAUGGAAACUUAACGCCCGCCGAAGCAAUUGAGUAAUGGUCCACUUGCACAACGCGGAGUUUUCUAAUACCUUUGUGGUGCAAAGUUUGUUGAUUAUUAUUUUGGUUGGUUGGGUUAAUGUUCGCUUUGUUUGCACGUUUAUUUAUGGUCUAGGGUGGCAGAUGGUAAUUGUGAAACUUUUUAGCUAUGAAAGCUAUUGAAAGCAUUUGUUCGUCGUACUUAUAGGUGUUCACAUGAUUAAAGGUUGAAGUUUGUUUGUGGGUUGUGUUUGAGUUGAGUGAGAGGUCAAGAGGGUUUGAAGGCAUAGGGAGGGAUUGCUAAAGUGGCUGAAACAGAAAUGAGGAGCUGCACUUUCCCAGAGCUUAGCUGCAUUCACGUCAAAUUCAUUGGCACGAAUUGGCUCUCUUAUAGAGUGCUAGGCAUAACCGAGCAGGUAAAUUUGGAAAGCAAUUUUUGGUAGAAAUUGAUAUUUCUUGGUCGUUUCUGGCUCUUAUUGAAAAGAAGCUACUUUGUAUAAUCAUAAGCAAAUAUAUUUGUAGAAAUUGAUGUUUGCUGGUUCAUAAGUUUAGUUCCACCUUCGUGUAUGCUUUGCUUACAUCUUUGAACCUGACCACCCAAUUCUUGAGUGCAUAAUGUUUCUCAAUUUGUGAAUUGAUGAUUCGCAAAUAUUCCCAAAUGCUGCUCUAAAUUGAUAACUCUUAAACAUGGCAACUAGUGUUUGUGAAACAAUCUUCUCAGUUUUAAGUAUAGUUGUGACUUGGCAAUCACGUUUCUAUCAAUGUGUGUUAGAAUUUAAUAGGAACAUGGAACUUACAAUUCAUUGUGCAGAUGGAUAAUGAUAAAAUCCAAGUGGCAGUAGUGGGUGCCGCUGCAGCAGCAAUCAUGACUGUUAUCACACUAGUCAUGGAUGAUUAUAAUCAUUUUGAGAUGGUCAUAGCUGAGAAAAACGAAAUCUAUCAAUAUGUGACGGUAAGUUUUUUCAUCACUUGUCAUGGGCCAUGUAAAUGCAAUUCUUUUUGUCUUCUUGUUUUCUUUUUUCUUGUGAAGGCAAAAGAUGUCUAGCUCUUUUCCUUUCGGUUUUAGCUCAAAGUGAGAAGUUCCUGCAAUUUUAGUUGAAUGCUAUGGCACCACGAUUGUUACUGCUUGUAUUUCUAGUUGGAAUAAUCCCAUUAAUAGUUUCCUUUAUUCAAUCUGCAGUUUCAUAGUAUUGUUUGGAUGCCUUCUUCUACUGGAAAUUUUACUAUAAAUAAGGCGUGGGGGGUAAAAAUCGGAUCUUCACCUGCUAAAGUGCUGGCAUCAGCUGGUUUGGUUCGAUUCAGACAUACCAAUACACAGUCUUAUAUGCUGGCUUGUUAUUUCAAAUAUGCUGCCUACUAGAUUGAUCGAAGGAGGAGAAUCCUAGGAAGGGAAUCCUUUUUUAAUGAUGUUUGCAUUCUCUGUGGAUCUUUCCCUGAAUGUAGUAGGGGUCACUUGUUUUCUGUAUGUGAUAUUUCUUUUGAAGUCUGGAGCAUGGUCUGUACUUGUUGUGGUAUUCAAAGAAUUAUGCAGAGUUGGCUUGAAGAGUGGCAGUGGAUUUGGGUUAGUUGGAAGCGGAAAGCUAUAUCUAAUGUUUCUUGUAAGAUUUCAUGGUGUCCUGUUAUUUAUCACAUCCAAUAUAUGAGGAAUACGAGGUUUCAUGAUGAUAAUUUUAUUGUUUCUAGUAGUGGUUUUAUGUUCAAAAUUUAAAGAUCUUGCCCUUUUUGUUUCGAUUGACCUUUCAUAGAUAAUUUGCAUUGACAGGUCCAUCCUUUACAUGAAAAGAGGUCUCAUAAAAGACAAAGAUGUGCUGACAAUAAUGAUAAGUAUGCAACACUUCCAAAACAACUUGGAGAAAUAGCAUCAACAAUUAAGUCGUCGGGUCAAGUCAAUGUUGAUUACUCCAGACUCUACAACGUGGUGAUGAAAGUGGAUGGAUAUGAUGAAAUUACCCUUCAUCAGUUUUUGACUAUCUAGUUGAGAAUGACAAAAUGGGAAUGGCGUUCAUGGUGAAAAGUGCAAAUCUUCAAAAUGUGUGGAUUGAGAAAUUCCUAAGCAAAGGAGAAUAAGCUUUCAUGUCAGAAGACUUAUAUGUGUUCUAUCUUUUUAUUUUGUUAUUGUUAGUAUUGUGAGACUAUUUUUAUAGCAUGGAUAUUUUUGGGCAUGCAUUUUUGGGAAUUUUAGGGGGCAAUGUCUAUGCAUCAAAUACAUGAAUAGGAAGGAAUGUCUUGUAUAUAUCCACACAGAAUGAGAAUGUGUUGUGUCCACUUCUUCCUUCCGUUCUCUGUCAUUUCAAACAUUUUUACUUGUUUCAUGUUUGUCAUGGCCAACCUUUCUCCUGUGGCGGAUGGAAGAUCUCUCAUACACUUGUCAAAUUGUCUAUAUGUUUAGGUGAAGAGAUGAAUUUUAACGUCUAUGCAAAUCAAUUUACUCAUGGACCAACUUUCUUAUGAUUAAAUGGGGCUUGAAUAAAUGAAAUCUGAUAACUUUCUACAAAAAAGUUGUUUAGUGUUGCUGGGCUCAGGACCCUGAUAAUGUUUUGCGCUAUGGCUCAACGAACCUCGGGCCACAGUGCAUGGAGGCAUGGACACAGGGUUUGGCGCUUGUCCUCGAUGGACCUGAGCCUGAGCUUGGCCUAUAGACUUGGAUCCAUAGAGGCCGGGCUUAAGACCCUUGUGCCCAUGCCCUGUCCCUUUCCGGUAUCUAUCCAUCCAAGAAAAAAAAAGUAUUUUCCUUUCCAAAGAAUGGAAAUUUUUUACUUUCCUUUUCAGAUUUCAAUCAAACAUCAAAAAAUAUGGUCAUUUCACUAGAAACUGACUUUUAGAAAAAUAUUUUCAGAAAUGUCACAUUUUUAGGAAACAAAAUGGAGCCUAAGAUGGCAGUACUUAGUCAAUACAAAGAAAACUGUUGACACCUAAAUUUUGGAUAACCCAUUUAGUCAUUUAUUGCAUAAAAAUUGGGGAUUAAUUUUUAACCCCUAAAAAAUAUUAUAAUUCAAUCGCAUAGCAUAUAAUUUUUAGGUGCAUUUAUUUUUAAUUUACAUGUUUUGCAUUUUUUAUUUAUUUUUAGGACCGGUGGUGGAUGGAUUCAAAUUUUAUGUUUUUGAGCUUUAGUUCAGUAGGCCGGGCUAGGCCCAUGAAAUGAUAAAAUUAACCCAAGCCCGUCGUUAUUUUUAAUUGAUUAUCUUGCGAAAAAUUAAGAUUUGAUACAAUAUUAUGAUGAUUUUUGAAAAUUAAAAAAUCGCAUUAUAAUCUUAUCUUUAUCGAUAGAUGAUGAAAUCGAGGAGAAUAUUUGAAAAUAAGAGGACUUUGGGUGACCAAGAGGUUAUAGACAAUCUUUUCGUUGGAUGAAAUAUUCACAUAAGGAUUGCAUUUCGUUUCUACCUAUAAAAAGCAAUCAGGUACAUUGAGUUGAGGGGGCUUCUCUCGGUUUGAAAGGAAAAGAAAACAAAAGUCAAAAAGCGAAAGGAAGAGAAAAAAAAGUAAAAAAAGCUUUUGCUUCUUUGACCGAAAAAGAAGAAAAAGUGAAGAGAGAGGGGAAGUCGUCGUGAAUAGGAGGGGAAAAGUACUGAAACAACAGUGAAAAGGAGAAGCGGCGUGUGACAGAAAAAUUACUGUUCUUCUUCAACCUUUUGCCGGCGACUCUCCUGCCAAAGCCGCUGAUCACCCUGCCCUGCGCUCGCGACCCCGCCUCGCGCUCGUGACAUCGCCACCGUUCCGACAGUCGCCUGAAGCUCAGUCCCAUUGAUUGCCGUCCAAGAAAGUCCGAUGCCUCAGCCCAUCCAUCUCCGUGAGCCCUCGCUUCAGCACUGCGACGCCGCACAAACCGGCGCCCCUGCUCGCGGACAGCACCGCUCCCUCCGUACCUCCGAGUGACCCGUAGGAGCCCGUCCCGUCGCGCUCGCACUUGAUCGUCGACGCCGCGCAUCCAUCUCUCCUUGCUGCCCCGCCUGACGCCGAGCCUCCGCCGGAGCAUCCCGCGCCAGAUCUGGACACCCUUCACCGCGCGAUUACCGCCGUUCACCGCACCAGCAACCGAACGGUGCUCCCUGGCCUCGCCUGAAUCGCGACGCCUGCUGCUCGGAGCCAAAGACCCGCGAUCCACCUGCUGUUCGGAACCGAAAACCCGAGUCAGAUUGGUAUCCCAUCGCCGCGUCUCCGCCUGCAUCCCUUCGUCCGAGCACCGGCGCCACAGCAACUCGCCUCUCGCCGCGCGUCUGCUGUCUCCUCACGAAGCCUGCCGGUCGCCGUCCUUGAAGCCUCGCCGGAGCUCUGACGAUCACCCCCAAACGUCGGCGACUCCUCACUGGACCGGCCACCACGUGCUGCUUUGCUCAGAAGAAAAGAAAAAAAAAAAGGAAAAGAAAUUAGGUAGUUUUAUUUCAUUUUCUAUUAACUUUAUUUUAUUUGUUUCUUUUAAGUUAGUUGUUAUUGUGUGAAUUUGAAGGGAUUUCAUUUCAUGAAUUUUGUAGGCAUUAUCCAUAGGUCUUCCCCAUAAUUAUUAUAAUUAUUAAUUUGACCCGUAAUAUGUCGGGUCAUUUUUUUAAUUAUUUUAAUUCUUGGAAUUUGUUGAUAGUACUUUAAUUGUUGAAUCAAUAUAACUAUUAAUUUGAUCCGUAAGAAUUCAGAUCAGAUUUUUAAUUAUUUUGAACUAUUUGUCGUGAUAAUUAGGAUUAAGAUAAUUGUUAAUUUGACCUGUGAGACAACAUGUUAUUUAUUAUUAUUUUAAUCCUUUAUUUAAUUGAAUAUCUUGAUUGUUUAGAUUUAAUGUUUAGUUGAUAAUUGCUUGUUUUUGAAAACCACUAAAAAAAUCUAAAAAAAAUAUUUGAAUUAGGAUUCAGUUUGUUUUGGAAUAUUUCUUGUUAUCUUGCAUAUCUAGAAUAGGGAUUUUAUUCCGAAUUUAGAAAGAUAUAAAAAACAAAAAAAUGCAUUCAUUUAGGUUGUUAGUUUUAACAUUAUUUGAAUUACAUGAAAACACAAAAAAAUCAUCAUGCAUAUAUCAUGUUGAAUUAGGGCAUUCUUUGCACGUAAUUGCUUGUCAGGAUUGCAUGUUUAUCAAUUAUAGGUAGAUAAUCUCUCCUAGAUAAAUUGCAUGUUUUUGUUAAGAAAAAUAAAAAUGUCAAUGUCAUAUAGAAUUAAGUCCAUGAAAUGCACGUCAUUUUAGUGAUUAUUGUUAGGUUCAUUUCUAAUUGGAAAUUGCCCGUCGUUAGAUUAGGUCAUUUAAUAAAUGUCGCGUGACAUAGCUCGCAUAUUAAAUUGUAUGUCGCAUGUCAUUUUAGUUUAAAUAAUUUUGUAUGUCAUUGCAUCGUAUUACAUGUCAUUAGAAUUAGGUCAUUUAGAUUGCAUUUAAUUAUUGCAUUUCUUCAUGUCAUAUAGUCUAGGACGUGUCGCCAUGUCAUAUUAGAUUAUUAGCAUGCAUCGCAUGAUUUUCAUUAAAUAAAGUGAAAACAAAAAUUGAAAUUGCGUGUUGAUUAGAAAUCAUAUCUAAGGCUGCUGAUGUGAAUUUUGAUUUAACAAUGCAGACGUUUUCGUUGCUUCUAGGUAUGUUUUGCAUUAUUUAAUUGCUUUCUUGAGUGUUAAAUUGGUAGUAUGCGCAUAUGUAUGAUCACCUCACAUGUUAGGAAGUUAAAUUAAAAUCAAUUCAAUUGCCAAACAUUUUUGAAAAAAAUGAAAUAAAAAUGUAUCGAAAGGGCACUAGAAUAGUCUGGUGUAACCAAGUGCCCGAACUCAUGAAUCUCUCGUUCGUAGGAGUACUUGGGUUUCUAAUUGACCCACCAAAAAUAGAUUAGUGGCGACUCCUGAUUGAAAAUCAUUUGCAUGUUAAGAAUUCAAACCUGAGUUGCGAAUUGGUAUGGGCUUGGGAGAUCCCGAGCUAAGCUUAAAGACUUAGUAAUCCUUUAACCUAGUUUUAGGUGUUGAACCCCAAAAAUUGGGUCGCGACAAAAACCUUAUCACAUAUGAGAUGGUUUCAUCACAUAAGGUAUUACUCGUGAGUCGUGACCGAGCACGGGUCUCCUAAUUGCACCGAAGUUUCCUUAGAGUGUGAAGAACUCAACACACGAAGACGGCAACGACUACAACUCUACAACGAAUGUCUGAAAGUGCUCUCGGUCAAUUGGUUAACUUAAAUAAAUACCUGCUUUAUUAGAUUAUUUGAACAUUCUUUUGUCGUUUGUCUCAAACAAGGAAAGUCUCAACAAUGAGUUCGUAGGCAUGGACAUCUCAUGGACUUAGGUUGUGUGAAGAAUUGGUACAUGUUUCCUUAGCGGAUUCAAAAUUGCGCACGUCUACUUAGUCAAUAAUUAAGUAGUUACCUGCAGCUGAGGGCAAAAUUCUAUUGUUCUAUGCCAAAAGUUUGACUUCUCAUCUUGAUAAAUUUCAAUAAGUGAUGGUAAUAGGGUCAAUGAUUUUUCAAUAUGACAUGACAUGUAGCUAAAUAGUUUAGGUUGAGUUUGAGUAGGUUCACACUUAUGCCAUUUAAACACAAUAAAUAUACGUAUUGUUCGCGAGUUGGACCUUUCAAUCCAUUUAUGAUAUGCCAAGACACAUUUAAGUUAUGAUAGGUCAAGACAAAUUGUUGAUUUUUUUUAUUUUAAAAUUGGGCUUUGGGCUCUUUCAACCUAGCUUUGACCAAACCAAUUUGGUUCUUGAUCUGGCCUAAGGACCGGGUCUAAAAACGUCAAGGCUCGUUUUGUUUGAAGACCCCUCGAGAACUUGCCUUCUGACACACGAAUUUCACUUUGACAAAUCAGGGAGAUUCUCAUGCACUUCGAGGAGAAAGUAUAACUCACUACGGUCGUAAUUGUUGGGUGCGGGUGACUGGGGAUUCAUGCUGUUGCUGCGACCCUCGCGAUCUUCUAGUCAAAUCUAGACUUCAUCCAAAAUGUGUUUGAAAAUUGACUCUUAUGAAAAUUUUAUAGGAUCACUAUCGAAUGAUAUAAAUAUUUAAAUUAGUAAAUAAAUACGUGAUUAACAUUUAAUUUAUCCAAUUUUAGCAUCCAACACAAAAUGGAUUGACAUCCCCUCACUUUAACAUUUCACAAAUAUAAGUGAUUUAUUAUUGGAAUAAGUAUACUGUGAAUUCUAAAAUUUGUUACAAAAGUGUAAUUAAAUUCUAAAACUUUCAAAAAAUAUAAUCAAAUUUUAAAACUUGUCAUGAAAGUGCAAUUGAGUCCUUCCGUUUAUUACAGUUUUUGAAAGUUUUAUAACUUGGUUACACUUUUCAAAAAUUUUAGAACUCGAUUGUGCUUUCGUUGACAAGUUUUAGAACUACCAUUACACUUAACCCUUUAUUAUUAGUAUCUAGUAGUGUUGUUAUGUAUGCGAGAAGGAAAGAGUGUAGUGACUGGGUUAUUAUUAUCAUCCUGCAUUAUCAAACUCAUACUACCUUCGUGAAUCCUUGUGUUCCUUCCCCCAUUCCAGAAACAUUUGAAUGAGUAUAAAAGGCAAGUAGUAAGUUCUUUUUAUUUUAUUUUUUAUUAAUUCUUUCUAAUUCUUUGAGGUUCCGUUCAGUCACCUGGCAAGCUAAACACAAAAGAUGAGGUAUGAUGAUUUCCAUGACCCUUGGAAGCUCCAGAACUCUAUAAGUUACCUAUUCUAUCGUUAGGGACCGGUUGCAAUCUCCUAUGAUGCGUAUAAUUGAUUCUCAAGAAUUUGAGGUAGCCAAAAUUUAUGUUGCGGUUUGCAGAACUCCAAAUAAAACCACAAUGACAUACAAAAGCUUAAGUGUCUCAGCUUCAGGUUCGAUUGGGCCACUCCUCUAGUUUCAUCGACAUUACAAUUUAUACUACGUAGAUUCUGAUGUUGACACCUAUCUUUUGUGUUUCAUUUGUUUGUAUGUGCUUUGCAUAAGCUGAAACCUUGUGCAUGCUUGGUAUUUUUGUAUGCCAUUUAUGUAUAAUUAUAUUUGUCCAUAUGCUCUAUUGGUGAAUGAGUAUAUAGGUUUUUUUUUUUUUUUUUGUUUUUUUUUUUUCAGUCUUACUCUACUUCUAUUCUAACUCUAACUCUAUCUCUAACUCUAACUCUCGCUCUCGCUCUCACUUUUGUCCUACUUCGGAAUCGAAACCUACACUUGAAACUAAAUCGUCCCCAUCGCAAAUUCCCUGAGAAUGUGGAGAUUCGAACCCCCCACCUUCCCUUUCCAUAUUGGAAUGGUGGCCAUUGGGGCAAAUCUCAAUGGUUGAGUAUAUAGGAUUUCAUUUGGUAGCUAAUUACAAAAACUCAUGGUAAAAGUGAUAACUUUGUUCCAUGGAAUGGUUCAGACAGAAUAGUGGUUGAUAGUGAAUCUGUUGAUGGGAGAAUAGAUGUGAUUUGGAAAGUUUAGGUCAUUUAUUUUUCUUUUUUUGAGUGAUUUUAACAUGUUUGUUCUUUCUAGAAUUAAAUAAUGCAGCUCGAUUUAAUGGGGUAGUUGGUGCAUGUGAACCAAAGCAAGUUAUCUUGUCUAACAAGUAGAGCUAGGGGGACUCACAUUUUAAGGGCAUGGGUUUGAAAUUUUGCUUUCGUCUUUAAACGAAAGCGGAAAGGACAAGAUUCGAAUGUCACCCAUCAUUAUGCAAUUAUACAAUGAAUAAGUAAGGAAAUUCGCAAACAUUGAAUACUCGUUAAAGGAUACGUGUGUAUAAAAAUUGUUGACACCUAAAUUUUGGCGACCUAAUCAUUCCUUCAUUGCAUAAAAAAUAAGGGACUAAAAUUUAGCCCUUAAGCAAAAAUAUUAAAUUAAAUUGCUUAGAAUAUAGAUAUUAGGGGCAUAUUUCAUUUAAGUACACAUUUUUCGAGCCUUGGAUGGGGAUGCAACUGUGUAGAAUGAGGAGUUUGAAGCCGAUUGAGAUGUUUCUAGGUAGGACAAUUUAAAUUAGGAUCUUGAAAGGACAAAAACCACGGUGCUUGUUUAGGUCAUUGCGGAGUCCCAUCUUUGCUUUGUGCAUAAAUAGGACGAGCUAAGCUUCUAAAAUUAUAAGCAAACGAAUUCCUAUGGAUCCUAGGCUCUCCAAAGUUAUCCAGUACGAAGAUGUCACCUCUCUCCGAGCCUUGUUGGCCGAAGAUCUACUGAUUUUGAGACCAAAGCAGUGCUGAGACCAGUGGUAAAGACUCCUCUUCAUUUGGCUGUGCUUGCUGGAAAGAGUGAACUCGUGAAGGAGAUUGUUAGCAAGAAAGCCCAAUUUUGCAAGGGAAUCGAAUCACGAUGGCCUUACACCAUUACACAUUGUGUUGGCUGUGGGGAAUUUGGAAGUCAUGAGGGAGCUUCUAAUAGUAGGCCUUGAUCUUGGCAUGAUCGAGAACAAAGGUGGCUGGACACCACUCCACUGUGCAACCAUCAAGGGCAGGGUCAAGGUAAUCGAGGAGUUGGUCUCGUAGUGUCCUCAAGCCCUCAAGGAACGCACUGCUCACUUCACCUGGUAGUGAAGAAAAAUUAGUUCGAUGCACUCAAUAAGCUAGUGGAAAAGGCCAGUGAAGAUGGAAAUGCAGACGACUGCGGCUUCGAAAUAGCUCCAGUCCACUGGGCAGCAAAACGGGGCCAAGCCCAUUAAAGGCUAUGACGACCGCACCCUUUAAAUGCCGGAGUUCUAAUUCUGUUAAGUGAAAGUUUUGACCCAUUGACCCAUGCAGAAAUUCUUUCAAUUUUGUGUGGGCACAAGAUCUUCAGUAAUUAGGGAAAGAAAACAAUAAAGUAUGGUUGAUUUGGUCAGUCACAAGGAAACAAAAUAAAAAGGGGAGAUUGGCAAAGAGUAGGAGGCAUGCGCAUCAUGAAAUAAAAGAAACAGGAAAUAAAGAAGAAUCGGCUUAUAUAUGCAUGAUAUGCAAGGAUCAUAAGAAGGAAAGUGGAUUUUGGGCUUUCCUUUUACCAGCCCUAGCCGUUCCCUAUCAAAAAGAGAAGACCCUUUUGAUUAGCGGGGGGAGGGGGGGGGGAUCACCAGAAUACACAAAAAAGAACACACUUGAGAGAGAGAUCCAGUCCAGCUCUUGGUCGAGGCAAUCCUCCAAGCAAGCGCCCACUCCACGGCCAGACCUAUGGCCGUUCCUCUAUCGCCAUCAUUGCUACAUCGUGUUGCUACCCUACUGAGGUGUCGACGACGGCCAAGCCACUCCCUGCACACGUGCCACCUGAGAAGUCAACUGAGUCCGAGCUGUUGCACCCAACCACGUUGCUGCUUUGGUUUCGUUAUUGCUGUGCGUGGGGGUCGUUGCUUCCUGACCACCAUCGAUCCUCCAUCGUUGAACGCUACCCCACCGAGUUGGUGGUCUUUUGUCCUUUUAUUUUCAGGUUCCCGCGAGUCCCAGUGUCACUUGCGUACACCUGAGUUACAUUGGUGACCAACCCUAGACGUUCAAAUCUUCACGCCAACAACCCUCCUUUUACUGUUCAAGUCUUCCGGCGGACGUCCCCUUGCUGUGUUGGUCAAUUUUAUGACUUUGUUAGGCCAAAUCAGUGAAGUAUUAGCCACCAUUCAAAAUUCUCUAUUACUUAUUGAGCGAGGUAUCGUCAUUGAGCAGCACGUCACCUUGAACCGUCGCUCGUGAGUCAUCCCACCAUCCGUCGUUCGACCGAACUUGACAACGUGGUCCACGUGACACCAAAUAUUAAGUAAGAAUCUCUUUUAAUUCGAUUUUCAUAUAUCCUUAUUGCCUAAUUUAUGGGAUUAUCUCGUAUGAAUAUUUGAAUGAUACCAUCAUAUUCACAAAAUAUCGAUUAUCCUUUUAAAUUGGGAAAUUUUCCUAAUUUCGCAAUGUACAUAUGAUUGACGGUCCGAUUUCACGCUCGAAAUAUGACCCGCAAUCGUACAUAAAAAUCACUAAUCUGAUCUCAAGCUCAAGAUACGAUUCGUGAUUUUAUUUAAACAUUAGCCAAUCCGAUCUCAUGCGUGAGAUAUGAUUCGUCAAUUUAUUUCUCAAAAUUAAAUGGACAUGGAUGAUAUAUUGCUUGAUUUGGUGCCGUGCUAUUCUUAAUGCCUUUAUUUGAUUGCUCCCGUAAAAGAAAAACCCAAAAAAAAUAUAUUUGAGUUAGAUUAGGUUCAUGUUAUAAUAUUACUUGUUUUAGGGUUAUUUUGCAUGUUUAGAAUAAGAAAUUUAUUUAUUUCGAAUUCCUUAAAUAAAAAUCCAAAAAAGAUGCAUUCAUUUAGGAUGUUAGUUUUUUCUUUAAUAAUUAAAUUGCAUGUUUAAUUAUUUUGCAAUUUUAAUUUCGAAUUUUAUAAUAAAAAAAACACAAAAAUCACCAUGCAUAUGUCAUGUAGAAUAAGGGCAUUCUUUGUACGUCAUUGCAUAUUAGGAUAAAAUUGCAUAUUUCAUCUUGAGUUUAGAUUGAUUUUUUAGAUAGACUGCAUCUUAGGUUAGAGAUUACUAAGUUAAGAUAAUAUCUUAGUUUAAAUCAGGGUUUAGCCUAACAUGAUCCUUAAUAUAAGUUGGAUAGAAUCUUAAUCUAGCUAGAUAAUUUUCACAAUCUUCUAAUUCUGAAUUUCAUGAAAUAUACAAAAAAUAUCUUAGGAUAAAUUAGUUUCAAUCUCUAGGAUAGGUUGCAUGCUUUUUAAGAAAAUAAAAAAUGUCAUGUGCAUGUCAUAUAAAAUUAGGUUCAUGAAAUGCAUGUUACUUAGUGAUUGUGGUUAGGUCCAUUUCGCUAGAAAUUGCCUGUCAUUAGCUCAGAUAGCAUUGCACUGCAUUGUAUGACUCUCACUAAAUAAGUGAAAACAAAAAAAGAAAUUGUGUCUUAAUUAGAAAUCAUAUAUGGGGUUGUUGAUGUGAAUUCUGAUCUAACAACACAGAUGCUUUCGUUGUUAUAAAGUAAGUCCCGUAAUUUAUUCAUUGCUUUCUUGGGUGUUCAAUUGGUGGUUUGUGUAUCCGUAUGAUCACCUCACAUAUUAAGGAAAUAUAUUUAAAAUCAAUCUAAACUGCCUGUAAAAACAUUUUUAAUAAAAGGAAAUGGUACCAAAAGGGCAUUAGAGAAGUCUUGUAACUAAGUCCCCGUACCCAAAAUCUCUGGUUCGUAAGAAUAAAAUAAUCCUCAAAUUAUUUUACUUAGGUAUCUAAUCGACCUACCAUAAACUAAUUAGUGGCGACCCUAAUUAAAAAAAUCAAUUGCAUGUUAAGAACUUGAACUUAAAGUCACGGAUUGGUAUGGGUUGGGAGAGCCCAAGCUAAGUCUAGACUUAGUAAUUUAUUAGCCAAAUCCUAGGUAGAUCACCCGAAAAUUUGGUCGCGACAAUUUAGCAACUCCUUUGGGGACUUGAGUUGAAACUCUUAGUGGACUUAAGCCAAUUUUCUUUUUUGCCAAACAUGUUUGGCAGUGAGGAUCCCAGGUAUGUCCCUAACAUUUAAGGUGUUAAAUGUUCUUGCAGGAGGGGAGGUAUAAGGGAAGUUGGGGAUGAAUGUUUUGAAUUCAAAUUAUUAAAGUGUUAUUUGAUAUAAACUAUUGUGCAUGCCUUACAUUUACACUACACUCUUGCACACACAACCUACUACCAAACUUGGGCCGCAUAUGAUCAUUUAGGAUGGUAUUGAGAAUGAUACCACUUCAACUGCAUGCCCGCGGUACGAGUCGCCUAUCUCAAUCCUGAAGUUUUUUUUUUUUUUUUGGUGUCAAGAGUACCCACCUCGGUUUGCAUGCCCGCAACCCAGGUUGGCUCUUUGACCAAGCCGAAGUCAUGAGGGCCCGACUUAGUCCGCACGCCCACGGCUAGUCUGACCAUCCUUGUGGCUCCACUUUGUUAAGCCUUGUAGAGUAGAAAUCGAGCCAUGUACCAUGCACAUGUCUAUGUGAUUGCCCCCAUUUAUUGGUAAAUUAAGUUCUCUAAAUUCUCAUAUCUGCAAUCUACUUACUUUAUUGUAUCAUUUUGUCGGUCCAUGGUAUUAGGAUUGUUUGAGUCUUGGUCAAUAUACAAUGGGAAUACCGGACAUUCGAAUUAUUCUCCCUCCAAAGGAAUAGCUUAACACGUGGUGGGACAAGUUAGACCAAGCUGGCCGUGAGUUUGUUGAGUCACACAUUAGUCGACUCCUUCUGCUAUUGCGCAUCAACAUUCAUGGCGGCCUCAUCCAAGCACUUGUCCACUAUUGAUGCCCGGAGAUCUCUACUUUCAUCUUUGGUGGUAAGCAUGAGCUCACUCCCACCUUGGAAGAGUAUAUCAUUGCCAUGGGAAAAUCUUUGAAAGUUGAAUUAAUUAGUCCACCUAUCGGAAUAGAUCCCGUUGUGGCUUUAUCCGAUUUUUUUAGAAUUAAGGAGGACAAUAUAAGAAAGGUUUUAAAGACUCACCGCAAUAUAUCUCAUUUAUCUUUUCUGAAAGAAUGUUUUGAAAAUGGCACUUCAAUUCAAAUACGUAGAAUUUUCCUUUUAGCUUUCUUUGGGUUUAUAGUUUUUCCUUACUGCAAGAAUGCUAUUAACCCUUUGAUCGCUCAAUUAGUUAAACAAGUAUUGGAAGGAAAGAAUUUUGUAAACACUGUUCCAACUGAAACUUUCAUUUCCCUCACUCGAUUUAAAGAAGGUGGUGAUAAGACUUUCCAUUUCUCUCCUGAGCUUUUGCAAAUUUGGUUUUUUCUCAUAUAAAAGGAUUUGGUGGUUUUAUGACUAUACAUGAUGUUAAUAACUAUAAUCACCCUAUUAUGAGAUUUGAGAACAACCAAGAACAUGCACCGGAUUACCAUUAUUCUAGGUGGCUAGCUUUCAUGAAAAAACUAACUUCCAAGGGUUUCCUAUGGCAUGCUAAAUGGUUCCAAGUUCGUGUGGUGAGACUCUCAUGUGGCGGUGUUGGCCCAGUCCCCUCUACUGGGAUUCACUAGAGUAUUGGAGUACUAUCUGACUAGAGUGACUUGUCAGUAUCAAGUCAUGUAAGAGCUUCCCCCGGCAGUGCAAGCAGAUUUGCUCCAAGUAAGCUUCAUUGAUGGAGAUCGAGACCAUGACGAUUUCAUUCUCACGGUCAAAUUAAUGUGGGACAUGUGCCAUCCACAAAAACUCAAAUGGCCCGAGGAGGAGCUAAAGGGUAAAGAAAGGAAGUACUAUGCUUCAACAAAAUACAUUCAACAACACAAGGUUCCAAAGGAGCUACUUCCAAAGAUACCGGAGGUGCCGCUGAAGAUCACCAACCGUGCUAAGAGUAAACGACUCAAAAGGUCUGUCGAAAAAGCUCAAGAGGAGAAUAAGCGAUUGUGCCGAAUGAUGUCCCGAGUGUAUAUUGAUCAAGCUAGAUGAAGUCUUGAAUCAAUCUCAUUAUUUUCAUUUCUAGAUUAAUGUUUAGAAAGUUGAGUCAUUUACUUUCCUAGUUCAUUUGUUUAGGGUAUUUCGAGUUUCUAUUUUGUUAAGCUUGUCAAAAGUUCCAUUGAUGAAUAAAAGUUCUAGACUGUUGCCAUGGACUGGCGUAUUUCAUAUGAGAUACUUAUUUUUAUUCAUUUCUUCAAUUUAGGUGAUAACGGAUCCGCCACGUUCGCCCAUCAUCACUUGAUCAAGAGCUAAAAUGGCUGACUAAACUGAAAUGCGUGAUCGUAUCUCCACUAUGGAAGGACAACUCCAAUAGUUAGUCACCUCUAUGCAGCUACUGACAACUCAAAUCCAAUCCCUCCGAGCAAAUCCAACUCCUACACCCGCUCUUCUUGAGAUAGUUAUCUUGAGGCAAGCAAACGAGGCUCAAUUGGGUGAUGACGACAUGCCUGACCUGGAAGAUGACUCAUCACUGAUCAAUGUGCGAAAGCCCGCGGAUCCAACCCAGAUCAGUUUUUAUAAUAUUUUAAUAUAAAAUAAUAUUUUAAAUAAAUAAAUAAUUUAUUUUCAAAAAAAAUUAUUUUCGAAAAAAUAUUUUAAUUUCCAAAAAAAACCAAAAAAUAUUGAAAUAUAUUAAAAAAUAUUUUAUUUUCCGAAAAAAAAAUUCCAUAUUUUCCCAAAAAAAUACCAAAAAAAUCCAAAAAAAAAAUCCCUUUUAUAUCCAAAAAAUUAGAAAAAGACUCAAAAAUGUUUUUCCUUCCAAAAAUGCAUGGAAAAUCCCUCGAACAUCCAAAAAACCUCAAGAUUUAAACAAGAUUAGGUACCGAAAGGGUAUUAGUGAUUAACUAGUGUAAUCAAGUCACCGAUCCUAAUUUCUUUGGUUACGCAAGAGUGAGUAUUUCUCCCAAUACUUCACUUGGGUUUCUAAUCAACCCACCCCAAAUCGAUUAGUGGCGACUUCAUUUUAAAAAUUGAUUUACAGGUUAAAAAAACUUAGACUAUUAAAGUCGUGAAUUGGUGGACUUGGGAGAGUCCAGGCAUAAUAAACUCAGCCGAGCCAUUAGCCUCCUUAGGUGUCCGUACCCGAUUGCGGGCGCCGAAAAAGAGGUCGCGACACGCCUCAAGAUAGACCCAUCCAAGAUAUAUUCUGCGAAGACUUUCGUGCGAGCUUUUGAUGUGAUAAAGAAGGAGGUGAUCGGGGAAAUCCACCUCAAUGUACAAAUAGGGCCGGUCAUCUUCAACAUUCCCUUUCAAGUGCUGGACGUCCCCACCGCAUUUAAUUUCCUGCUAGGUCGUCCCUGGAUACAUACUGCUGGAGCGAUGCCUUCAAGUUUACAUCAAGUUAUGAAGUUCAUGAUCGAAAGGAAGCUGGUCACUAUCUAUGGCGAAGAAGAUCACCGAAUUUAUCAUGAGAUAACUAUCCCCUAUGUAGAGCCAUACUUUGAGUUCGAAUCAAGCUACCACUCAUUUGAAUUGGUGUCCACCAUUCAUGCUUCUCAAAACUCAUCGCCACCCACUCCUGAAGUUUCAAAUGCUGCCCUCAUGGUGGGAAGAGUGAUGGUUGGGAAUGGUUUUGUUCUUGGUAGAGGUCUUGGAAGAAAUGGUCAAGGCAUCCAAAACCCCAUUGAAGCCCCUCAGAGGUCCCGUUCUGCUGGAUUAGAGUACCAUGGAAGAGGUGGACAAAGUCCUGGAGGAUGAAGACAGGAAAGGUAGAACCUGCCACCUAACCAAGGGCGAGGGAUGCAAAACUCACUACCCCCAAACAUUCACAAGACAUUCCCUAGUCCUCCGAUAAUGAUGCAAGAUGAAGUAGAAGUGAUGGACACCUUGGGACAACCAAGCGGCAAAUUUGACCAUUUGGUGAAGUAUUAAGCUCCUCCCAGCUUUUACAUCGACCCUUGUGACAUAGUCCCAUAUGGAUGGGGUGACAUAGACGAUCCAACACCCUCGAAGACAGAGAACCCUAAUGAUGCAUUAAAAGGAAUCACAAGCCUGUUCGAUGAUGUCUUCAUAGGAGCCAUUGAUGAAGGACCUCCGAAAGAAAUGGGCCCUGACCCACAAAAGUAACUUGUUUAUUGCCUUCCCACAUUCCCUUGCAUGAGAAUCUUUAUUUCUUUCUAGGAAUUGUUUUUGAUUUCUUCUUUUUCGCUUUCUUUUAAAGGCUUGAGAAUCGCAUUUUCCAUUCAAUAAAUGUAAUUAAUUGAUGAAUUUCAAUAAAAUUACAAGUUUUAUUUUGAGGGCAUGAUGAGGUACACCAAACUAGCCCGAUGAGGAUAUCUAGCCAUUAAAAAAAGAAGAAAUAUCCAAGGAGAAUUCUGAGGCUUGGGCUUCAUCAUGCUUCCUCGUGUCAAAAUGUUUCAAAAAUGCUUUUGCAAGUGCUUUUAAAAAAUCCUUCAAAAAUCUUUCAUAAAACCAAAAUAAAAACAAAAUAUGUAAUUUACUCUGUUUGUCUUUAUGAUUUAUCUACUUCAUGUUUCAAUAACAGUCUUAUAGCAUACAAAGGUGUGGAAAUGGUUCAAUUCAAUACAACAAAUGCGAUAUUGAGGAUCUCGAAGAUUCCAUUGAGGUGCAGCGUAACUGGGAACAAUAUGAAAAACCCAAGGCCCUUACAUCUGAACAGACCGUCACUAUUAAUUUAGGUGACACCGAAGAAACCAAAGAGGUGAAGAUUGGAGCGAAUAUCCUCAAAGACAAGGCCGAGUGCCUAAUUUAGCUACUGAAGGAAUAUCAUGAUGCCUUUGCACGAACCUAUGCUAACAUGCCUGGUUUAGACUAGUCAAUCGUGGAGCACUAUUUACCUACUAAUCUGGAUGUGUCGCCUAAGAAGCAGAGGCUGCGGAGAACUAAACCCGACCUCUCAAAUAAGAUAGAGGAAGAAGUGAUGAAGCUGUUGAAGGUGGGAUUCAUCGAAGUCUCACAAUACCCUGAAUGGGUGGCUAACAUUGUACCGGUAAUGAAGAAGGACAAUCGAGCUCGAGUUUGUGUUGACUAUCGAGAUCUAAACAAGGCUAGGCCGAAGGAUGAUUUCCCAUUACCUCACAUAGAUGUUCUUGUGGAUAGUAUUGCCGGAUUUGAACUAUUCUCAUUUAUGGAUAGUUUUUCCAGGUACAACCAAAUAAGAAUGAAGAAGGGAGACAAAGAGAAGAUUGCAUUUAUCACCGCGUGGGGAACCUUUCAUUAUCGGAUCAUGCCCUUCGAGACUCAAGAAUGCAGGGGCAACUUACUAUCGAGCCAUGGUAGCACUGUUUCACGAUAUGAUGCAUCAAGAGAUUGAGGUCUAUGUUGAUGAUAUGAUUGCAAAUACCCGACCCAAGAAAAGCUAUGUUGAAACCUUUAAGAAGUUGUUUGAUCGACUUCGUGAGUUCAAGUUUCGACUAAAUCCCGCUAAAUGUGUGUUCGGAGCGACAUCCAAUAAAUUACUCGGAUUUAUUGUGAGCAAUAAGGGGAUCGAGAUUGACCCAUCCAAGGUUAAGGCCAUAUGCAAGUUGCAACCUCCGUUGACGAUGAAAGAAGUCCAGAGCCUCUUAGGGAGAUUGAAUUACAUUGCACUACUCAUUUCCCAACUUUCGGAAACUACCAAGCCGUUCUUCAAGCUUUUGAAGAAGAAUGCACAAAUCAACUGGGAUGAUGAAUGUUGAGAAGCAUUCGACAAGUUGAAGCAAUAUUUGAUGAAUCCACCAGUGCUUGUCCCGCCAUCACCAGGGCAUCCUUUGAUUCUCUAUCUCACCAUUCAUAGUAAAUGUUGGGCGCAAUGUUGGCUUAGGAAAGCCCUGUUAAUAAAAAAGAAUGAGCAAUCUAUUACUUGAGCAAAAAGUUCACUAUAUCAGAACUGAAAUAUUUCGAUGCUAAAAAAACUUGUGCUGCAUUAGUGUGGGUAUUGCACAAAUUGCGACAAUACAUGCUACAUUAUCAGACUUUUCUCGUGACUGAGAACAAUCAUAUCAAGUACUUGCUUGAUCGGCCAGCUUUGAUGGGUAAGUUGAUUAAGUGGCAAAUUUUAAUCUCAUAAUUUGAUGUGCAAUUCAGGCCACAAAAGUCAGUUAAAGGUCGAGUGAUCGCUGAUAUAUUGGCUGAGAAUCCAGGAGUCUCAAAUAAUGAUGACAGUUUCCCGUAUGACCGUGUCUUGAAUGUAAGAGAAGAUUCAUGGACAAUGUUCUUCGAUGGAGCUGUAAACCUAUCAGGCUCUAGUACUAGGGUAGUUCUGAUAUCCCCAAAUGGACAACACCAUUUGGUAGCUGCAAAAUUGAUAUUCCCAUGCACUAACAAUGUGGCUGAGUAUGAAGCUUGCAUUCUUGGGCUUCAAGCUGCAAUUGAGAUGGGUGUGGCCAAGUUAAGAGUAUUCGGAGAUUUUGCGCUAAUCAUAUUGCAGACUGUAGGUGAAUGGAAGACCAAGGAUGCCAAGUUGCUCCCGUACCGCGAGUAUUUAGAAGAUGUGGUAAAGGAGUUCGAGGAAAUUUCGUUUGAAUACUUGCCAAUGUCUCAUAAUCAAUUUGCAGAUGCACUCGCAACUUUGUCUUCUAUGCUGCAAGUCACUGACGGAUUAGAAGUGGAGCCGUUGAAAAUAGAGGUUUUGCCAAAGCCGGCUUAUUGCAUGAUCAUGACUAGAGAACCUGAUGGGAGACCAUGGUAUUACGAUAUCAUGAAUUAUAUUCAGAAACAGGAAUUCCCCUAAGGAAGUACUCCAGCUGAUAGGAAGUACAUUAUGAAGAUGGCCUCAAAAAUUUUCGUCAGUGGCUAGAAUUUGUAUAGGAGAUCUUAUGAUUCAAUCUUGUUACGGUGUGUGGGUGCAGCUAAAGCCACUCAAAUCAUGCAAGAAGUUCACGAAGGAGUAUGCGGCCCUCAUAUGAACGGGCACAUGUGGGCUAAAAAGAUUAUGAGAUUAGGCUACUACUGGCUCACACUAAAAUGUGACUGUAUCCAGCAUGUUCGAAGUUGUCAUCAUUGCCAAAUCCAUGUUGAUAAGAUAAAUGUUCCUCCAACUGAGCUACACCAUUUUUCCGGGCCAUGGCCUUUCUCAAUGUGGGGCAUUGAUGUGAUUGGUCCAAUAAAUCUGAAGGCUUCAAAUGGGCAUCGAUUCAUUUUGGUGGCAAUAGACUAUUUCUCCAAAUGGAUCGAAGCUACAUCCUUUGCAAGUGUUACUUCCCGCAAUGUUGCGAAGUUCAUCAAACGUGACAUAAUUGCUCGCUAUGGAAUUUCUGAAGCAAUCAUCACUAAUAAUGGGACAAAUUUGAACAACAAAAUUGUUGAUGAGUUGUUCAGCGAGUUCAAGAUCAAGUAUCUGAAUUCGUCUCCUUACCGCCCUCAAAUGAACGGGGUUGUUGAAGCGGCCAAUAAGAACAUUAAGAAGAUCUUGGCUAAUACAACUGAGAAUUAUCGAGAUUGGCAUGAUAGAUUACCCUUCGCACUAAUGGCGUACCGAACAUUGAUUCGUACUUUUACUGGGGCAACCCCUUUUGCUCUAGUGUACGACAUGGAGGCAGUUUUGCCUAUGGAAGUGGAAAUUCCCUCUUUGAGAGUUUUAUCCCAAGCGGAGUUGUUUGAGGCUAAAUGGUCACAACAAAGACUUGAGCAAUUAAACUUGAUUGAUGAGAGGAGACUGAAGGCUCUCUGCCAUGGCCAAACUUAUCAACAAAGAGUGGCCAGAUCCUUCAAUCAAAAGGUACGACCGAGACAUUUCCAGGUAAAUGAUCUUGUUAUAAGGAAACUGUUGCCAAUUUUUCUGGAUCCCGGUGGGAAGUUCGCUCCAAAUUACAGUGGCCCAUAUGUGGUGAAGAAGGUACUUCCUGGAAGUGCUUUGAUCUUGGCAGAAAUGGAUGGUCGUGAGUUUUCUACUCCAGUUAAUUCUAAUGUUGUAAAUAAGUAUUACCCAUGAUUAAAUUUGUCAUGUCAUGCUUUGAACUACAAGCAUUUUUAUGAUGAAUAAAUUGCCUCAAUGAGUUAAAUUGUUCAAAUUUGUUGCAAAUCAUUUUUCCUUGAUGAAUUGUGUGAGAUUAAUUGAAUGUGUCAAAUAGGAUAACUUGGAAUGACGAAAGGCAAGUCUUAUUCCAUACACUACUUCAUACACUAAUCCCCAGUGAGUUGUGUGAAAAAUUCCAUGCCUACAAGGAAAAAGGUGAUCUCGCAAAGAGUUUGUAAACUGAAGUGAUGAGAGACAGUUUCUUCUUCUACUCGAAACACUACAGGUAUACCCAUUGUUUAGCUCCUUUGAGCCCACACACAUAAAGAGCUUUUUAAAUUAUCCUUGUCAAGGAUCAUCCCAUACUGGGGCAAAAUUUGAAAUGAAUGAUAGGAAUUUUCUUACUCACACUUGCAUCAAUCUUCGAGUAUUGCUUUCGCAAUCUAGCUUAUACGGUAAUUGAAGUGCUUUAGGAUGACGAAGAGCAGUUCUUUCUUUAUCCCACACACUUUUAUCAAUUGCAUAGCCCAUUUGAGAGUAUGAAUUCAUUUCAUAUUAAACCUAGUUGGUGAUCAUCCCCCACAUUGGGGCAAGGCAAGAAAAAAACAAACCACUCAAGUAGCAUGGUUUACAGUGUUGAAAAAAGAUAAAGGCAGUGUGAGUCCAAAGAAAGUAAGUGCAAAAAAAAUAAAGGACAUGAAAAAGCAAUGUGCUUGGUAAAAGCUAGGCCAAUGCCCAAAGAGAAAAAUCAAACACUUAAUGUAGUGAGUAAUAUCCCCAACAAGGUGGUACUAAAAACUUAAAUGCUGAGAUGUUGCAAUCAAUAGAGUUGUGAUGUGAAGAAAAUUUUCGAUGGUGAAGAAGAAAGUUGGUGGAGAUGUCAAGAUGAUCACCAACUUUGACCCCUAAACAAUUUUUGAGCCUAAUAAUCCUUUCGUUUCUCAACCCAUGAACCAAGCCUGUGUUACGUCCUUUGCAAAGUCUCUUUAGAUUAGGGCACUUGAGUUAACGUAAAAGUUCAUAUAUUCAAAAGCAUCGCUUGAAGAAAUGCAAGUAAGGCAAUUUCUACCUCAUUUCGCAUGUUUCUUGACUUAUAAAUCCUAAGACAAUUGCGAAAUGUCAUUUUUCAAUAGCUUUGACUCAAAGAGCCCCCUUUGUUAAGCCGUUGACCAAGCCGACAUUACGGUCCCUGUUAAAGACCUCUUAAAUUGGUAAGGUCAUACCACUUGCGAGAUUGCUCGAACCCCUGUUUGGCAUGGCGAUGGUGAAGAUAGAGUGAUUGUCAAGAUCUUGCGUCAAAGGUGAGGAUAAAAUGACCCUUUUAAUGAGGAUGAGAGAAAGGUCAUUUCAAACCAAGAGGUCCCUCAUCUGACACAUCCAUGACACUCAUGUGUUUAGAUUGGAAUAUUCCUUUGAAAUCUUUCCCAAUGGAAAUUAGGUGAUUAGCAUGAACCUCCUUUGAAUUAAUGCAUGUUUGCGAUUACAAAUACAUGUUGCCUCUCCUACAACCAUGUUUUGUAGAAGACAUAUCCCUAAGGAUCAGAGAUGUUACCAGGUAAGCAUAUCUCUAUCAAUACCUUAAAUACUUAUCAUUGCACAGGUAUUCUCUUUUAAGUAUACCGACACUCAAUUGAGUUGUCCUCCCAAAUUUUUUUCUCAAGAUUCAGUCUAAUUAAGGCGAUCGAAGAAAGGUUUAGAUCCUUGUCAGAUGAUCUCUAUUGUAAGAUUGGGUGACCGAAGAAAGGUUCGGGUUCUAGCCAAGUAAAACCUCAGUUUAAGCAACCGUAAAAUGGUAUGGGUCCUAGACAACGUUUAUUGCUCUAACAGGCGACUGUAGAAAGGUAUGGGUCCUGGAAAAGCAAUUUCCCCAUUCAAGCGAUUGUAGAAUGGUACGAGUCAUAGACAACAUCUAUUUCCCCAUUCAGGCAACCGUAGAAUAGUACGAGUCUUGGAGAGUGAAUUCCCAUUUAGGCAACCAUAGAAUGAUACGAGUCAUAGACAACAUCUAUUUCCCCAUUCAAGUGACCGUAGAAUGAUACGGGUCUUGGAAAAUCAAUUUCUUCAUCAAGGCGACCAUAGAAAGAUACAUGUCCUAGACACAACCAAACACUGCCAUAUUGGGUGACCAUAGAAAGGUACAGGUCUUGAGAAAGCAGUUUCUUACAAAAUCUUACUGCCAUUUUGGGCGACCAUAGAAAGGUACGGGUCCUAAGAAAGCAGUAUCUUUACAAAGUCAUGUUACUAUUUUAGGCGAUCAUAGAAAUGUAUAGGUCCUGGAGAUGUAACACCAACUAUCUCGAAUUAUGCAAUCCUCCUUUAAGGUAAGUUAUUCUAGGUAGGUUCAUUUAUCAUUUGCAUUAGCAUUUCCAUGCAUCAUGUAAAUUUCAUUUUAAAAUGGAAUUUAUUUUCCAACAAAAAAAAAUCAUUCAAUGCAUGUAUAAUCAAAAUUUAGGUCUCAGUUUGUCUUUGAAGGGAACCUCUACGAACUCACAUUCAAAGAGGGGCAGCUGUUGACACCUAAAUUUUGGCAACUUAUGAUCAUUCCUUCAUUGCAUAGGAAAUAAGGGACUAAAAUUUAGCCCUUAAGCAAAUAUAUUAUAUUAAAUUACUUAACAUAUAGAUAUUAGGGGCAUAUUUCAUUUAAGUACACAUUUGUCGAGCCUUGGAUGGGGAUGCAACUGUGCAGAAUGAGGAGUUUGAAGCCGAUUGAGAUGUUUCUAGGUAGGACAAUUUAAAUCAGGAUCUUGAAAGGAUAGAAACCACGGUGCUUGCUUAGGUCAUUGUGGAGUCCCAUCUUUGCUUUGUGCAUAAAUAGGACGAGCUAAGCUUCUAAAAUUAUAAGCAAAUGAAUUCCUAUGGAUCCUAGGCUCUCCAAAGUUAUCCAGUACGAAGAUGUCACCUCUCUCCGAGCCUUGUUGGCCGAAGAUCUACUGAUUCUGAGACCAAAGCAAUGCUAAGACCAAUGGUAAAGACUCCUCUUCAUUUGGUUGUGCUUUUUGGAAAGAGCGAACUAGUGAAGGUUGUUAGCAAGAAAGCCCAAUUUUGCAAGGGAAUCGAAUCCCGAUGGCCUUACACUGUUACACACUGUGUCGGCCACGGGGAAUUUGGAAGUCAUGAGGGAGCUUCUAAUAGUAGGCCCUGAUGUUGACAUGAUCGAGAACAAAGGUGGCUGGACACCGCUCCAUUAUGCGGCCAUCAAGGGCAGGGUCAAGGUAAUCAAGGAGUUGGUCUCUUAGUGUCCUCAAGCCCUCAAGGACCGCACCGCUCAUGGCGAGACCACACUUCACUUGCCAGUGAAGAACAAUCAAUCCGAUGUGCUCAAGAAUCUAGUGGAAAAGGCCAGUGAAAAUGGAAAUGCAGACGACCUUGCGACUGCCAAGGAUGACGAUGAGAACACAAUCUCGCAGCCGGCUGUAGCUUUGAAACAGCUACAAUCCAUUGGGCAGCAAAACGAGGCCAAGCCCAUUAAAAGGCUACAGCAAUUGCACCCUUUAAAUGCCGGAGUUCUAAUUCUGUUAAGUGAAAGUUUUGACCCAUUGACCCAUGUAGAAAUUCUUUCAAUUUUGUGUGGGCACAAGAUCUUCAGUAAUUAGGGAAGAAAACAAUAGAGUAUGGUUGAUUUGGUGAGUCACAAGGAAACAAAAUAAAAAGGGGGAUUGGGAAAGAGUAGGAGGCGUGCGCAUCAUGAAAUAAAAUAAAGACGAAACUCGAUUCUCACGAUUCAAAGUUGGAGCAAUAUUUAGUCAAUAAAAGAAACAGGAAAUAAAGAAGAAUCGGCUUAUAUAUGCAUGAUAUGCAAGGAUCAGAUGAAGGGAAGUGGAUUUUGGGCUUUCCUUUUACUAGCCCUAGCCGUUCCCUAUAAAAGGAGAAGAUCCUUUUGAUCGGGGGGGGGGGGGGGAGGAUCGCAGAAUACACAAAAAAGAACACACUUGAGAGAGAAAGCAGAGAGAAGGAAAUCCAGUCCAGCUCUUGGCUGAGGCAACCCUCCAAGCAGGCGCCCACUCCACGGCCAAACCUGUGGCCGUUCCGCUAUCACCAUCACUGCUACAUCGUGUUACUACCCUACUGAGGUGUCGACAACAACCAAGCCACUCCCUGCACACAUGCCACUUGAGAAGUCAACUGAGUCCGAGCUGUUGCACCCAACCGCGUUGCUGUUUGGUUUUGUUAUUGCUGUGCGCGGGUGUUAGUGCUUCCUAACCACCAUCGAUCCUCCACCGUUGAACGCUACCCCACCGAGUUGGUGGUCUUUUGUGCUUUUAUUUUCAGGUUCCCGCGAGUCCCAUUAUUUUACUUAGGUGUCUAAUUGACCUACCGUAAACUGAUUAGUGGCGACUCCUAGUUAAAAAAAUCAAUUGCAUGUUAAAAACUUGAACCUAAAGUCAUGAAUUGGUAUGGGCUUGGGAGAGCCUAAGCUAAAUUUAGGCAUAGUAAUCCAUUAGCCAAAUCCUACAGAAAAACCCGAAAAUUUGGUCGCGACAAAAAUGCAUUGUAGAAGGAAAGAGACUGUUAUUCGAAUGAUUUUAAUUAGGAAAAGAAUUAGAACAAUUGGGGAUGAUUUCAUUAAUCCUAAAUUUGGAAUCUUGAUAAAUUGAUGUAAUAUCUGUUUUUUGAGCUGGUAUAAUCCAUUCUAAUAUAUAAGGUAAAGAGAACCUCCUACUUUUAGGGGAACUUAAUCUCUCUCUUUUUCAUCCUAAAAUAUCCUAAAAUAUCCAUUCUAUAAAUGUUGACUCCAUGAUUAGAUUCGUAAGUUAAUAAUCCUAUGUAAUCUCUCAUAUAUUUUAACAUUAAAUUGUGAAUCUUUUCUGUCUAACAACAACCUCACUAAAAAUAUUCUAAAUCUUGAAAUAUGUAUGUUUCUUUGUAUAUUUUGCAUGUCUAAACAAUAAUUUCUUUCCAUUAUAUAAUAAUUCGAAUGUUUAGUAGCAAAAUGGUUUUACUUUAUCUUUAGAUUUUAAUUUUUCGCAUAAAUGUAAAGUGUUUGUUAUCGAUAAUUGUUCUGGUUUUUCUAUAUAUAUCAACAAUUAUUGGCCGAAUGUAAUGCUAUUGGUUGCUCUCUUUUGGUCCAUAGAGAAUCCAAUAAUUCCUGUGACUGGAUGUGCGAUGAAGAUUGGGCAAUCACUUAAAUAAAUAAUGUCAUAAUUUCUCAAUAUGAUGAUUAUAUUUGUUGGGUGAUUUUGCCGCUUCCAAUACAUUAAAAGAUCAAAGAAACUCUUCUUUCAUUACAUUUAUAUUGAAAUUCUCCAUUUGUAACAAUUUUAAUACGAUCGACAGAAAGAGUGCUUCUUAGAAAAUAGAUUGAAAGGAUUAUUGAAAAGUUAAGCCAAUUGCAGAAACUUUUAUUCUUAACAGGAGCAAGCUGAUAUAAGGAACUUGAAUGGUAAAAUUAGAAACACACGGAGAAUCUAAACGAAUAUUUUACAUUUUAAAUGUUGUCAGAAGGAUAUUGGCCACAAAUGAUGACCUAAAGCUCACGGACAAUGCAUUUUCUUGAUCCAUUUAAAAGUUGGGUCUAUCUUUGUCCAAACAGUAAAGUUCAUGUUUUUUUUAGGGUUAAUACCCUGAAAACCCCCAAACUGGUACACUUGUGACAAACUUACCCCAAACUAUUUUUUUUUAUCACCAAAAACUCCAAACUGGCAUACCUUUGACAAAUUUACCCCAAACUGGUAUACUUGUGACAAAUUUACCCUCUGUUAGUUUUGGUUAAAUUUUAUUGUCAAAUUAUUAAAUUAAAUGAUAUGUGACAAUUGACUUGUAUAAUUUUACGUUCCGUUCGUUACAGUUUAAAAUUUUUGUGAUUUUUUUGUGAUAUUAAUCCAAUUUAGCGGAGGGUAUAUUUAUCACAAAUUUAUCAGUUUGAGGUUUUUUAUGGUCGAAUAAAUUAGUUUGGGUAAAUUUGUCAUAAAUGUACCAGUUUAGGGUUUUUUUUAUAAUUAGUCAGGGUAAAUUUGUCACAGGUAUACCAGUUUGGGGUUUUUCAUGAUCAAAAAAAUAAUUUAGGAUAAAUUUGUCACAGAUGUACCAGUUUGAGAUUUUUUAGGGUAUUAACCCCUUUUUUUAAGAGAUUGACCCAACACGAAACUUUGUAUUGUUUGCCAAGAUUACAAUGGGUAUAUCUACUUAAAGCCAUACCUUUUAUAUUUGAGAUGAGUUCCUUCUUUUUAAAAUUUGGAGGCCUUUCUCACUCAUAUCGCUGAAUCUCAUAUGACAUUCAUCAAGUGUUGCUUCUUCAUACUUCAACUAGGAAUUUUGACACCUAGGUUGCUUUUGGCAGCUAGGAUAGCCAAGAUAAGAUUCAGGAGAUGAUAAAAUUUAUUAUAUCCUACAUUUGGUAUCUACUUAAAAUAGGAUUAAGUCAGAUAUAAGGGGAAUAUAAACCGGAUGGGAAGGUGGGAUAAAGGUGUAUAGGAUUUUUAAUAUCUAUUUUACGAAAGUUACUUUUGUUGAAUAAUAAACUUCUUAAAUUAACAAAAUUAAAAUUAUUUGACCAAAAAAAUAAAUUCAAAAUAAAAAUAAUUACUUUAAUUCAAUCAUAUUUUUAUCUAUAUAUUUGAAUUUAAUUCUAUUUUAGAAUAUAGAUUCCAUAUAUUUAUUACAUAUUUUAGGUAUUUUAGUAUUUUUAAUAUAUUAGUAUAGCUUACUAUUUCAUAAAAUUUUAUUAAAGAGUGAUGGAAGGGGAAGAAAGAAAUAACAAAGAAACCAAUUAAAAAUAGAGGGGAAAAUUAAAUUAAAAAUAAAGUAGGAAAAGUGUCACCAGAGACUUUUACCAUAUUCGUUUGCAAAAUUUUUGGUUCAUUUUUUCUAAUGUGUUGUUUAUAUUAAACAAUGCAUAUGAUAUGAUAUAAAUAUAUCCAAUUACAAUCACCAAACAAUUGAUAAAAUAUAGUAAAAUCUGUGGAUUUUAUAUCUUAUCUUAUUCAGUUAUAUUCUAAUUAGAAAUUUGAACCACCAAACAUAGCCCUAGUGCCUACCAAACCAAGCUCUUGAUGCCACUUGUUACAAAGCAAAAGAGUCAUUUAUGAGAGCAGGAUGUCCAAUGAUUAAACAAAAAGAAAAAAAAAUGCCAUAUUGGAAAAAUUAUACCAUGUCGAGAUUAGGUGCAAUCAAUGAAAUAAGCAUUCCGUCAAUGACGUUUUCCAUAAUUAAGGAUGCCGGAAUGGCGCCUAUCUUUUACCUUUUCUUUUAGUUGCUUUCGUUGUUUCUGUUUUGCAAAGAAAUUUCCUGAAGCUCUUUCUUGGUGUCGCCUUUAGAUUCCGUGUGCGCUAGAAACAUCCACAGCUAUCAUAAGCUUAUUGGCUAGUGCUGCUGGUCAGUAAAGUCUUAGUAAAUUAAGGAACGUCUGAAUUAAGAAGACUAGUCUAUUUGGCUUAUAUAGUCAAUAGUAGAGAAUAGUAACAUAUUAUGCACCGGAAAGAUGACACAAAUAUUUUUUUAAAUUUUAAUUUAAUGUAUAAUGUCGUCCCUUAAUUUUUAAUAUAUUCAAUAUGAUCUAUGAACUUUUGGCAUAUAUUUAAUUUAGUCUAUGCAUUGUAUGAAAAUGUUCAAUAUUAUGAAAUAGUAACAUUGGACGUUUUCAUAUAACUUAGGGACUAGUUUGAACAAUUACAAAAAAUUCAGAGAUCACACUAAUCAAAUUAAAAAUUCGAGGAUGAUAUUGCACAUACAGCUAAAAUUUAGGGACCACACAAAACAAAUUAAAAGUUUAGGGAUAACUUUGCACGUCGACUCAAAGUUCAUGAACAAUUUAUGUAAUUAUCCAUAAUUAGAUAGACGUACCCUUUUAUUGGUAAGCGCGUGCUCCCUAUCAUCUCCUCACCUUUUUAAUUUAAAGAUAUGUGUUAAUAUUAAGUCAAAACGGUUUAGCUUUGAGGUGGAUUCGGCCAAAAGAAAAAGGAAGAAUAGUUGGGAGAAAGAAAUUAAUUUACCCACUUUUCAAAACAAACAUGCACUCGGUGAAAUUCUUUAGUCGUCCUUACGGAGUGAUAACCAACUUCACUAUUGCACUAUAUGUCAGAAAAUCCAAAAUGCUUUCAAUCUAUGUCUAAUUAAAAAGCUGGAUAGAAUAAGAUCAGUCAACUAUUUAUAUAUAUUAAUUAAAAACUCAUAAGUAAUUUCUUAAUUAUAAAAUCGAAAAUAUUAUCUCUUUCAUUCGUAACUCGUGAGUUUAUUUUCCACCUAUAUGCAGAAACAUCAUUGAUCUUCUUGAAAUCGGCAAAGCACAUAAAUUAUAAUUUAAUUAUAUGGUGACUAACUAAGUUAAAACAAAUAAGAAACUGGAAAUCCCAGAAUUUGAAAUAUCAUGUAAUAUGUUCUAGUUUUCAAUAAAUAAUUAUCCUCGAGAAGAAAACUUAAAAAAAAAAUACCUUAUUUGUCUAAUAUAGUAUUUGAAUUAUCAUACUCCCUUAGGUAGCCCUAUAUUAAGUAUGUCACAGUAAAGAAAUAUGAAAUCUUAUUAAUAUCCAAAAACUCAAUAGUACUGUACAGUUAAUCGCAAUAUUCCAAUACUUCUAUUUGUGUAUUUUACCAAAAGAAAUAUCAAAUUGCAAGAACAGGAAAAGCAAUUCUAAUGUGAUUUAUACUAUUUAGAGAUACAUUGAUUCAUAUAUUGACUAAUUGAGAUAAGUCAUAGAUGUUGACAGUUGAGAUAAUACGGUGUUUUGUUUUCUUUUAUUUUUUAAUCGGAAAAAAAAAACUAAUCCCCAUUCAAAUCUGAAUGACGAGAAAGAUACCCCUGAACAUAUAAAGGGCUAAUAAGGUUUGAGGGGGCCUUCGAUGAUAUGGCGUUUUGUAUAAAAAUGGAAAAAUAAAAAAAUAAAAGCAGGUAAGCUAUCUUUGUCCAGUCACAUCCAUUUUCCAGUUUCUUUUGUCUUUCUGUAAUAUUUAGGGUAAUAUUAAUAUUUAAAAAAAAAAAAAGCCAAAGCCCAUGCUUUUCUCUAAGUCAAACCUAAACUCGUUCUUAUUUACUUCAGCACUUUUAGAGGAAACAAAAGAACACUGCACAGAGGGCGAGUCAAUUUUCCUUCGUUUAGCAACGCACUGUAAAUAUGUUACCCCUUCGUUGAGCAGCUACUCUCUUCGACUACAUCAAACUCCGGAAACUUUAUUGUCUGUGAUUCCACGAUUCUUAUAACUCUAUUAGGAUAAUAAAUUUGUUACCCCUUCAAAUGACUUGGGUAAGAUGCAAAGUAAUACUGAGUAGUUCUAGAUUUCAACUUACUUAAUGUUAGAUUAUAUAACUUUAUUUCUGUAGGACACCCUAAACCUUAAGAUGGUUCAACCUAAGUUUACGUCCAGUCCACAAUUCCAAAAGAAGUUAAUAGAACAACUUUGGUAGAAAUAUGGUAUUGUGUGUGAAAGGCUGCUUUCAAAGCUUCACCUCAUAGAAAAUCGAGUAAAUUAGUCCUACUAAUCAUGCUUCUCAUCAUGACUAUAAGGGUAUGAUUACACCUUUCGAAGACAUCAUUUUGUUCAAGACUUUUAGGCAUGGUAAAAUAAGCUACUAUCCUAGGAUCCUUCACCUAUUUGGCAAAUAACAUUUUAAGUUAUCCAGCAUCAUCAUACUUACCAAAAUAUUCACCACUACGGUUAGAUCUGAUGACUUUUAAGACUUUUACCAACUAUUUCUCGAUUUCAAUUCGAAAAAACUUGAACGUGUCAAAAGGCUUAGAUUAUUUCUUAAUCAAGUACAUAUAACUAUAUUGAGAUUAGUUGUUAAUGAUUGUGAUGAAAUUAAAAUUUUCUACACAAGGUUUCCAUAUAAGGUCCACUAAUAUCAGUGUGAAUAACCUCCAACAUGUUAAAAUUAUGGACUACAGUUUUCUUUUUUAUCUUAAUCAUCUUACCUCUACAGUAGUCUACACAAGUCUCUAGAUCAUUUUUAAGAGUAGAGUAGGUAGGAUGUCGGCCUUUCUACUCUUUCUCUAGAGGGGUGACCAAGACUUUAUGCCACACUGCAUAAAACAAUUUCUUAGCUAGAGAUUUUUUGAAAACGGCCUUUUUAGCCAUGUGAGUGACACAUAUAUCAUUAGGGGUUAAACACAAUAUAUACAAUUCAUUAGACAUAUUGUGGCACACAACUAUAUUUGAAAGAAAGAACAUAGAAAUACUAUUUUUCUUUAUUUCAAAAGAGUAGUCACACAUGUCUAAAUAAGAUACUAAAACUAAAUUCCGUCUCAAGAAAGGUACACAAAAUGUUUCUUAACAUCAUAUUAAAACCAUAAUGUAGAAUUAAAAUUAUAUCUCCCACGAACUCAACAUUGUAUUUAUUGUUGUUCUUCAUGGUGAGCUAUGAUUCAUCCUUGUUUGGCUUCCUUCUAUUUAUGAAUCUCUGUAUGGUAAACACAACACGAUUUACAACACCAUUAUCUAGCCACCAUAACUAGCGGAGACAUCUAAUAGGUUGGACUCAUAAACAAAUGCAAAGAAUUAUCACCUACAGGGUCACUCUUAGACAAUCAAGUUUUAUUUUUGUUGCAAUCUUUCUUUAUAUGAACUUUCUUCUUACAAAAGAAGCAAUGGUCGCCAUCCUUCUUGAAUGAUACUUUGUUAGGACCCAGACUAUCAAAAUGACCAGUGGUACAUGAGUUCCUCUAUGAGUAUGAUUUUUAGAUUUCAGAUUCACCAUCCUAAGAACGUAUUCCUGAAUCCCACAAAAACCAUCAUACCUUAUGUUAAAGAGUCUUUAUAAAUGUAUCACAAUCUCAACAUUAGACAAUGCACAGUUUGAAACCACCAAGGCUUUCAUUAUUUGUCUAGCAGUACAGUAAACUAGCAAGCUAAUCUUCAAGUGUUCCCGAAUGAAUUACUUCUUAGAUAACAAACAAAUCCAAUUGCUCUUUUCCUAAGCAGCCAAGUGCACUUUUAAGGGUUCUAUAUUGUCGAUAGUGAGAUUUGUUGACUUAUCCCAAUAAGAGCAAUAUGAACAUUCACCAAUUCCAUCGCAAACAAAAAUCUUCCUUCCAUUUCUUGAAGUUUGAACCAAUAAGAAUCUCAAUUGGAAUGGAGUUGCUGUUUACAAAGAAGAUGACUAAAUAACAAAUAAUGUUUGCAAUCAGCAUCAUAUGAGUACUGUAUAACUUGAAAUCAUAUCAGUAUACAUCCUAAGAAUUACUUACAUUAUCAUAUACCUAGGCAGAAGACAUGACAACUGUCGCGACCAAAUUUUCGGGUGUAAACCACCUAGGGUUUGGCUAAUGGAUUGUUAAGCCUAGACUUUGCUCGGGCUCUCCCAAGCCCAUACCAAUUCGCAACUUAGGUUCAAGUUCUUAACAUGCAAUUGAUUUUUCAAUUAGGAGUCGCCACUAAUCUAUUUUUGGUGGGUUGAUUAGAAACCCAAGCAAAGUAACGGGAGAUUUACUUUACUCCUACGAAUAAGAGAUUUAUGAGUUCGGGGACUUGGUUACGCUAUAUUUCUCUAUCGCCCUUUCGGUACCUUUCUUUUUUAUUUCGAAAAAUGUUUGGUAGGCAGCUUGAAUUGAUUUUAAAUCUAUUUCCCUAAUAUGUAAGGUGAUCAUACGAGUGCGCAAACCACCAAUUUAACAUCCAAGAAAAGUAAUGAAUAAAUUGCAAGACUUACCUCAUAGCAACAAAAGCAUCUGCAUUGUUAGAUCAGAAUUCACAUCAACAAUCCUAGAUAUGAUUUCUAAUUAAUACGCAAUUUUUUUUCACUUAAUUAAUGAGAAUCAUGCUUUAUGCAAUGCAUGUCACUAAUUUAACAUGAAAUGAUAUGACAUGGCAACAUGACUUAGCUAUAUGACCUAAGCGAUAUGACAUAAAUAAGAAUGUAGUCUAUCCUGAAGCAUCAGAUGGAUUUAUUCUAAAAAAUAAUUUUUUGUAUUUUCCAUGAGAUUCGAAAUUAAAGAAAUGCAACACUUAAAUAUGUAAUCUAAAUUAAUCUAAUGACCUAAUUCUAAUGAUGGGCAAUUUCUAAUUAAAUGAACCUAACAAAAAUCACUAAAUUAUGUGCAUUGUAUGAACCUAAUUCUAUAUGACGUGCACAUGAUUUUUUUUUUCUUAAUAAGCAUGCAAUCUAUCCUAAUAUGCAAUGACAUGGAAAGAAUGCCAUAAUUCUAAUUUUUUAUUACGAAAUUCGAAAUUAAAAUUGCCAAAUAAUUAAACGUGCAAUUCAAAUUUAAAGCUAACAUCCUAAAUGAUUGCAUUUUUUUGGAUUUUUAUUUAAGGAAUUCGAAAUAAAUAAAUUUCCUAUUCUAAACAUGCAAAAUAACCCUAAAACGAUGAAUAUUCUACAACGAACCUAAUCUAACUCAGAUUUUUGGAUUUUUCCUUUUUUUUACGGGAGCAAUCAAAAUAAGACAUCAAGAACAGCACGGCAACAAAUCAGGCAAGAUAUCAUCCAUGUCCAUUUUGGAAAUAAAUUGACAAAUUGUAUCUCGCGCAUGAGAUCGGAUUAGCCAAUUUCAAAUAAAAUCGCGAAUCAUAUCUCGAGCGUGAGAUUGGAUUGGCGAUUUUUCCGUGUGAUUGCGAGUCGUAUUUCGAGCGUGAAAUCGGACUAUCAAUCAUACGCACGUUGCAAAAUUAGGAAAAUUUCCUAAUUCAUGCGGGAUCAAGAGAUCUUUUGGAUAUGGCAAUAUCGAUCAAACAUUCAAAUAAAUAUUGCGAUAUUACGAAUUAGGCAGCGAGAUAUAUGAAAAUCAAAUUGAUCGAGAGUUUUACCUAAUUCACGAUGUCACGCGGGUGAUGUCUCCAAAUUCGGAUGGAUGAUGGGUCACGGAAAUCACGGUGAGGAAGGUCGGCGAUCAGUAGCAUGCACGGUUGCUCGGUUAUCGGUGGACGCAUUCCACAAGACCGAGUACUUGGGAAUUCUAUCCGAGAACUUCAGCUUCUUUUCACUUUGCUAUCAAGCUUCGCCUUUUUAAAAAAAAUUCGAGCAAAACAGGACAAAUUUCACCACUUCUUUUGCAUUGGAAACGCCCUCAUGUGCCCAUUGAAGAAUCUGGUGCAAGUUGAGUUGUUCAGAGAAUCAUCAAAGCAGUCGCGGCAGGUUCAAGACUUGCUAAUGGAUGAUUCGAUUAAUUGCCUCUAGAUGGAUGUCGGGGCAGCCGUGGGAGAUGACCGAUGCUCACGGAGACACCUGCAAUAAUAAAAUUCAAACGAGAGCAAAAUAACUGGAUCGGUGGAGGUCUCGGGUACGUCAAGGACGCCUGGAAGUUUUUCUCUCAUUCCAUGUUGAUCUCCAAGCAUCGCCAAGUGGAGCUUUGUGAGAGCCGCCAAAAUCUGAACGUCGUGAGCUUUUGACCUUCGUCAUCGGAGGCUCCUUGGCGUGUGAUCAUCGUUGAAGGUCGCACCUCGGCUGGACAGCAAAUCGUCAUGGGUUCUCGGUGGUGAAGGCUUCUCGACAAGGAAGCGUUGACUAUUUAUUUUCUCUGGAAAACACCCAGAAGAAUACAAAUCCACCACUUGGGCUUAUUUCACCAAAAUCUUGGUACUUGUUUUGCCUAAGGACUUCGGGGCAACGAGAGAUGCAGCUCGGACUUCAGGCUCGCGAGUGGUGGCCACAAAAAUCCGGCGUGACUUUCACGUAUGUGGAGAGAUAUUGACCUUUGCUGGACAUCGGUGAAUCCAUCGGGCAUAGAUGGAACUCCACAGGAGUCUCGGUGGCUCUAAAAUAUGAUGAAAGUGACUCAGACGAUCCUGAGUUGUGUUGGUGAGGAGCUUGCCGAGACCGCUGGACACUCCUGGGACCUCGACCUGAGGUGCGUCGCUGGUGGCAGGACUCUUGAUGGAUCAGCAAUAGCGACGUGAGGAUAGGCGUAGUGGUGAGGCUACGUGAGGAUUGCAGAGAUAACGAGGUCACGGCCGCGAAAGGGACUUGGCCGUGACUUCUCGUCUUUCUCCUUUUUCUCAGUGUGUGCGCGAAGCCUCCCCCUACAUACGGCCGUGUGUAUCGAUAUAUGUGGCCUCCAUCUUUGUUGACUAUUGACCUCUGAAUAUGAAGACUUUCUCACGUGUAAUGGCCGAAGAUCAUCACUUGCAGGACUUGAGUCUGUGUUUAAUGCUAUGGUGGGCAGAUGGUUUGCCCGAGUGGACUCAACCUUUCGAGUAUGUCCUUUGUUCCCAGCUCUCCAUAUCUCCUGGUUCUGCUCAAAAACCUGCAAAACAGAAUAUUUAUCUAACUUGGUUCGGUGAGGACACUGCAAGUCUCAAUGGUGCUUUAUGUCAUCAUGGUAGAGGGUACUGAGCAGCAAUUCGUUAGCACGGCAACGGCGGUGGCUCACGAGUUCACGAUAGACAUCGGGGUCAGCGAACUUGGCAUAGUAGGACUCCACGGAUGGGAAUCUCGGCGCAACAGCUUUUUGGUCUGGUUCGAAUUUGUUGCUGGCUGGGUAGUCGCGCGAGGGCAAGGUAGGGCGUCGGUCUUCGCCGAGGGACUUUCUGGAUCUUCUUUGGUCUUCAAAUUAAACCAUACAAUUGAGCCUCUUCCUUCUUUUUUAAUAUUCCUUCCCCGAUCAAAAUUGCACCCGCCGUACUUUCUGCCACCACUACACUUGCAUAGAUUUUCUCUCCCAAGUGUUGCUCUUUUGUCGGUGUCGCUAGGCACAGUAUCUGCCAGGAAAGUGUUAGUGGUUGUGGACGAUCAGCAAGGUGGAAAUCCGAUGCACCGAGCCUGGAAAGGACUGGCUCUGGCUUAUGGAGACUUUGGACCGGACACCAUCAGUCGUGUGGCUUCGUCGUAACGAGGUAGCAGCGAGCGUCGGGUGGUUGCUGUGGUGAUCUUGGUACAACCGACGAAUGAAUCCCGUGAAAACGUCCGUGAGGUCUUGGCCAAGAAGGGACUCCGCCAAGACUCCUCCCUUUCAUGUGUGUUUACCCUCUGUGUUUUUUUAUUGAUUUCUCAAAAGAACGAACGGAAAGCCCCCAAAAUCCGAAGAGAAGCCCCACUCACGUUUUUCUCUCGACGGCCGUAUAUUCAAUGUGUGGCCCCCUUCUAUUCUUCCUCUGCGAAGGUCCUUUAUAGGGAGAGGGUUUGAACUAUCAUGGAAAGAAAGCAUAUUUUGUUUCCUUCUGUGCAUGCUUUGAAAUAUAUUCUAUUUCCUUUUCUUUUCCUCAUUGACCGAAUGCCUUCUCUGCAGGGAUAUAUCUUUUUUGCAAAUCCGUGUGCCCGCAGUGUAGAACGUGCCCAACAUUCCCUUCUCAUGCUGAUCUUUCGAAUUUCCUUUGUGCAUAUUGUAUGAAUCGGACCGGAUAAAUUCUUUCCUCUUAAAAUAAUGCUGGUCAAUUUCUUGCUCCCCACGUUGACCGAAUUAUGGCUAAGCGCAUAAUUUUCCUUCACGUGGAUGGGCUUCUCCAUGUGCGAAUCGGUGGCCGCUUACACGCUGUCCUUCCUUUGCAUUCGUUCCCUUAAAUGCACAAAUAUGUCAGUGCCAAUAUGCAGGAAAUUUCUUAAUCGACUUUUAACAAUUUAGGACACCCAUGUCAAUGUAAUAUCAAUCACCACGGAGGAAUUAUUCACUUAUCCAAAGUUUAAAGCCAUCCAUUCACCGCUGGCCCAACAAAUAUGCAAUUAAAUGAAAUAUGCUCCUAAUGACCAUAUGUUAUGCAAUUACAUUUUUUAGGGGUUAAAAUUAAUCCCUGAUUUUUAUGCGAUAAAUGACUAAACGGGUUGCCAAAAUUUAGGUGUCAAUAACAACAAACAUAAGUAUAUAUUCCUACAUUUGUGAAUUCACCACAUUUGGAUGUAUAAAAUAUUAGGAUCAGUGAUUCCUCAACUAUAUAUUAUUCAUGUAUCACUCCAUGAACCAAUACACAAUCACAUCCUUUGGGAGUAUGAUUACGCAUUAAAACAUCAUACUAAAAUAUGAGACCAAUAUUUUUCAUAUCAAUUAAAACAUUGAAACUCUCUCAUACUAGGAAUAUACAACUUAUGUCUCAUAUUUACCAUAUACAUGUAUUUUUAGACUAAAAGACGGGGGUAAUUUGUCUCUAAAAUCACAUGACAUACUAACUACAUUGUUCCAUCUGCAAUUAAAUCUUAUAUAUGCAAUCAAUGAAUCACACUCUACGCAUUAUCUAUGUGACGAUACAUGUGAGCUUCCAAUUGUAUUUUUGAAACCAUAAAAAAUACAGGAAAAUAUAGAAAAAUACCCUAAAAAAUAUAUGUGUUGUGGGUUUUAUAUGCAAUUUCACAUCUUUAAAAGCAUCAAACACGUAAAAUUAAUAUACCACAAUGUGGAAAAUCUCAAUACAAGAACGCAAGUACCAAAAACGCUCAGAUGCGCUCGUACGUGCCAUCGGAAUGUGCAAUGCAUGUAAUGCAUGCACAGCAUGCUUGAACCAGCUAAACCUCCCCAAUCCAACCGGUUUGACUAGUUCAACCGGUCAACUAUACCGAUCCGCCCAGUCAAUGUUAGGUCCGGUACAAUCAACGAACAACUAAGUCGGCUCGGAUCCUAGGUUUGGGCCGAGUCGACCCAUGUCCCAACUUCGUUGACAUAAGCCCCAGCGAGAGCCCACCUGAGCACGUGCAAUGCACGCACUACUACAAUGCGCGCGUGGCCAUGCAUGGAAGCAUGUACAAUGUCCCCUAGUGUCUUACGACCACUCAAAAUGCUUGUCUCAACAAGCUCUUUCCAUUUAUGUGAUCAAAAUUGAUUUUUACCGUGCAAAAAAUCAUGAAAAAUGCUCGAAUCCGUACGUUCAAGUUCUAGAUUAUGGUUGUUUUGAUGCCACAUGUAAGUUGCGAAAGCGCACUCAAGAUCUCCAUAGCUAGAAUCAAGAACGCAUAUAAAUAAGUAAAAAAAUUUGUGCUCUUUAUUUAAAAUCCAUCAUUCUUGAUGCGAAACAGCAAUGAUUCAAAGCUCAAAUACUUCUCCACUAUUGUCCUUUGUAUCAUUGGUUCAAUGUGACUACCCUCACCCUUAGUGUUCCGUAAAUGCUUCUUGUAUGAGAAUAUUUGUGUGUUAGGAUUAGAGAAGAGACAUAAUCACUAUUUAUAGAGUUUUUAGCUAAACCCUCUCAUCACAGGCUGAGCUCAACUUGACCCACACUAACCAGCUCAAUAUUAGACUAAUUAAGAAUAUCUCACUUUACUAGAUUAAUCAUAUAAAACAGUAAAUUACAAUACCAAUUAAUAUAGUCUACAUCAGAAAAAUUCUGACAAUUCAUCCUUAUAUUGGGCAAAAGAACCCUUCAAGUGCCAAAAGUUGGCACAAAUGGAUACUUAAGUGCCAAAACUUAUGAAAGUGACACUUAAGUGCCAUUUUUUAAUGAAAAAUUGGACACUUGAGUGUCACAUCCAGCGAACCUUAUCGAAAAUCUUACGUGCUAUUUUUUUAUUAAUUUUUUCACUUACGUGGCUUGCCGAAAGGCUGACUCGGCAAUCCACACACAAAGAUGACAUCAUUUUGGUAUAAUUCAAAUUUUAAUAUAAUAAUUAAUUAAAUUAAAUUUUAAUUAAUCAAUUAAUUAAUUGAUUGAUUAAAAUAUUUAUAUAUAAAAAAAGGGGUAGAGGGGGGGAGGAAGAGGAGGGAGGAGCCGGCGGCUGAGGGCUCAGCCCUCGCUAUCGCCGCCUCCCCUCCGUCGCCGGAAAGGUGGAGGAUCGUUAAAUGGGCACUCAAGACGUCUGCUGCAUAACAUAUUUGGCAGAAUUUGACAGGGUGACCUGGAGUGACACAAAUCAUGUGGUAGGAAUCAUGGACUUCCACACUUGCAAAGGAAAUUCAUGUACUCUUAAAUUUAUUUAAUCAAGUCCUUAUGCUUUCGUACACUUUCUAAUCGUGUCUCUCUUGCACCAAAUCAGGGCUACAAUCAACUAAAGCGGUCCAUCCUAUGCCACCCAAAUACAAUGUGGCUAAGCUCUGAUCCUCGAGAAUCGGUUCAGCAUAGCGCUUCACUGAUUCUGUCGCACUUGAGAGUCUAUAGCAAAUCGCCCAUCUGUUGCCCAGACUACUAUUUUGAACCAUGGCUCAUUCUUGCAGGGGACUGCUGCNNNNNNNNNNNNNNNNNNNNNNNNNNNNNNNNNNNNNNNNNNNNNNNNNNNNNNNNNNNNNNNNNNNNNNNNNNNNNNNNNNNNNNNNNNNNNNNNNNNNCCUCGUCGAAUCUAGGGGAGGGUCGUGACCCUCGUCCCAGAUCUGGGGGAGGGCACACAGGCCCUCGUCAUUUGUCGACUGGGGCCGUAGGCCCCUGGCUAGGCUCGACGGCCCUGGCUGACACUCCCCCACCUUCCCGGUGACGGAGGAGAGGCGGUGGUGGCGAGAGCUGAGCCCUCAACCACCGACUACCUCCCUCCUUCUCCCCUCCCCCCCCUCCCCCUUUUAAAUAUUUAAUUAAUUAAUUUUUUAAAAUUUAAUUUAAUUAAUUAUUAUAUUAAAAUUCGAAUUAUACCAAAAUGACGUCGUUUUGACACUGUUUAGCCACAUUAGCAUGCAAAACGAUGUCGUUUUGCGCACAACUCACCGGAAAAUUGCCACAUCAGCGUUUUGGCCAGAUUUUCUCGUCGGUGGCACAUAAGUGAUUCAUUUUACUCCGAUUUUGGCACUUAAGUGUCACUUUAGUAACUUUUAAGUGUCAUUUUGUGCCAACUUUUAGCACUCCGAGGGUUCGGGUGUCCCUUAUAUUGUUAUAAUGUAUGAUAUCCUGAAAUUCGACCCAUUUCGAAAUAUAUUAAAUGGUUAUUUCAUCAAUGCACUAAUAGUUUAGGUUGUAUUAAAGUUGCAUUUAAUUGAUUUCAACCAUGGAUUUUAAUUCGAUUUCAAGUAUCGACUUUCAAGGAUUCCACAAUCAACCUAUCAAACAUCACCUCAUUCAUUUGUCAAUUUAUUAGUAAGUCUUAAUCUUUGGACAAUGAUUAGUAGGUCAAGAAUUGGAAGUUGGAAAGGGAACUGGGCCAAGCGAAGGCCCAAUGGGCCUCACACCCAAAUUAAAGACCCAAAUUGGAUGAAUUAAGCCCAAGUCCAAGUUUGUCAAGCCCAAACCCAAACCCUAAUGAAUAGUGUGCGUGAAUAAUAACUCACGUGAAUAGUAACCUAACCUCUAGAAGCCUAAUUUUAUACUUGUCUUCAAGGUCCUGAUUCAUUAAUACCCUCUAGAAGCCAUGAUUACAAGAGACAAAGACUUUGGUAUUGCAAGAAGACUUGCCACCUUUGGUUUCUUAAAUUCUACUAUGAUUUCAGUUUUCGAAAUUCCUAGACGUUCACUAUUUUCCGAUUUUAUAGAACUUCUUGUGGUUUGAAUUUGGAGAAAAUUUCUCAUGAAAGUCGUUCAAAACAUCUUGAUGUAUAACAUAAGUUAAUUUUAGAAUUUUCUGAGGUAAAAUGGUUGGUAUGAGAGCCUAAUAUUUUACCGUGUGAAAACUGUCCAGUGUAGUAAAAACAGUGACCAGGUUGUCUUCUCGAAUUUUUAUAAACUCUUCCCUUUGGAAUCUGAACAUGCUUCCUUCAAAAAAAUUGUAAAAAAAAUCCAUAUCUACAACAUACGAAAAUUUCAAUGUGUUUUAUGAAUAUUUGGAUGUCAAAAUGAAUUUAUUUCUGCAGUCGUUGAAUCUGUCCGACAGACAAAAUGUUGGAUUGUCUUUGGUGAUUUUCUGCUCUUUAUACAAACUGAUCUAGUCAUUGCUUCCUUCAUGAAAAAUGUUAUUUAAGACCAUUUCUACAACAUAUUCAAUUUUCAUAUUUUUUUUGAAUCCAUUUGAUAAGGUAAUGAUAUUUAUUUCAAAAAUUGCUCGAAAUUGUUCUUUACAGUGGAGGGAGAGGGCCACACGCCCAAGCUUCGAGGACAAGCCUAGGCAAUUGUAUGGUUGAGAUCAACCCUUGCUCCCCAAGCUUAGACUAUUGGAUGGCCAAGAUUGCCUCUUACUCCCUAAGUUUAGUCAAUUGUGUACUCCCCAAAUUUAGCCAAUGGUGUAGUUUAGAUCUACCCUUGCUCCCCAAGUUGGAAUUGAGGGCCAAGAUGUCCUCUUACUCCCCAAGUUAGGACUUCAAGUCAAGGAGUGUUAAUAGGCCAAUUUCUUCCUCAAGUUUUCCUCUUUUUCCCUCAUUUCUCACUUUCUCUUUCUACCCCUCCCUUUGGACGAAUUUUCCUUCAUUUCUCUCUCUCAUCUCAUACCCAUUCCUCUCUUUCUCUCUCGGUUUGCUACCCUACGUCGUUGUACCGUGCCGCCUUACCGUUCGCCAAUUCUCAAGCCACGAGGCACCAUCACCGCCAAACCACCACCAAGCCACCAAGCUUCCUUGGCCAUGAGCUCAAGCUAUUGGCGCUGCUGUGGUGCCGCCGUUCAAACCGUGAGCUCAACGUUCUUGCCAUUGUCGCACUACUAUCGCCGUUAGCUUGCCGUCGCUGUAAAACCGUGAGUUAACUUCCUAAUCUUUUAUUAUGAUGUUAAUUGCGUAUAGGGGUGGUUUAGAUUAAGGCUAAUGGUAGUCAGUAUGGUUUAGGUGAUAGGUUAUUGUGAUAGGUGAUAAGUAGCCUUCAAAGUUUAUCGCAAUAGGUGAUAAGUGAACUUGAUAGGUUAUCGCAAUAGGUGAUAAGUAAACUUGAUAGGUUAUCAAGAAUAGAUGUUAAGCUAUCACCGAAGGGAUGAUAAGCUAUUGAGAAAUUGGAGAUAAGCUAUCACCAAAGGGGUAAUAAGCUAUCGGAAAAUAGACGAUAAGCUAUCACUAAAUGGACGAUAAGCUAUCGGUUUAGGGUUGAUAAGCUAUCGCAAUAGUGCGAUAAGAGGUGAUUUUUAUGUGUUUUAUACUUGAUUUAUGGGGUGAAUCUAUGUAUGUUUUAUGUUGGUUUAAUCUCGUGAUGCCAUGAAAAUUUAUUGUCCAAGUUAGAAACCUUGUAUACUAUUUUUAAAGAAGGUUUUACUUACAAGAAAAUGGCAAAUUUGAGGUGUUGUGUUUGGACACCGUGUUUUAUGUGUUAAAUGGCGCAAUUGGGGCUUGAAAACGAAAGUAUGCAAAAUUUGACAGGUUGACUCCAAGUACAUAACCACAUGUGAUUAUUUUACCGGAAUUUUAAAUACAAAGAUUUUCCAAGAUUUAUUAUUUGAGCACGAACUCUUUACACUGGGCUAAUUGAUGGCAAAUAAAAAAACUUGGCUUGAGUGUUGGCAUGCUUGAGUGGUCACUUAAUUGAACUUAUCACCCAACAGGAGUUUGGGGGCGAUGCUCGAUGUUUAUCCGAUGGCUAACGGGGGUCUGGAUGCUGAGUCACGGUUGAGGCUGGACCAAUGCUCUUUUAUGGAAUGCCGUCUAGGUGGGGAAUCUAGACGUUAUAGUGCUCGAUGGGGCGAGACGAUACCCGAUCAUGCCGGAAGACCCCAACCCUUGUGGUGGCUGUGGCCCGAGAGGUUAUAAUAAUUGGAACACGUGUGUUGGCAAUGCGUAUGGGUACUAUGAAAUGUGUUCUGAUUAUUAGUUAUACUUAAUGCAUUGAUAUUGGCCUAUGUGAUUAACUAAUGUGCAGGAUGCACCAAGGCGAGGUAAGGAUGUCUACGGGUUACUUGACAGCUUUAAUAUUUGUCUUUAGGGUUGGUUGCUUGACCAUGUUCAUAGUUAAGGCAAAGCAAGGGUUGCUUUGCUAUUCAUUUGCCAUCGAUAUAACGUUACAUGUUUAGGCUACCUUUGAGAUGAAUUAGCGUCUUAGUUGAGGCUUAGGUCGUUAAUUCGCUGAUAUAUUUAUAUCUUACCCUGUUGUCAUUUAAUAUUUUUCAGGCCCAUAGUAUGGAGAAUCGUUGUGCUCAGUUCGUGGUCCCUUUGGAGACUAGAGAUUUGGUCUGGCGUUAGUGAAGUUUAGAUAACCCCGACCUACUGUUGGUUUUUGUUGGUUGGUUGGAAGUUGCCGGUGUAAGGGCUUGUAAUCACUAAACUUCCUAGGAUUAACGGUAAAUUUGUAAUUGAAGUGUUUGGUUUAAUGUUGUGGUAUUUUCCGUGUUAUUCCUAUUAUAAUUGAUAUGAUUGACCAGGUAUUGUUUAUAUCAAAUGCUUCCGCUUGUAUUUAAUUGAAAGAUUAAAAAAAAAAAAAAGGAAUGGGUCCACGACGCGUCCUGAGAUGUUGCAAAUUUAUCGACCGUGGUGGGAUGUUCGCAUGUUGGGGGUUCAGGGCAUGAAAUCAUCAAUUUUCCGGGAAGCAUACUUAUAGAGAAGCAAUUUUAUGUGCUUUUUAUUUAGACUUUUCUCAUGUUUUGACCUCUUCGUACGCUGCAAAAAGGAAAAAGGAAAGUUUAGAUGUGCACGAUAUCUAAAGGCUGGGGAUCUUUAAUUCAGAUCGAUACUCGAUCAUAAUAUCCUAGUUCCAUGACUCUGAAAGCUUUACGCUAACACCAUCUUUAAAACCUAGUAUGGGAUUGCGGUAGACAUCUCCUAUCUUGAUUUCCGUCCACCUGUAAAUAAGUAUACAGAAAAGAAGAUCAUGAGACAACUGCCACGAGAUCUCGGCCACAUUUUCUUGCCAGAGACGACCAAUAUAUUUGGAAAAGGAUUGAGAAUCUGUCUACCUAAACUUUGUGACCAACACAUGAAGAAAUGCACAUAAGAAGGCUCGAGUGUAUUCUGCACCCACACAUUGUCUCAUUCCUCCACCAAAAGGCGUGAAGUUCUGCGAUAUUGUGCCUGAAUCAAGAUCCUGAUAUGCAAUGGACAUCAAGAUAUGCCAAGAAGACGGAAAAAAUUCAGUCCAUGAAGAUUUAUUGAAGAGAAAGCUCAUGAAAUAUCUGCUAGCUUUUCAAGUGUCACACCUUCCAGCGCCAAGGGUUAAAUUCAAGAGGAUUCUCAAACACAUUGUGAUUCAUAUGAAGAGCGGUCGUGACUACCAUGAUCGACCACCCUUUUGGGAUCGUAAAUCCUGCAAGUGCAUAGUUUGUGAGAGUAUAUUGCUAAUUAGAGUUUCAAAAGUGCGAACAUCCAUCGGGACCACUCACCUUUCACUGGGAUAUCUUGUAAUGCUCUUCGGAGUACCCCUGGAAUGGUAUUUGCCAGCCUGAGUGUUUCAUUUAUUACCUAAAGUGUUUUUUUUUUCAAGGAGUACUUUUACAUGUUGGAACAUGAUUGCAUAGAAGGCGUAAUUAUAUAUAUUCUUGUGAAGGGAUUCUGCGUCACCUGCAUCGUGAAAGUCAUCGACUUGUAUUCAUCCCAACAAAGUGCAGUACUUUGAUGCUCUCUCUUUUCAAGGAUCAGUUUGUGCUCGGCCUACGAUGUAAUCAUUGUCAUUAUUGAACAAUUUUUCACAAUAUGGCAAGUUCAUACUCGUUAAGUAAAUCCUCUCACCCUUAAUUCUGCUAGGACUGCUGGGGUCUCAGACAGUAGCUUGAAGAUCAUAGCCAGCAUUGACGAAAUAGACUCAGAACUUGCGAAGAUGCCCGCAAACAUCAUCUGAACUAUGAAAUCCUCUGUCAAGAACUCCUGAUCAGGCAUGCUGUCAAUUGCCUGAUCAAGAAAAUCCACAUUGCUUGUUUUCCCUGAAUUGAGUCUCUCCCUCAGGAUACCUUUGAGCAUAUCUAUCAAUUUCCUGUGUUCCUGGAGUGAAACGAUGAAUUGUCAAAAAGAUUAAGAUUCAUGUAUUUGGCUCAAAACUUGUUUUGUUUCCAAGGUUUGCCUUAAACUAAUUUUCUACUUCAUAGCCCAUGCUUUCCUACUCCUUGAAGCCUAUUCUGUCAGUCCUCUAUGGCUAAAGAAAAAACUCAGUAUACUAUCUUUUUGAACCAUUUAGGUGUUGGAGUUGGCACUAUGGGCAUUUCCUAACUGCAGGGGAAAAUGAAAUGGCGAUUGAGAUUUUCUUCUGUCGAUAAAAAUGUAAGAAAACAUAAGAGGUGUUGCAAUUUUAAUUACCUUUAGGCACCUACGGUAUGCAGUACCAGGGACAUUCAAGGGAAAUGCCAUGAAACCUCUUAAGAACCUGUUGCUCCACUCAUUGGUAGCGUCUGCUGAAGCCUCAUCAGCAUCAUAACUAAAAAGUUGCUUCCCCGCGAAAUCGAACAUCAUCUAAAAGAUGGUUAGUUCAACAAAAUAAACUUGUAAGCUCAAUGAAAAAAUUUCAAUGCUGUAAAUUUUAAAGAAGACAUGCCCCAAACUGACAAACUAGAGUUUUACAGCAGAAGCAGCUUGUUUCACUUCGAUGCACGGUUGGCUAGACCACAUUCUUAGACAUCUCUCAACCCCUUCCUCUAUUUGCUGAAGCAGCUUUUCUCUGAGGAUGUCGGAGCCAAAGUGAUUCAGAAAGAUUCUUCUUAUGUACUUGUGAACUAGACCGACUCUGCUCAAGCGGGAUUCACCCUCCAUUGCAAGUAUCUUGGCAAAGGUGUCAAAGUACCACAUUUCAACGAGCCUCCCUUCUUGCUGAAGGAUGUGAUUAUUAAAUUCAGGGUCUACAGAAAAAAUGAUUGGCCGACCUGCUAAACUGGUUCGGAAUAUUGGCCCAUACCAGAAAACAGAAUACAUUGAUUAUCACGUUAAUUCUUUCAGGAAGCAAGAGAACCUGUUUCCUUUGCGGCAAUCUCUAUUAAGCAAACAUCGUUGAAAGAGUUUAAGAAUGGACUCAAGCGCUUUCUCAUCGUUCAAGCUUCUCAAAAUCCAUUUAUUUUUUUAUAUUCAACCUUAAAAGAAGUUCGAAAGGUCGUUAUGGGUUUGGCCUCCACGUAGAAAAAUUUCAGUAGUUCAGAAACCAAAGAAUGUUACCAGUAGAAAAACCAAACUGAACCUGACAGAUUAAAAGCAUAGAAUACUCGAUUUGUAAUUAUAUAGUUGAACAGAUAAUCUUUUAGUGCAACACCAUACCAUUACAACUUGACGCACGCGUGAUAUUCACGAUAAGGUUGAAAGCCAAGCCAAUCUAAUCGGGUUUUCAAGAGUCAGGCCACACAAGACCAAAUUAAUAUGGACCCCGCAAUCUACAAAACCUUGGGUGGAAGGAUGUUACCUCUGAACUCUCUUUCUAAUGAACGGAUGAAGGUCAAGAGAGUAGCUGGGAAUCAAGAGCUUAAGAGUCUCCCCAAGGAGAGGCAAACCCAUUGAACCUGGAGGCAAAACUCCAUUGCAUCUGGGUUUUCUCCACUUGUAGACCCAACGAACAAAGUACAAUAAAGUCGCUACCGCAAGGCACAAUGAAAAGACCCACAUUUUUCUCUUCAAGUUUGCGACUCUUCUAAUCCUACAAAGAGACCAUAUUUAUAGAUGGCCGACAUUUGCAUGAGACAUUUGCAUGAACUGUCGCACCCCUAAUCCCAGGGGGAUGACACGACUAUUCUUUUACCCAAAGUAUGCAAUCUCUGACCAUCCAAAUCCGACCUCCAAAAGUCUGUCGAUAUCACUCUCACUCUAUAGGUUGCUAACUCUCACGAAGUUACGUGAAUUUCGUCCCAUAGUCACAUGUGAGUCACAUGUGCUGGUAAGCAUGCGAAGAUUUGGCCGGCCAAGAGAAAUCAAAGUUAUCCAUUUCCAGCGGUAAUGUAAGACUCCACGCCUAAAGUUUAUUUUAAGAAUGGGUCUCCUCUGAUGACUCUUUUAAGAAAAUAGGGCCUAUUUGAAAAUUUCCCAAACAUAGAACACGUGAUUCCUAUCUUGCUUAUACAGUUGAACAGAUUAUCUUUUAGUGUGACACCAUACUAUUAUAAUUUUAUACACACGUCUGAAACCAAAGCCAAGCUAAUUGAGUUUUUCAAUGCCAAUUCACUUUGGUUUGUUUUCGUUCCCCAUAUAGGACCAAAUUAAUAUAGACUAUAUUUCAUCAACUCAUGCACUCCCCUCGGAACUACAAAAGAAAAAUGGAGGAGGAGAUGUUACCUGCAUUCGUUUCGCAUAAAAUGAGUGAUUUUGAAUAUUUUUUUAAAAUAAUCGUUUGUAGCACUGACAAAAAUAAAUAAAUGAAAAAUAUUUUCAUCGUCCACGAAAAUAUUUAGGCAUUGUCUACAGCGAAAAUAUUUUUCAUUGAUUAAUUAUUUUCCUUUUUAAGAAAAUAUUUUCCAAAUCAUUUAUUUUUCGUGAAACAAACAGACCUUUUAAUGGGUUUUGCUUUGGACCAAGUUUGGAAUCUAGAUGGACGGUAUCCCAAAAAACCAAACCAAACUACUCAUACUUUAAAAAAAAAAAAAACCAUUAAUCUUAAGCAAUUCACCACUUCCAUAGGCAAUUAUCUUUUGUUUUUGUAUUAAUAUUUCUUUUAUUUGGAUACUUAAAAGAAUGACAUCAAUUGAGUUUCAUAUUCCCAAUUACUUCUUCCGGCGGGCUUUGGCACUUCUUUUCAAAAAGCAAACGGGUUAGCAACAACGUCAUACAUCACGUCAUACAUCCCAAACCCGCCCGCUGCAUUCCUGUGCCAUUUUAUAUAUAAUAAAAGAUAUAGUCCGGCCCAAAAAACAAACAAGAAAGAUUUAAGUCCUCCUUAAUUCGCAUUCCAGACAAGCCUUAUAUCAAAAUUAGACAAAAAUUUUGUUUUUCUCCUGUUUCAAAGAGGGAGUUCCUUUGGCAGCGGCAGCGGCAACAAAUAAUCAGCAUGUUUAAAGACAAUUUUCCAACUGCGACUAUGAAAAUUCAAGGUCAGACUCGAAAUUCAAUGAUAAAAUUGCCCUCGUGACAAGAUUCCAAAAUUCGAGAAUGGCUGACAAGAUGCUAAGGGUGAUAAACGGUACAUCCUCAGCACUCGUCUGAUUUGAAAGGGAAAAUUGCAUCUUAAACCCAUGAAGUUAAACAUGUGUUGGUCAAAAGUUAAACAUGACUUUUUGUUAAAAAUAUGUCUCGAGUUUGAACUGUUAAAAAAACUGGACUAAUGAGAAUACGUGAACUUGAUCACGUGUGAGUCAAAGCAGCGCAUGUGAAUUAAUCAGCCAAAAUUGUCAAAAGAAGAUUGCAUGCAGAUCUACAAGCCGCAAGCGUGAAGAAUAGGCCAGAAGGGAGCGUGCAGCUGUGAGAGGGAAAGUCCAAAAUUGCUGCUUGUAUUUAAUGCAAAUAGAAGCUUUUUGUCUUUUGUUAUUUGGCUGAAGUGCAAGAGAGAAUAGUGCUCGAGUUGGACUUCUUCAAGAAAGCUUGGGGAGUUGGCGCGCAUGAAGAAAAGUGCAAUGAUGGCAUUCAUUGCAUGGGUCAAAGAAAGAAGAAAGAAAGCUUCAUACGUCCAUUUUCUCCCCUCCUUUAAUGCAUGCAUGGACAUCCAUGGAUUAUGGUGGGCUUGCUUUGUCCUUUCUUUCUCUGAAGAAGACUUCCUCACGUUGCAAUAAAUAAUGGAGACUCUCUUUUAUAUUAUAAAAAAGGGAGAUGUCCAACGGAGAAGAGUGCACCCAAUUUCGGUGGCCGAGAGAGAGCUCCUAAGGAGUGUAGAGAGUUCUCUUAUGUGAGGGAUUUUCUCGUUGUAAUUAUACCCGAGUAUUUUAGCCAGUUAAAUUCUUGUGAGUAGAAUUUGUUUAAUUCCUUGAGUGAGAUUUCACUAGGAAUUGUUAAGGGCUAAACACUAUGUGAGUUAUUUGGAUGUAAUUUGGGGCCGGGAAACACUAAGAGUGUGUUUGAGUACUCGAGUGAUUGUAAUCUCCGGUGUAUCGUUUGUUUCUAUAAUGGAAUUCCGUACUACUCUCCUUGUGGACGUAAGUUCCGAUAUUUGGACCGAACCACGUAAAUCUGGUGUCCGAUUUCCUUUCCUUCAUUCCGACUAUUUUAUCCGAUUUGCUUGGUCCAUAUUCCGCGUGCACAACAAGUGGUAUCAAAGCCUGGUUUGGCUGACGUGAAGCGAAUUGACGACUAAUGGAAGAUGGAAAUGUGAGAAUCGACCGGUUUGAUGGGAAGGAUUUUGCUUUCUAGAAGAUGCAGAUUGAAGAUUGUCUGUACCUGAGAAAUUUGCACUUGCCCUUAUCUGGGGAGAAACCAGACUCGAUGAAGGAUGCCGAGUGGGAAUUGCUGGAUAGACAAGCAAUGGGUGUUAUUCGGCUAACGUUGGCUCGUAACAUUACAUUUAACAUCGUGACGGAGAAAACCACUGCGGGACUAAUGAAAGCCCUAUUGAAUAUGUACGAAAAACCCUCUACGAUCAAUGAGAUCUAUUUGAUGCGACUUUUGUUUCACUUAAAGAUGGGCGAAGGUACGUCAGUAGCUAAACAUAUCAACAAAUUCAACGAGGUCAUUAACCUAUUGAGUUCGGUGGAGAUUAACUUUGAAGAUGAGAUACAUGCGUUGAUUUUAUUAUCCUCAUUGCCUAAUAGUUGGAAUACUACUGUUACAGCUGUUAGUAACUCCUCUGGGUCACGAAAUUUGAUGUUUGAUGAGAUUCGUGAUUUGAUUCUAAGUGAAGACAUUCGUAGGAAAGAAUCUGGUGAACCUGUGUCUACUGCUUUAGUAGGUGAAAGUAGAGGAAGAACUAGUACGCGUGUUAGCAUGAACAUGAACAUACGUAGUCAAUUUGGGACUGGUAAAGUUGUCUGUUGGAAUUGUAGCAAUAGUGGGCAUCGUAGAAGAGACUGUUUUAAGCUGAAAAAUGAAAAUGGUAAGGGAAUUAGAGUUGAGUCUAGGAUGAUGUUGCAGUUGUAGCUGAGAAUGAUUCUGAUGGUGUCGAUUGUGUCUUGUCUGUCACUGAGGAUUCGUCAUUUGAUGGAUGGAUAAUUGAUUCUGGUUGUUCAUUUCAUGUUACACCAAAUAAGAACUGGUUUAUCACUUAUCAGUGCAUGGGUAGUGGUAAAGUCCAGUUAGGGAACAAUGCUAAGUGCAAUGUGUUGGGUGUUUGUGAUGUUAAAAUCAGAAUGCAUGAUGGUAUUAUGAAGACAUAGACUGAAGUAAGACACAUUCCAGAAUUGAAAAAAAAAAAAAACUUAAUUUCCUUAGGUACCCUAGAUUUAGCUGGUUGAAGGUAUUCUUCAGAAGUUGGAGUUCUGAAGGUUGUUCAAGGUGCCUUAAUGAUAAUGAAAGGAAUCAAGCACGGAGGCCUGUAUAAACUUCAAGGUGAGACAGUGACAGGUUUCGCCUCGGAGACAUUGGAUGCAUCUGUUCAAGAGUCUUUUGAUUGCUCGAGGAAGACUUAGGUGUUUGUGCCAAUGCACAAGUUUGAUGUUGGUGUCAGGAUCACGCGGUCGAGAGCUUUGAUUGAGAUUGAGACUAUUAAGUUGAUCAAGCAUGUGCGGACUGACAAUAGCAUGGAGUUCUGCUCGGAGCUGACAAAUAAAUUCUACAUGACAGAGGGCAUAGUGAAACACCGCACUAGUGCCAAUAAAUCACAACAAUUUGCAAAAUUGAUGAGUAUAACAUUACUAAAAACGGCCCGUAAAAUGAUCUCUAGUACUAGUGUUGCUAGUAGAAUUCUAGUUGAUGUGCUUAAUACGGUAAGCUACUUGGUGAAUAGAUCCCCAUUAAUUGCUAUUGAAUGGCAGACUCCUAAAUAAGUGUGAUCAAGUAACAUUGCUGGUUAUUCGAUUUUUACAAUGUUUGGUUGCCCGUGUUAUUUUCGAGUGAGUGAUGGUAAGCUCGAUGGGAGGGUAAGGUGCAUAUUCCAUGGCUAUGCAUAAGGUGAGUGGGGCGAUCAGUUGUGGUGCUCGAAUAUAAAUUCACCUGUUGACUGCAGAGAAGUUACCUUUGAUGAGUCUUAGGUACUUCUGGCUAGGAGUGUUUGUGGCAAUGUUAAUACAGAUCUGGACAGUAUUCAGGUCAAGGUGGAGUUGCAACCAGAAACUCCUGAGGUAGCAGGUACUAACAGAAUAAUAGACACGGAUGAUGCUUAUAGCGAGGUGGAGCCGAUAGAGCUAAUGGUUGUCGUAGCUGCUGAAUUUGACAAGGUGCGUGUUUGACCUUCUGUCAGAUAUGGAAGUAAUGAUGGUUUUUUUUUAUCUGUUAUACAGGAAGUUAUGUCAGAAAAUCCUUGUGGAGUAGCUAAUUAUGCAGGUAGAGUUGGUGUCUUGAUGAGGUCCACAGUUAUGGGAAAGUUCAAGCGCGGCUUGAACUUAGAAGCACUUUGUGGCAGUUGAGCCCAUUGGGGCUGUUGGAGAGUAGUAGCGAGGUGUCCACUGAAGUGAUUAUGGCUUGGCUGAAACGUCAAGCCAAGAUGGAAAUUGUUGAAAAUAUGUCUCAAGUUUGAGCCCGUUGAAUAAAAUCGAACUAACGAGAAUACGUGAACUCGACCAUGUGCAAGUCAAAGCAGCACAUGUGAAUUAAUUAGCCAAAAUUUUCAAAAGAAAGAAGAAAGAAAGCUUCAUAUAUCCAUUUUCUCCUCUCCUUUAAUGCAUGCACAUGCAUGGACGCCCAUGUAUUAUGGUGGGCUUGCUUUGUCCUUUCUUUCUUUGAAGAAGACUUCCUCACGUUGCCAUAAAUAAUGGAGACUAUAAAAGAGAGAGAUGUCCAACGGAGAAGAGUGCACCCAAUUUCGGUGGCCAAGAGAGAGCUCUUGAGGAGUGUAGAGAGUUCUCUUAUGUGAGGGAUUUUCUCGUUGUAAUUAUACCCAAGUGUUUUAGCCAGUUAAAUUCUUGUGAGUAGAAUUUGUUUAAUUCCUUGAGUGAGGUUUCACUAGGAAUUGUGAGGGGCUAAAUACUAUGUGAGUUAUUUGGAUGUAAUUUGGAGCUGGGAAACACUGAGAGUGUGUUUGAGUACUCGAGUGAUUGUAAUCUCCAAUGUAUCGCUUGUUUCUAUAGUGGAAUUCCAUGCUGCUCUCCCCGUGAACGUAAGUUCCAAUAUUCGGACCAAACCACGUAAAUCCGGUGUCUGAUUUCCUUUCCUUCAUUCCGACUAUUUUAUCCAAUUCGCUUGGUCCAUAUUCCGCGUGCACAACACUUUUGAUAGCAAAAAUUUGCCACAUUCAACAGAUGAUGAAGUUGUAAACCUUUGUAAGGUAUCAAAACUGGAGAAACCUGUAAAGGCUAACUCACAAACAACGAAAGGUGUUCGAUAAGCGCAAAUCACGUGAGUACCUAAGGGACAGCAGAAUGUCUCUUUUUCAACAAUAAAUGCCUGCAUAUCGAGUAUAACAACCUACACAGAGAAAAUGAUAUACAAGUAUCUUGAGAAGCACCAGGAGGCAGAACUCUGGGAUUUGCUCAAGAAGGUAUUUUGUGUCCACCCACUCUUUCCUGGACGAGUUUCAUGCAGAAGAUACACCGUAAAUCUGCUUGUCCAGUUUCUGUCGUUGCAGUCAUCAGACAUCUAAGGUUGCAUCAAGGGAGAUCCACAAUCAAGAUGUUGACACUUUCACUGAGCGACACCUGGAAACAUAUAGGAUACAAUGUCUGAGUGAAACUGCCAGGAGAAAAUGCAUUUCGGCUUUCAUUUCGGCACGAAGGGACUAAUAAGAAAGAAAAAUGUUCAUUCACAGAACUGAUUGAACUAAGAUAAACAUUGACCGAUCUGUCCUCAAAAUUUAGAGUGGCUGCACAGACCUUUUAGGUAAAGAAGGAAUUGCAACUGCAUUUCAAGUAGUCAACAAAUAUUGGAUCCUAUGUAGCUGAAAACAGGCAUAGAUGAACGAUAUUCCAGCAUCUUGCUAUAAUGAUGGCAGUCAUCUUAGAAUGACACCAUCUCCACCCAGAAAUUUUCCACUAUUUCCAGAACUUACUUUCAUUGGGAAAACAUAUGUAAACCAUGUGUUUAUCAAACAAUAUCAAGCUCAAAAUAAAGAACCAGGCAGCCACUCUCCUUUCCCAGUCUGUCAUCUCGCACGACACAAAUACCCCAAAAUCCAGCCUGCCCCACUCCUAGGUGCCAAAAAUGGAAGCACAUUGAGUUCAAUCCUCCUAUAGGAUUACAAUGGCAUUUUGGAAGAGAAAACCCUGUGGGGUUUUGCUUUGGGCCGAGUUUGGAAUCUAGAUGGACGGUAUCCCAAAAAACCAAACCAAACUACUCAUACUUAAAAAAUACCAUGAAUCUCAAGCAAUUCACCACUUCUAUAGUCAAUUAUCUUUUAUUUUUGUAUUAAUAUGUCUUUUAUUUGGAUACUUAAAAGAAUGACAUCAAUUGAGUUUCAAAUUCCCAAUUACUUCUUCAGGCCGGCUUUAGCACUUCCUCUCGAAAAGCGUAGGGUGCUGAGACAUUCUGCGCGCGCAAAAAAAGAUUACGAAUCAGAUUCGCCCCGUGGCAAACGCAAAGAACAACAAGAGCCCAAAAUCACAAUCCAUUUAGCAGGAUUAACUAUUAAGACUCCUCAGUUCCUACUCCAGAAUCCAUCCACAAUUCAGACCAAAACACAAGAACAAAAAACGAGAAUUCCGCCUAAUCACAAACAUCCCCGGCCCUCACUUUAGCGAAUGAAAACAGGCAAAGCACGCGCAGCAGAACUUAGCGUAUCGGAUUCGGCGAAAUAAGUGCUGCGACAUUACAUUGUUCUCGCUCGGAGCAUCGCUUUCACCGCCGAAUCAAUCGAUCGAGCACAAACGCCUACUGACGGAAAAGGAGCAAAGCUCGGUCGCCGACGUACCUGUUUGCUUCUGGCGGAGUUUGAGCGCCAUGGCUGCCGGAAGCUGCGUUCAGCUCGAGCUUACGAGAUGGAGAAUAGAAAGUGGAGAUCCGCGCAGCAGAUCAUUCGCCGCUCCAUCGGUCGCUUCUCCCGAGCUUUCGGCCUCGAUCGCGAUCUGGAGACAGUGGCAGAGUCGAUGGGAAAACGUUGCCGACAAGAUGACGAGCCGGAUUUGCGGUCGCGCUUUCGUAAUGGGCUCGAUCGGUUCGGCCUGAUUUGGACUGAGCGAUUUAACGAUCUGAUCAUCGUUAUAUUCUAUAUGUUUCCAGACAUAAUAUAGGAUAUGAGCAAUUCGAAGUUGUCUUACCAUAUUCGACACAUGUACGUUAUGAUGGUUCAAGUUAGGAACAGGACUAGCACGUUUCUUCUGAAAAUGGUCAAUAGGAAAGGGCCGAGAAAACUUUAGGUGUUUCCAUAGCAAGACAUUCUCGUCUUUGAAAGCUAAUUAGUGGGUAUCAAGUGUACUUUUCUAUUUCCCAAAUAUAUCAUACUUGUAAUGCGAUGACUAAUUUGGACAUAUGAGAUCAUUAUUUUUGUUAAGCAUGGAACAAAAAUCACUCUCUGAGGUUUGAAUUGGAGGUCCUUAGAACAAACCAAAUGUACAAAAUGAAAUAAAUUGAUUUGACCUAAUGUAAUCAAAUUUGAUUUGAAGUUGAGGUUUCAUUUUCCUAGAACUUUAUUUCUGAACUUCUAGCUUGAGCUUAACUCGAUAAGUAUUAUAUGUCUCAAUACCACCCUAUUUAGACACCACUCGGUUAUUAAUUUUUAUCAUGAAAUUUAAGCUCUAGCUCAAAUUUCAUCAUAAAAAUGAAAACUACAACUGACAUGAUUUUUCUUUGUCAUAUGGAAACUCAUUCGCGUAUUUAAUAUAGAACAUAUUUGAACUAGUUAAAUUAAGCUUUAUAAGUUAUUAAAAAUAACUCAUUAGGAAGUUUGGGGCCAAUUCGGUUUAGAUAUCAAGGCCAAAUUAGGCUAGGGAGCCCUUGAGAAAUUCAAGUAAAGCAUAAUCAAUCUCAUUUUGACUCCAUCUAAUCCUCGAAUCACCUGUACUCAGGUCAAACUUAGCAAGAGCUGAAGAAUCUUCGUUCGUUAACAAGUCGGGACAAUAGUCAUGAUUGGACCUUGGAUUGCUUUAUAAGACUUUUUACCUAGACCUGAUUAUGUGUCUAGUGAUUCACCUAGCCAUCUAGACCCACUAGAUCUGAGCUUUAAAUUGGGUAAGUCAAGACAAGCAAUUUUUUUCUAAAGUUUUGGCUCUAGUACCUAAUGUUGACACAUGAAUUUUGUUAAUAAUAUCUUUAUUUGGUGAACCAAAGUGACUGAGCACUAGGGAAAAUAAAAAAAUUUAGAGUAAAUAUAUCAUAUAUGUACAAGUUAUAUUUUUUUAUAUCAUAAAAAAGUUUAGAAUAAAUGUGCCAUAAUAAGUAUAAAGUUCAAAAUGAAUGUAUCACCAAUGCACAUUGUUUAUGAUCUUUUAUGGUUUUUUUCUCUUUUACUUAAGGCUAUAUUUGUUUCACGGAAUAUUUUCCAUAAUUUUUUGUGUUUGGGGGUAAAAAAUGAAUGAUCAAAGAAAAUAUUUUCCGAUAAAAGAAAACAGCUUCUUAAAAUUGGGAAAAUGAUGUCCAUUUUUGAAAAAAGAAAAUCUUUUUCUCCCCCGCCUCUUGUCCUCGUCUCCUCCUCCUCCCUCUCGUCCUUUCUUCAGAGCUUCUCCAUCUUUCUCCCACGAGUCUUUCUCUCGUCCAAUUCUCCGGAGCUUCUUCGUCUCGUCCCUCGUCUCCGGACCUCCUUCUCCUGCGCUGCCACUGCGUGCUUCUCUUCUAGAUAGCAGAGUAGAGAGGGCGCCCCCGCCGUUGUUUAGUCAUCCUUCAGUCCUAAGUAGAUCAUCGGGCGAUUUGCUGAAGUUUCGCGUCCACUGAUAUCUUUGAAGUCCAAAUUGUAGAUUCAGGUCAGUUUCCACCCCCCUCGUCUCUGAGCAAUUCUCCAAUGUCAAGUGCAAUUCCGUCUUCAUUCAUGUCAAAUCGGCUGUGUGUUCGUUGUUUAUCGCGGUACUUCACUUGCUCUCUGGUGGGGGUUGAGUUGAACGCAUUCAACAAGAAGUAAGUUACAAAUGAUUCAGAAGUAGUCGCCUGUUGGGGCAUACUUUCUAGGUCGCCACAUAGGGCAACCGCGUGAGCACUCCGGCAUUUUCACGAUGAGACGAAUGAUGGACAUGCAAAUCUUUCUCCGCAACUUAAAGGCGGAGUUCACUGCAUCUGGCCUCUGGAAGAUGAUUCAUGCAAUGACUUUCUCAGAUGAAAGUAAUAUGUCACGGUGAUUUCAUUUCCUGGGAUGGUGCAAAUCACCGAGCCACCUAUUGAGUCAUUAACUUCAACUCUUGAAUCUUGAGGGAAGAAGGUGAAUAUGUUCACAUUUGACAGAGCCCAGUGCAAGGUUUUCUUUUUGAAAAGAAACGUUCAGCUCUUCUCUGAUCAAUGGAAACUUAACGCCCGCCGAAGCAAUGGAGUAAUGGUCCACUUGCACAGCGCGGAGUUUUCUAUACCUUUGUGGUGCAAAGUUUGUUGAUUAUUAUUUUGGUUGGUUGGGUUAACGUUCGCUUUGUUUGCACGUUUAUUUAUGGCCUAGGGUGGCAGAUGGUAAUUGUGAAACUUUUUAGCUAUGAAAGCUAUUGAAAGCAUUUGUUCGUCGUACUUAUAGGUGUUCACAUGAUUAAAGGUUGAAGUUUGUUUGUGGGUUGUGUUUGAGUUGAGUGAGAGGUCAAGAGGGUUUGAAGGCAUAGGGAGGGAUUGCUAAAGUGGCUGAAACAGAAAUGAGGAGCUGCACUUUCCCAGAGCUUAGCUCCAUUCACGUCAAAUUCAUUGGCACGAAUUGGCUCUCUUAUAGAGUGCCAGUCAACCGAGCAGGUAAAUUUGAAAAGCAAUUUUUGGUAGAAAUUGAUAUUUCUUGGUCGUUUCUGGCUCUUAUUGAAAAGCAGCUACUUUGUAUAAUCAUAAGCAAAUAUAUUUGUAGAAAUUGAUGUUUGCUGGUUCAUAAGUUUAGUUCCACCUUCGUGUAUGCUUUGCAUACUUCUUUGAACCUGACCACCCAAUUCCUGAGUGCAUAAUGUUUCUCAAUUUGUGAAUUGAUGAUUCGCAAAUAUUCCCAAAUGCUGCUCUAAAUUGAUAACUCUUAAACAUGGCAACUAGAGUUUGUGAAACAAUCUUCUCAGUUUUAAGUAUAGUUGUGACUUGGCAAUCACGUUUCUAUCAAUGUGUGUUAGAAUUUAAUAGGAACAUGGAACUUACAAUUCAUUGUGGAGAUGGAUAAUGAUAAAAUCCAAGUGGCAGUAGUGGGUGCCGCUGCAGCAGCAAUCAUGACUGUUAUCACACUAGUCAUGGAUGAUUAUAAUCAUUUUGAGACGGUCAUAGCUGAGAAAAACGAAAUCUAUCAAUAUGUGACGGUAAGUUUUUUCAUCACUUGUCAUGGGCCAUGUAAAUGCAAUUCUUUUUGUCUUCUUGUUUUCUUUUUUCUAGUGAAGGCAAAAGAUUUCUAGUUCUUUUCCUUUCGUUUUUAGCUCAGAGUGAGAAGUUCCUGCAAUUUUAGUUGAAUGCUAUGGCACCGCGAUUGUUACUGCUUGUAUUUCUAGUUGGAAUAAUCCCAUUAAUAGUUUCCUUUAUUCAAUCUGCAGUUCCAUAGUAUUGUUUGGAUGCCUUCUUAUACUGGAAAUUUUACUAUAAAUAAGGUGUGGGGGGUAAAAAUCGGAUCUUCACCUGCUACAGUGCCGGCAUAAGCUGGUUUGGUUCGAUUCUGACAUACCAAUACAGUCUUAUAAGCUGGCUUGUUAUUUCAAAUAUGCUGCCUACUAGAUUGAUUGAAGGAGGGGAAUCCUAGGAAGGGAAUCCUUUUUUAAUGAUGUUUGCCUUCUCUAUGGAUCUUUCCCUGAAUGUAGUAGGGGUCACUUGUUUUCUGUAUGUGAUAUUUCUUUUGAAGUCUGGAGCAUGGUCUGUAGUUGUUGUGGUAUUCAAAGAAUUAGGCAUAGUUGGCUUGAAGAGUGGCAGUGGAUUUGGGUUAGUUGGAAGCGGAAAGCUAUAGCUAAUGUUGCUUGUAAGAUUUCAGGUGUCCUGUUAUUUAUCACAUCCAAUAUAUGAGGAAUACGAGGUUUCAUGGUGAUAAUUUUCUUGUUUCUAGAAGUGGUUUUAUGUUCAAAAUUUGAAGAUCUUGCCCUUUUCGUUUUGACUGAGUUAUCAUAGAUAAUUUGCAUUGACAGGUCCAUCCUUCACAUGAAAAGAGGUCUCAUAAAAGACAAAGAUGUGCUGACAAUAAUGAUAAAUAUGCAACACUUCCAAAACAACUUGGAGAAAUAGUAUCAACAAUUAAGUCGUUGGGUCAAGUCAAUGUCGAUUACUCCAGACUCUACGACAUGGUGAUGAAAGUGGAUGGAUAUGAUGAAAUUAACCUUUAUCGGUCUUUGAGUAUCUAGUUGAGAAUGACAAAAUGGGAAAGGCAUUCGUGGUGAAAAGUGCAAAUCUUCAAAAGGUGUGAAUUGAGAAAUUCCUAAGCAAAGGAGAAUAAGCUUUCAUGUGAGAAGACUUAUAUGUGUUCUAUCUUUUUAUUUUGUUAUUUUAGUAUUGUGAGACUAUUUUUAUAGCGUGGAUAUUUUUGGGCAUGUAUUUGGGAAUUUUAGGGGGCAAUGUCUAUGCAUCAAAUACAUGAAUAGGAAGGAAUGUCUUGUAUAUAUCCACACAGAAUGAGAAUGUGUUGUGUCCGCUUCUUCCUUCCUUUCCUUGUUGUUUCGAACACUUUUACUUAUUUCAUGUUUGUCAUGGCCAACCUUUCUCCUGUGGUGGAUGGAAGAUCUCUCAUACACUUGUCAAUUUGUCUAUAGGUUUAGGUGAAGGGAUGAAUUUUAAUGUUUGCGCAUAUCAAUUUACUUACAUACCAACUUUCUUAUGAUUAAAUGGGGUUUGAAUAAAUGAAAUCUGACAACUUUCUACGAAAAAGUUGUUUAGUGUUGCUGGGCUUAGGACCCUAAUAAUAUUUUGCACUAUGGCUCAAUGAACCUCAGGCCAAGGUGCAUGGAGGCAUGGGGGCGGAGUUUAAUGCUUAGCCUCGAUGGACCUGAGCCCGAGCUUGGCCUAUAGACCUGGAUCCAUAGAGGUCGGGCCCUCGUGCCCAUGCCCCAUCCUCCGGCUAUCUAUGCAUCCAAGAAAAAAAGUAUUUUCCUUUCCAAACAAUGAAAAAAAAUUUCUUUCAUUUUCAGAUUUCAAUCAAACAUCGAAGAAUAUGGUCAUUUCACUAGAAAUUGACUUUCAGAUGAAUAUUUUCAUAAAUGUCGAAUUUUCAAGGAAACAAAAUGGAGCCUAAGAUGGCAGUACUUAGUCAAUACCAAGAAAACCUUACCACUUAUGAGAUGGUUUCAUCACACAAGGUAAUACUCGUGACCGAGCACGGGUCUCCUAAUUGCACCGAAGUUUCCUUAGAUUGUGAAGAACUCACAACACACGGAAACGGCAACGACUACAAGUCUACAACGAAUGUCUGAAAGUGCUCUCGGUCAACUGGUUAACUAAAUAAAGACAUGCUUUAUUAGACUAUCUGAACAUUCUUUUCUCGUUUGUCCCACGGGUUCGGAAAGGCGCGCCAUUUUUAUUAAAUUACGUGUGAAACAAGGAAAGUCUCAACAAUGAGUUCGUAGGCAUGGACAUCUCAUGGACUUAGGUAGUGUGAAGAAUUGGUACAUGUUUCCUUAGCAGAUUCAAAAUUGCGUACAUCUACUUAGUCAGUAAUAAGUAGUCACCUGCAGCUGAGGGCAAAAUUCUGUUGUUCUAUGCCAAAAGUUUGACUUCUCAUCUUGAUAAAUUUCAAUAAGUGAUGAUAAUAGGGUCAAUAAUUUUUCGAUAUGACACGACAUGACAUGUAGCUAAAUAGUUUAGGUUGAGUUUAAGUAGGUUCACACUUAUACCAUUUAAACACAAUAAAUAUAUGUAUUGUUUGCAAGUUGAACCUUUCAAUCCAUUUAUGAUAUACCAAGACACAUUUAAUUUAUGAUAGGUCAAGACAAAUUGUUGACUUUUUUAUUUAAAAUUGGGCUUUGGGCUCUUUCAACCCAGCUCUGACCAAACCAAUUUGGUUUUUUAUCAGGCCUAAGGACCGGGUCUAGAAACGUCAAACCUCGUUUUGUUUGAAGACCCCUCGAGAACUUGCCUUCUAACACACGAAUUUCACCUUGACAAAUCAAGGAGAUUCUCAAGCACUUCGAGGAGAAAGUAUAACUCACUACGGGCGCAAUUGUUGGGUGCGGGUGACUGGGGAUUCAUGCUGUUCCUGCGACCCUCGCGAUCUUCUAGUCAAAUCUAGACUUCAUCCAAAAUGUGUUCGAAAAUUAACUCUUAUCAAAAUUUUAUAGGAUCGCUAUCGAAUAAUAUAAAAAUUUAAAUUAGUAGAUAAAUGCAUGAUUUAACAUUGAUUUAUCCUAUUUUAGCAUCCAGCACAAAAUGGGAUCGACAUUCCCUCACUUUAACAUUUCACAAAGAUAGAUGAUUUAUUAUUGGAAUAAGUACACUUAAAAUUCUAAAAUUUGUCACAAAAGUGUAAUUAAAUUCUAAAAUUUUCAAAAAGUAUAAUCAAAUUCUAAAAUUUGUCAUGAAAGUGUAGUUGAGUCUUAUAAUUUUCAAAAAGUGCAAGUCCUAAAACUUCCCAAAUUAGUCCAAUUAAGUCCUUCCGUUGAUUCCAGUUUUUGAAAGUUUUAUGACUUGGUUGCACUUUUCAAAAAUUUUAAAACUCAAUUGCACUUUCGUUAACAAGGUUUAGAACUCCCAUUACACUUAACCGUUUAUUAUUAGUAUCUAGUAGUGUUGUUAUGUAUGCAAGAAGGAAAGGAUGCAGUGACUGGGUUAUUAUUAUCAGCCUGCAUUAUCAAGCUCAUACUACCUUCGUGAAUCCCAGUGUUCCUUCCCCAUUCCAGAAACAUUUGAACGAGUAUAAAAGGCAAGCAGUAAGUUCUUUUUAUUUUUGUUUUAAUAAUUCUCUCUAAUUCUUUGAGGUUCCUUUCAGUCACCUGGAAAUCUAAACACAGAAGAUGAGAUAUGAUGAUUUCCAUGACCCUUGGAAGCUCCAGAACUCUAUAAGUUACCUAUUCAUUCGUUAGGGACCAGUUGCAAUCUCCUAUGACGCGUAUAAUUGAUUCUCAAGAAGUUGAGGUAGCCAAAAUUUAUGAGUUGCGGUUUGCAGAACUCCAAAUAAAGCCGCAAUGACAUACAGAACCUAAAGUGUCUCAGCUUCAGGUUCGACUGGGCCACUCCUCUACUUUCAUCGAUGUUACAAUUUAUAUUGCGUAGAUUCAAAUGUUGGCACCUAUCUUUUGUGUUUCAUUUGUUUGUAUGUACUUUGCAUAAGCUAAAACCUUGUGCAUGCUUAGUAUUUUUGUAUGCCAUUUAUGUAUAAUUAUAUUUAUCCAUAUGCUCUAUUGGUGAAUGAGUAUACAGGUUUUUUUUUUUGGUCAAUUCUACUCUACUCCUACUGUAACUCUUACUCUCAGACUUUUGUUCUACUUCCUUGCAAGACAUGAGUGUCGAAACCCACACUUGAAAUUAAAUCGUCUCCACCCUAACUCCUCUGAGAUUGUGGGGAUUCGAACCCCCCACUUUCCCCUUUCAUAUUGGAAGGGUAACCACUGGGGUAAACCACUAUGAUUGAGUAUAUAUGAUUUCAUUUGGUAGCUAAUUGCGAAAAUUCAUGGUAAAAGCGAUAACUUUGUUCCAUGGAAUGAUUCAAACAGAGUAGCGGUUGACAGUGAAUCUAUUGACAGGAGAAUAGAUGUGAUUUGGAAAGUUUAGGUCGUUUCUUUUUCUUUUUUUGAGUGAUUUGACAUGUUUGUUCUUUCUAGAAUUAAAUAAUGCAGCUCAAUUUAAUGGCUGGUUGGUGCAUGAGAACCAAAGCAAGUUAUCUUGUCUAACAAGUAGAGCCAGGGGAACUCACAUUUUAAGGGGAUGGGUUUGAAAUUUUGCUUUCGUCUUUAAACGAAAGCGGAAAGGACAGGAUUCGAAUGUCACUCAUCAUUAUGCAAUUAUACAAUGAAUAAGUAAGGAAAUUCCCAUACAUUGAAUUCUCGUUAAAGGAUACACGUGUAUAAAAAUACAUUGUAGAAGGAAAGAGACCGUUAUUCGAAUGAUUUUAAUUAGGAAAAGAAUUAGAACAAUUGGGGAUGAUUUCAUUAAUCCUAAAUUUGGAAUCUUGAUAAAUCGAUGUAAUAUCUGUUUUUUGAGCUGGUAUAAUCCAUUCUAAUAUAUAAGGUAAAGAGAACCUCCUACUUUUAGGGGAACUUAAUCUCUCUCUUUUUCAUCCUAAAAUAUCAUUAAUUACUUAUAUUGUGCAGAUGUUGACUCCAUGAUUAGAUCCGUAAGUUAAUAAUCCUAUGUAAUCUCUCAUAUAUUUUAACAUUCAAAUUUGAAUCUUUUCUGUCUAACAACAACCUCACUAAAAAUAUUCUAAAUCUUGAAAUAUGUAUGUUUCUUUGUAUAUUUUGCAUGUCUAAACAAUAAUUUCUUUCCAUUAUGUAAUAAUUCGAAUAUUUAGUAACAAAAUGGUUUUACUUAAUCUUUAGAUUUUAAUUUUUCGUAUACACGUAAAGUGUUUGUUAUCGAUAGUUGUUCUGGUUUUUCUAUAUAUAUAUAAAGAAAAACAAUUAUUGGCCGAAUGUAAUGCUAUUGGUUGCUCUCUUUUGGUCCAUAGAGAAUCCAAUAAUUCCUGUGACUGGAUGUGCGAUGAAGAUAGGGCAGUCGCUUAAAUAAAUAAUGUCGUAAUUUCUCAACACGAUGAUUAUAUUUGUUGGGUAGUUUUUGCCGCUUCCGGUACCUUAAAAGAUCAAAGAAACUCUUCUUUCAUUACAUUUAUAUUGAAAUCCUCCAUUUGUAACAAUUUUAAUACGAUCGACAGAAAGAAUGCUUCUUAGAAAAUAGAUUGAAAGGAUUAAUGAAAAGUUAAGCGAAUUGCAGAAACUUUUAUUCUUAACGGGAGCAAGCUGAUAUAAAGAACUUGAAUGGUAAAAUUAGAAACUCAUGGAGAAUCUAAACGAAUAUUUUACAUUUUUAAUGUUGUCAGAAGAAUAUUGGCCAGAAAUGAUGACCUAAAGCUCACGGUCAAUGCAUUUUCUUGACCCAUUUAAAGGUUGGGUCUAUUUUUGUCCAAACCUGUUUUUUUUUAAGAGAUUGAACCAACAUGAAACUCUGUAUUGUUUGCCAAGAAUACAAUGGGUAUAUCUACUUAAAGCCAUACCUUUUAUAUUUGAGAUGAGUUCCUUCUUUUUAAAAUUUGGAGGCCUUUCUCACUCAUAUCGCCGAAUCCCAUAUGCCAUUCAUCAAGUAUUGCUUCUUCAUACUUCACCUAAGAAUUUUGACACCUAGGUUGCUUUUGGCAACUAGGAUAGCCAAGAAAAGAUUCAGGAGAUGAUAGAAGUUAUUCUAUCUUGCAUUUAGUACCUACUUAAAAUAGGAUAAAGUCGGAUAUAAGGAGAAUAUAAACUAGAUGGAAAUGUGGAAUAAAGGUGGAUAAGAUUUUUAAUAUAAAUAUUACAAAAGUUACUUUUGUUGAAUAAUAAACUUCUUAAAUUAACAAAAUUAAAAUUAUUUGACCAAAAUUUUUUUUAAAAAUAAUAAAAAUAUAUUUCAAUAUAUAAAUAAUAUUUGAAUUCUAAUAUAAUAAAUUCAAAAUAAAAAAUAAUUAUUUUAAUUUAAUCAUAUUUUAUCUAUAUAGUCGAAUUUAAUUCUAUUUUAGAAUAUAGAUUCAAUAUAUUUAUUACAUAUUUUAGGUAUUUUAGUAUUUUUGAUAUAUUAAUAUAGCUUAAUAUUUAAUAACUUUUUAUUAGAGAGUGAUGGAAGGGUAAAAAAAUAACAAAUAAAUCAAUUAAAAAUAGAGGGGAAAAUUAAAUUUAAAAAAGUAAAUAAUAAUAAAGUAGGCAAAAGUAUCGCCAGAGACUUUUACCAUCUUCCUUUGCAAAAUAUUUGGUUCAUUUAUACUAAUGUACUAUUUAUAUUAAAUAAUGUAUAUAAUAUAAUAUAAAUAUAUCCAAUUACAAUCACCAAACAGUUGAUCGGAUAUAGUAAAAUCCGUAAAUUUUAUAUCCUAUCCCAUUCGGUUAUAUCAUAAUUAGAAAUCUGAACCACCAAAUAUAGCCCUAGUGCCCGCCAAGCCAAGCUUUUGAUGCCACUUGUUACAAAGCAAAAGAGUCAUAUAUGAGAGUAGGAUGUCCAAUGAUUAAACAAAAAGAAAAAAAAAUGCCACGUUGGAAAAAUUAUACCAUGUCGAGAUUAGGUGCAAUCAAUGAAAUAAGCAUUCCACCAAUGACAUUUUCCAUAAUUAAGGAUGCCGGAAUGGUGCCUAUCUUUUACCUUUUCUUUUAGUUGCUUUCGUUGUUUCUGUUUUGCAAAGAAAUUUCCCGAAGCUCUUUCUUGGUGUCGCCUUUAGAUUCCGUUGUGCGUUAGAAACAUCAACAGCUAUCAUAAGCUUAUUGGCUAGUGCUGCUGGUCAGUAAAGUCUUAGUAAAUUAAGGAACGUUUGAAUUAAGAAGACUGUAGUCUAUUGGCUUAUAUAGUCAAUAGUAGAGAAUAGUAACAUAUUAUGCACUGGAAAAAUGACACAAAUAUUUUUUAAAAUUUUAAUUCAAUGUGUAAUGCCGUCCCUUGAUUUUUAAUAUAUUCAAUAUGAUCUAUGAACUUUUGGCAUAUAUUUACUUUAGUCCAUGGAUUAUAUGAAAAUGUUCAAUAUUACUCAACUUGAAUUGAUGAAACAGUAACAUUGCAUGUUUUCAUAUAACUUAGGGAUUAGUUUGAACAAUUACAAAAAAUUCAGGGAUCACACUAAUCAAAUUAAAAAUUCGAGGAUGAUAUUGCACAUGUAGCUAAAAUUCAGGAACCACAUAAAACAAAUUAAAAAUUUAGGGAUAACUUUGCACAUCAACUCAAAGUUCAUGAACCAUUUAUGUAAUUAUCCAUAAUUAGAUAGACGUACCCUUUUAUUGGUAAAAGCGUGCUCCCUAUCAUCUCCUCACCUUUUUAAUUUAAAGAUGUGUUAAUAUUAAGUCAAAAUGGUUUAGCUUUGAGGUGGAUUCGGUCAAAAGAAAAGGGAAGAAUAGUUGGGAGAAAGAAAUUAAUUUACCCACUUUUCAAAGCAAUCAUGCACUUGGUGAAAUUCUUUAGUUGUCCUUACGGAGUAAUAACCAACUUCACGCUUGCACUAUAUGUCAGAAAAUCCAAAAUGCUUUCAAUCUAUGUCUAAUUAAAAAGCUGGAUAGAAUAAGAUCAGUCAACUAUAUAUAUGUUAAGACUCAUAAGUAAUUUCUUAAUUUUCUAAAAAGAUAAAAUCGAAAAUAUUAUCUCUUUCAUUCGUAACUCGAGAGUUUAUUUUCCACCUAUAUACAGAAACAUCAUUGAUCUACUUGAAAUCGGUAGAGCACAUAAAUUAAAAUUUACUUAUAUGGUGACUAACUAAAUUAAAACAAAUAAGAAACUGGAAAUCCCAGAAUUUGAAAUAUCAUGUAAUAUGUUCUAAUUUUCAAUAAAUAAUUAUCCUUGAGAAGAAAACUUAUAAAAAAAAAUACCUCAUUUGUCUAAUUUAGUAUUUGAAUUAUCAUACUCUCAUAGGUAGCCCUAUAUUAAGUAUGUCACGGAAAAAUAAAUAUGAAAUCUUAUUAAUAUCCAAAAACUCAAUAGUACUGUACAGUUAAUCGCAAUAUUCCAAUACUUCUAUUUGUGUAUUUUACCAAAAGAAAUAUCAAAUUGCAAGAACAGGAAAAGCAAAUAUAAUGUGAUUUAUACUAUUUAGAGAUACAUUGAUUCAUAUAUUGACUAAUUGAGAUAAGUCAUAAAUGUUGACAGUUGAGAUGAUACGGUGUUUUGUUUUCUUUUACUUUUUUGUCGGAAAAAAAAAAACUAAUCUCCAUUCAAAUCUGAAUGACGAGAAAGAUGCCCCUGAACAUAAAAAGGGCUCAUAAGGUUUGAGGGGGCCUUCGAUGAUAUGGCGUUUUGUAUAAAAAUGGAAAAAAAUAAAAAAAUAAAAGUAGGUAAGCUACCUUUGUCCAAUCACAUCCAUUUUCUAGUUUCUUUUGUCUUUCUGUAAUAUUUAGGGUAAUAUUUAUAUAUAUAUAUAUAUAUAUAUAUAUAUAUAUUUUAAAAAAAGCCAAAGCCCAUGCUUUUCUCUAAGUCAAACCUAAACUCGUUCUUAUUUACUUCAGCUCUUUUGGCGAGUCAAUUUUCCUUCGUUUAGCAACGCACUAUAAAUUUGUUAUCCCUUCGUUGAGCAGAUACUCUCUUUAACAACAUCAAACUCCAGAAACUUUAUUGUCUGUAAUUCCACAAUUCUUAUACCUCUAUUAGGAUAAUAAAUUUGUUACCCCUUCAAAUGAUUUGGGUAAGAUGCGAAGUAAUACUAAGAAGUUCUAGAUUCCAACUUACUUAAUGUUAGAUUAUAUAACUUUACUUCUGUAGGACACUCCAAACCCUAACAUGGUUCAAGCUAAGUUAAUGUCUAGUCCAUAACUCCAAAGGAAGCUAAUAGAACAACUUUGGUAGAAAUAUGGUAUUGUAUGUGAAAGGCUACUUUCAAAGCGUCACCUCAUAGAAAAUCGGGUAAAUUGGUCCUACUACUCAUGCUUCUCAUCAUGGCUAUAAGGGUACGAUUACACCUUUCGAAGACACCAUUUUGUUCAAGACUUUUAGGCAUAGUACACUAAGCUACUAUCCUAGGAUCCUCCAACUAUUUGGCAAAUGACAUUUUAAGUUAUCCAGCAUCAUCAUGCCUAUCUAAAUAUUCACCACUACAGUUAGAUCUUAUUACUUUUAAGACUUUUACCAACUAUUUCUCGAUUUCAAUUUGAAAACACUUGAACGUGUCAAAAGACUCAAAUUUUUCUUAAUCAAGUACAUAUAACUAUAUCAAGAUUAGUUGUUAAUGACUGUGAUGAAAUUAAAAUUUUCUACACAAGGUUUCCAUAUAGGGUCCACUAAUAUCAAUGUGAUUGACCUCCAACAAAUAAAAAUUAUGGACUACAGUUUUCUUCUUUAUCUUAAUCAUCUUACCUCUACAAUAGUCUACACAAGUCUCUAGAUCAUUUUUAAGAGUAGAGUAGGCAAGGAUGUCAGCCUUUCUACUCUUCUCUAGAUACGUGACCAAGACUUUAUGCCACAAUGCAUAAGACAAUUUCUUAGCUAGAGAUUUUUUAGAAACAUCCUUUUUAGCCAUGUAAGCAACAUAUAUAUAUCAUUGGGAGUUAAACAAAAUAUGUACAAUUCAUUGAACAUUUUGUAGCACACAGCCGAAUUUGAAUUAAAGAACAUAGAAAUAAUAUUGUUCUUUAUUUCAAAAGAUUAGCCACACAUGUCUAAAUAAGAUGCUGAAACUAAAUUCCGUCUCAAGAAAUGUACACCAAAUGUGUUUCUUAACAUCAUAUUAAAACCAUAAUGUAGAAUUAGAAUGAUAUCUCCCACGAACUCAACAUUGUAUUUAUCAUUGUUCUUCAUGGUGAGCUAUGAUUCAUCCUUGUUUGGCUUCCUUCUAUUUAUGAAUCUCCAUAUGGUAAACACAACACGAUUUAUAACACCACUAUAUAGCCACCCUAACUAGCAGGGGCAUCUAAUAGGUUGGACUCAUAAACAAAUGCAAAGAAUUAUUAUCUACAGGCUCACUCUUAGACAAUCAAGUUUUAUUUUUGUCGCAAUCUUUAUUUAUAUGAACUUUCUUCUUACAAAAGAAGCAAUGGUCGCCAUCCUUCUUGAAUGAUACUUUAUUAGGACCCGGACUAUCAAAAUGACCAGUGGUAUCAUGAGUUCCUCUAUGAGUAUGAUUUUUAGAUUUCAGAUUUACCAUCUUGAGAAUGUAUUCCCGAAUCCCACAAGAACCAUCAUACCUUAUGUUAAAGAGUCUUUGCAAAUGUAUCACAAUCUCAACAUUAGACAAGGCACAUUUUGAAACCACCAAGGCUUUCAUUAUUUGUCUAGCAAUACAAUCAACUAGCAAGCUAAUCUUUAAGUGUUCCUGCAUGAAUUACUUUUUAGAUAACAAACAAAUCCAAUUGCUCUUUUCCUAAGCAGCCAAGUGCACUUUUAAGGGUUCCAUAUUGUCGAUAGUGAAAUUUGUCGACUUAUCCAAAUAAGGGCAAUAUAAACAUUCGCCAAUUCCAUCGCAAACAAAAAUCUUCUUUCCAUUUCUUGAAGUUUGAACAAAUAAGAACCUCAAUUGUAAUGGAGUUGCUGUUUACAAAGAAGAUGACUAAAUAACAAACAAUGUUUGCAAUUAGCAUCAUGUGAGUACUGUAUAACUUAAAAUCAUAUAAGUAUACAUUCUAAGAAUUACAUACAUUAUCAUAUACCUAUGCAGAAGACAUGACGACAAACAUAAGUAUAUAUUCCUACCUUCAUGAAAUCACCACAUUUGGAUGUAUAAACUAUUAGGAUCAGUGAUUCCUCAACCAUAUAUUAUUCACGUAUCACUCCAUGAACCAAUACACAAUCACCUCCUUUAGGAGUAUGAUUACGCAUUAGAAUAUCCUACUAAAAUAUGAGACUGAUAUUUCUCAAACCAAUUAAAUCAUUGAAGCUCUCUCAUACUAGGGAUAUAAACCUUAUGUGUCACAUUUACCAUAUACAUGUAUUUUUAGACUAAAUGACGGGGGUAAUUUGUCUCUAAAAUUACAUGUCAUACUAAUUACAUUGUUCCAUCCACUAAUACAUAUUAAAUCUUAUAUGCAAUCAAUGAAUCAUGCUCUACACAUUAUCUAUGUGAUGAUACAUGUGAGCUUCCAAUUGAAAAUACAGGAAAAUACACAAAAAUAGCCUAAAAAUACAUGUAUUGUGGGUUUUAUAUGCAAUUUCACAUCUUUAAAAGCAUCAAAUACGUAAAAUUAAUAUACCAUAAUGUGGAGAAUCUCAAUACGAGAACGCAAGUACCAAAAACGCUCCUAUCGCAGCUCAGAUGCGCUCGUACGUGCCACUGAAAUGCGUAGUGCAUGUAAUGCAUGCACAGCAUGCUUAAGCCAACUGAAUCUCCCCAAUCCAAUCGGUUUGACCAGUUCAACUAGUCAACUACAUCGAUCCACCCAGUCAAUGUCAGGUUCGGUACAAUCAACAAAUAACUAAGUCGACUCGGAUCCUGGAUUCAAGCCGGGUCGACCCAUGUCCCAACUUUGUUGACAUAAGCCCUAGCGAGAGCCCGCCUAAGCACAUGCAAUGCAUGCACUGCUAUGAUGCGCGCGUGGCCAUGCAUGGAAGCACGUACAACGUCCCCUAGUGUCUUGCAACCACUCAAAAUGCUUGUCUCAACGAGCUAUUUCCAUUUAUGUUAUCAAAAUUGAUUUUUACCACACAAAAAUCAUGAAAAAUGUGACAUUCUAAAUUUUCGACCUUGUCUCGAUAAAAUGAAAUGAGCUUUUCAUCGACGCAUCUAUGGUUCUUUUUCUCUAAGCUAAUCACUCAUGAGUUAAUUAACCUAUUAGAUGAAGCCAUAAAGGGAUACAAUUGCAAUAAAAUCCCUAAAGGCUACCCGGUAGGUUAGAUUGGACUAAAAUUGUAUCCGGUCAAUUUUAACUAUGAAAUUAAACUCGGUUUCGGGAAUCGAACAUUCGAGCAUGUCACAAUUUAUUUUUAGGACAUCGUCUCAUCUUUUGGGAAAUUUCCGUCAAGCUGGGAAUUCGGUGGAAAAAUCAAUUUCUGCAAAUUAGAAUUUAUGAAAUUCAUAUGGGCAGCUUGGGAGGCAUUUUUGGGCUGCCAAAAGGGUUUAAUUGGGAGAAUUUGAAACUUAAUUCUUCAUCGGUUGAUGCUUGGAUUUUGUGGGCUGAAUUAGAGGAAAUUUGGAUGCCAAUUUGGUUUAAUUUGUGGAGAAAAUAGAUGGAAAUUCGUAGGGCUACUACAUGGGCCUUUUUGGGGUGCCAAUUGGGUUUGUUUUGUGAAGGUUUGAGAGAAAAUCAGCCAUUGGAGGUUGCCUUGACUUCAAGGGCAGAAGACUUUGAGGCACAAACCACUCAUGUGCUAGAUAUUUUCCUUGUUGACCCUCUUGGCUUCUUGUCCCCCCUCCCUCCUUGUUGUGCGACCAACCCCAACAGAAGCCAACUCCAACUUCUUCUUCCUCAGCUCUUCUUCUUCUUCAUUCCUCCAUUGUUGUAGCUACCUCCAUAAAACUAGUAACCAACCACCAGAACACCAGCCCAAGGCCAACAUCGAACCAACCACUGCUAGAGACCAGCUCCGCCUGAGCUUAGCCAGCUCUGGCCGCACCACCUGCCUCUUCACCUCACGCCCUCCGUCUCAUCCAGCCCGUGACCAGAAUUGCUCGUUGCUGUUGUCCGAGCUGCGCCGCCGUCCAACUAGUCUGCCACCAGCCCUAGCUCAUUUGGCCGCUCGUCCCCGUUGCCGCUUGCCCCCAUCUAGUUCCGCCAGCCACCUCAGCCCCUCAACUAGCUCUAGAACAGAACUAACUUCCAGCAAUAAGCCGUGAGCUUGCUAGGCCACUUUCAACGUCUUUCAGGCCUCUGUUGGAGAUGCCAUAGACAUGGGAUCUCACCAUCGCUGCGCCGCCGUCGCCGUGAAUCCGUUUUCUCGCUAAUUCGGUGAGUUAACGCCAUAAUCUUGGAUUAUGAAGUUAAUUGCACUUAGUUAGGUGGAUUAGUGUUAAUUAAGGAUUAGUGCUAAUCCUUAGUUAGUUGAACUAGUUAGUUAGAUUAAUUAGUUAGGCCAACUAGUUAGUUAGGUGGUUAGUUAGGUUAUUUAGUUAGCUUAAUUAGAUUAAAUUAGUUAGCUUAGUUAGAUUAAUUUAGUUAGCUCAAUUAAGUUAGUUCAGUUAGCUUAAUUAAAUUAAUUAAGUGCAUUAGUUUAAAUAAUUUGCAAUUUAUUUAAAUUAUCGUAAAUUGUGCUGGGAUAGCCAGUUAUCAGAAUUUUACGUUGAUCAUUGUGCAUGUGUUGGUUUGUACAAUUGAUUGCUAAAUUAUGCAAUUGGGUGCUUUGUGAUGAUUUUUGAAUUACUAUUGCAAAAAUUGAAUUUAUGAGUAUUUAAUUAGAAAAGUACCGGGUGUUAGUUUUUGACGCCAAAAAUAUUUUAUGUACUAUAUAAAAUCAUGAAAUUUUUAAAUGGGAGAGUACCACGUUUUAUGGCCCAAUUUAAAUGUGUGACCACACACAACUAUUUUACCGGGUAUUUUUAAUACGAAGAAAAUUGGUCAAGUCCAUUAUUUGAAAUGGAAGUAUUGGAGUGCAAAGCACGAUGUUAUUGGCCGAGCAUGGAUCUGCAUGUGGUCAUUAUUGAAACCCAUCACCAAGUGGGAGUUUGGAGAUGAUGCCCAAUGUGUAUCGGAUGCUCGACAGGGGUCCGGAUCCCGGUUGAGUGGAGACUGGACUAAUGCUCCUUUAUGGAAUGCCGUCUAGGUGGAGGUUCUAGACGUUGCCGUGCUCGAUGGGGCGAGGCGACGCCUAGUUAUGCCGGAUGACCGCCGACCGAUGAGUUGGCCGUGGCCGUUUGGGUCGUAAUUAACUGAGACACACUUGAGUGAUUGAGAUAGCCAUGCCUAUUAGAGAAAACUCCUAUGAUAUUUUGAAGCUAACAAAACUUAUUUAAAGUCUAUUCUAAAAAAUUUCAGAAUUCUGUAUCAAAGUCUAAAGAUGCUCAGACUCUAUGUCAAGUCUGAAGGCUCCCAGACUUUAGGUUUAAAGUCUGCUCACGCUGACAAAAUCCAGACUGAAUGCUACUGAAAAAUAAAGAUUUAUCCAGAUGCGAGAUUUUGUUUGUUUCUUCAGGAGUUUGGUUCAUGUGGCUUAUGGAUGCCUUUUUGGUUUGAUAUAUCACCUAUAUGAUUGAUUAUCUUUAUUAGAAUCAAUUUAGAUAAAUCAGAUCUUCUUGGAUUUCAAAUAACUUGAAAAGUAUCUACUUAUGGAAACCAAGAUCUUGAUUGUAUGGGCAAAAAUGAUUGAUAAGCUUUCAUCUCAAUCUUCAAAUGACUCGAGAUCUCCUUGAUUGAUUCUGUCCAACGGGUAGAUUGGAAGAAUUCCUUUGGAAAGUGCCAAUAGUCGAGAAGGCAUAAAGGAGUAUUUAAGGUGGAUUCUCCAAUUGUUCGAUAAUGUGUGUGGAAGAGAAAUUUCAAAGUCUGAAGCUUUCCAUUUGCUUGUUACUCCAAAUACUAAGCUCAAAGUUGUAUACAAAAGAGAGAAAUACUUAGUGUGACUUCGUGAGAGACUAGUAGAGACUCUUCACUAUGAAGUCGAAGAUCAAAAGGCUGUAAAAUCUCUUUUGAUUCUUAGUGAAAUCCAGCCAGUAGGCUGUCAAUGUGAAGAGUGGAUGUAGGCUUGAUCUAAGCCGAAUUACUAUAAUUUCUAUGUUCUCAUUCUCUUCCCUGAACUCUUUUAUUUUGUUUGUAGUUCUAUUUAAUUGCUAAAAUCUAAACUUGCUCAAAAUCUGUUGUCUUUCAAACUCUGUUUUAAAAGCAAAAUAUUUCUACUAUUCCUAGCAAAAAAUUAUUUUCACACCUAUUCACCCCCUCUAGGUGUUCGUACUAGUGCUUACAAUUGAUAUCAAAGCUUGUGUGCUUAUUAUAUUGAAGUGUUUUACUUCUAAAGCUAAAUAACUAUGGUUAGUAUUUUGGCUCUAGGUUUGGUUGAAAGCCAAAGCAACACCAAACCUCCUUACUUUAAUAGGAAAGAGUACAAUGUAUGGAAAAACAAGAUGAAGGUAUUUCUAAGAUCAAAAUAUCCCCUGAAAUGAGAUGUGGUAGAAAAAUGGAUCAAUCCCAAAACUACAUCAACCUUAGAAAGAGGAAAAGAAGCUGCAGAUGCUGGCGAAAUGACACCAAGCAAAAAUAACCAAGAGAUAAGCUUUUGAUGCUAAAGCUAUCUACUCUUUAUACUGUGCUUUAUUUCCUACUGAGUAUAACCGAAUUUCUUUUUGUGAAACAGCAAAAAGAGUUUGAGACAGAUUGCACGUUACUUAUGAAGGAACUGAUCGAGUAAAGGAAACGAAAAUCAACAUUCUACUUGGACAGUAUGAAGCCUUCAAGAUGAAGCCUGGAUAAUCCAUCACUGAUAUGUUCAGUCGUUUUACUGAAAUCAUGAAUGGAUUGGCAUAUCAAGGAUAGCCAAUCUCAGGACCAAUGAAGGUCAAUAAAUUGAUGUGUGGACUCUCCAAAGACAGGAAUCAUGUAAAAACGUCAAUUAGAGAAACCCGGAGGAUCAUGCCCCUCUCAGUAGACGAAUUAGUAGACACACUUCAAUCAUAUGAAGUUGAGCAAAUCAAUGAGAAAGAAUAUCCUAAAGAUAAGAAGUCAAUUGCUUUAAAAUCUAAUGAUGACUCUAAUUAUACAGAUUCAGAAUAUGAUAUGGACGAUGAGGAACUAGCACUCAUGAUUAAGAAGUUCAGAAAGUUGAAUAUGAAGGGAAUAAGAUUCAACUGGAAGAAGCAAAGUACUCAAAAUUUCUAGAAGAGACUAACUAAGGACAACAAAACCAGUAAAGAUGUAAUAUGCUUCUAAUGUAAGAAAAAUGGGUAUAUCAGACCUAACUGUCCUUUAUUGAAAAAAAGAAAGGAAGAACUGAGUAGUACAAGAAUGCUCUCAAAGUAGAAACCUGGAGUGACACUGAGUGCGAGGAAAGUGAAAAAGAAUACGCCAACAUUUGUUUGAUGGCUCAUUCCAAUUCACACUCGGAAUAAAAAAAAUAAAAAAAAAUAAAAACAGACUCUGAUUCAGACUCAGACAAAGAACUUGAGGUUAGCAAUUUAAAAAUUCAUGUUAAAGUCUCAAAGUAUAUAGAUGAACUCUUUCUCAGUCUCAAAACAUCUCUUAAAAAGAUUUCUGAACUAUAAAAAUAGAGAAUUCUAAACUGAGGCAACAGGAAACUUCUUGGAGAGAAAAGUUUUAAAGUUUGGACAAAAGUUUUGUUGAUUUGAAAGUAAAUUCUGAUUUUCUUUCAAAGGAAAAUGCCUUUUUGAAAGAAGAUGUUUCAAAUAUCACCAAAAAAAAAAAUCAAAAGGAUCUAAGAAGUUGGAGAAAAUUCUUUCAGUACAAAAACCUUAAUCUAACAAAUCCGGUUGGGGUAUGACUUCAGAAACUAUUCCUUUAAUUGAUUUUUCCAAAGUUAAAGAAAUAAUCAAACAAAGACCUACAAGGGCAUUUUACAAAAGUCACUUUCAAAAGGAUUUUGUAAAACAUAUUGGUCAAAGUGCUCUCAAAUGUUCAAAGUGUAACAGCUCAAAACAUUUCGAGAAGGAUUUUCCUAAGGUUUGGAAACCUGUUAAGAGGAAUUGGGCAAAGACUAUUUUCAAUACUAACUCUCCUGGACCCAAGAGAAUAUGGGUACCAAAGAAAACUUGAGUUCUUCGUAUAAUCGCAGGUCACUAUCAAAAGGAAGAUCAAAUGGUAUUUGGAUAGUGGCUGUUCGAGACACAUGACAAGAGAUUCAAGUUGCUUUAUAAAAUUUGUUCAAGUGAAUGGUGGAAAAGUUUCUUUGGUGGAAAUAGCAAAGGAAGAAUUGUUGGAUGUGGAACCGUAAAGAUUGGAAGCUUAACUAUCAACAAUGUCUCCUUGGUGGAAGUCUAAAUUACAAUCUACUCAGCAUAAGUCAGCUUUGCAAUAAUAGAUUCAAAAUAAAUUUCCAAGAAGGCAUCUAUUUGGGAACAAGCAAAGACUUCUCUCAAUUUUUCAUUAGAAGAAGGCAUGGGAAUAUUUACCUUCUAGAUAUAAAACCAGAAAGUUCUCAAUGUCUUAUAUCUAUUCUAGAAGAAGCAAAUCUUUGGCAUCAAAAGUUUGGUCAUGUUAACAUGAAGCAAAUUGCCAAGAUUUCUUCCAAAAAGCUUGCUCGUGGUCUUCCUAAUCUGACUUACCAAAAGUCUAAAUUAUGCACUCCAUGUGUUCAAGGAAAAAGGGUUAGAGAUUCCUUUAAAUAUGUAAAUCAAAUUUCUACCAAUCGAGCUUUGUAGCUUCUACAUAUGGCCAUCUUUGGACCAACCAUAACUCAAAGUAUUGGUGGAAAGAAGUACUGCCUAGUAAUCAUGAAUGAUUACUCUCACUUUACUUAGGUUUACAUUCUGACAAAUAAGUCUGAAGCAUUCUCUCACUUCUCAAAGUUUGCCAAGAAGAUUCAAAAUGAAAAAUGAUAUGCUAUUUCAAGCAUACAAACAGACCAUGGAGAUGAAUUUGAAAAUCAAAAUUUUGCGAAGUUCCAUGAUGAAUCUAAUUUUCAGCAUUUUUUCUCUUCUCCUACACUCCAAAACAAAAUGGGAUAGUUAGUGGAAAGGAAAAAUAGAUCUUUACAGGAGAUGGCAAGAACCCUUUUAAUUGAGAGCAAUAUAUCUUCUCGAUUUUGGGCAGAAGCAAUUUCUACAGCUUGCUACAUCAUCAACAGAGUGUUCUUGAAGCCUAUUCUAGAGAAAAUACCUUAUGAAGUGUAUAAAGAGAAUAAGCCAAAUGUUUCUUACUUCCAUGUAUUUGGCUAUAAAUGUUAUGUCUUGAAAAAUGCAAAUAAUCGAAUCAGAGAAUGUUUCUCUCUAGUGCCAGAAGAUUGAGGAAGCAAUUUAGUCGGUGGAAGAUUUCCUAAACAAACCUGAUUUCAUUUGACUUUUAUCUAUGUUUUACUUUCUCCACUUUUUGUUGUUGACAAAAAGGGAGAGAACGUGCAUAUUUGAUUUAUUUGACUUGUUUGACUUUAUCUUUUGAAUUUUGUUGAACUUCUGAAUUUUUUGUUAUUCUAUUUACCUUUUACAAGCAAUUUACUUUUGUGGUAAUGAUUAUGGAUGGAUAGUUGUGUAAGUCUUGAUGUUUGUUUUAUCUUUUCAAGAUUAACAUAUUAUCUGUGGUUGCAAAAUUGAUACUAUCCAGGUCUUAAUCAACUUAUUUUUAUAAGAUAUCAUGUAUUGCUUGAAAGUUGUUUUGCAAAUCAAAAGUUCUUAAAUCUACAUGAGAGUUUUGUCACCAUAAAAUAAAAAUAAAAAAAUGGGAGAUUGUUGGAGAAAACUCCUCUAAUAUUUUGAAGCUGACAAAACUUGUUCAAAGUCUAUUAUGAAGAAUUCCAGAAUUCUGUGUCAAAAUCUAAAGACGCCGAGACUCUAUGUCUAAGUCUGAAGACUCCCAGACUUUAGGUUCAAAGUCUACCCACACUGAUAAAAUCUAGACUGAAUGCCAUUGAAGAAUGAAGACUUAUCCAGAUGCGAGAUUUUGUUUGUUGCUUCAAGAGUUCAGUUCGUAUGGCUUAUGGAUGGCUUUCUAAUUGGAUAUAUCACCUACAAGAUUGAUUAUCUUUAUUGGAAUCAAUUUAGAUAAAUCAAAUCUUCUCGGAUUUCAAGUAAACUUGGAAAGUAUCUACUUAUGGAAACCAAGAUCCUAAUUAUAUGGGCGAACAAGAUUGACAGACUUUCAUCUCAAUCUUCAAACGACUCGAGAUCUUCUUGAUUGAUUCUGUCCAACGAGUAGAUUGGAAGAAUUCAUUUGGAAAGUGCCAACGGUCGAGAAGGCAUGAAUGAGUAUUUAAGAUGAACUCUUCAGUUGUUUGAUAGUGUGCGUGAAAGAGAAAUUUCAAUGUCUGAAGCUUUCCAUUUGCUUGUUACUCCAAAUACUGUGCUCAAAGUUAUACACAAAAGAGAGAAAUACUUAGUGUGACUUCGUGAGAGACCAGUAGAAACUCUUCAUUGUGAAGUCAAAGAUCGAAAUACUGUAAAAUCUCUUUUGAUUCUUAGUGAAAUACAACUAGUAGGCUGUCAGUCUUGAGAGUGGGCGUAAGCUUGAUCUAAGUCGAACCACUAUAAUUUAUGUGUUUUCAUUCUCUUUCCUAAACUUUUUUAUUUUGUUCGUAGUUCUAUUUAAUUACUAAAGUCUGAACUUGCUCAAAUUUUAUUAUCUUUCAAACUUUGUUUUAAAAGUGAAAUAUUUCUACUGUUCCUUACAAAAAAAUUGUUUUCACAACUAUUCACCCACAUCUAAGUGUUCAUACUAGCACUUACAGUGCUUGAUUAUGGAACAAAAUUGUGUGGCAUGGAAUGUGACGUGUCAUAACAGUUUGCCCUUAUAAUCAGGACCCCUGUGAAUAUUUAAUGAAUGUCAUGAGGUGUUCCAGUUAUUGAAUACAUUUACUUUGUGCAUAUGAUAUAUGAGAUAUAUUAAUGUGCAAAGAGGUGCUGAGGCGAGGUAAGUCCUAUAUGGUGCAUGUUUAGGAUGUCUUUGAGUGAAUUCUCAUCCUAAUCGGGGUUUAGGGUGUUGACUCGCUAAGAUUUUGUCUCACUCCGUCGUGGUUAAAAUUUUCAAGUCCGUAGACGGAAGUGCGCCAUGUCUGUUUUGGGUGGCCACGAGAGGCAGAGACUGAGUGUACCCUUCUCCCUAUCCAUGGGACCACCUGGACCCAUGAGCUCGUAGUGACAAUCAUUUGGGUCGAUGAGGGCGUACCUAAUUUGGUACCUCAUCACUUCAAAGCGUGGUUUCGUAAUGGGCCUAACGAGGUUCUGGAGGGCCCCUUGGAUGGUUUCAACGGACCUGCCGUCAAUACCUAGUUUGAGAUAGUACUCGACCCCAUCGUGGAUGUCGAUAUUUUGGAAGAUAUUGCGGCGAACCAGGGGCCCAAGGCUAAAGGGCCCGAAGUAAAGGUAGCUGAUCCAUUAAACAUUGACAUCCCAAACGGUGUUGUGGUAGACCCGGAUCCCGAGUAGGUAGGGUCCGGGGUAAGAUUGGCUUAGUAGCUUCUUUUGGAUAUAGACUCCUAUAUAUAAACCUGAUAUGUUUAUAAAGUGUGUUUUGUGAAAAUUGGCUGCCUUCCUUUUCUAUCCCAUGUUUGAUUGAUGUCUGGAGUUUAUUAGUUCGCUUCCGCAUAUACAUAAAUCGAUUGGGUCAACGACGCAUCCUGGGAACAUCGCAUUUUAGUCGACUGCCAAGGGAUGUGUACGUGCCCGAGAUUUGGGGUGUGAACAAAAAAUGCUUGAAUCUGUACGUUCAAGUUCUAGAUUAUGGUUGUUCUAAUGCCACAUGUAAGUUGCGAAAGCGCACUCAAGAUCUCCAUAACUAGAAUCAACAACGCAUAUAAAUAAGUAAAAAGAUUUGUGCACUUGAUUUAAAAUCCAUCAUUCUUGAUGCGAAACAGCAAUAAUUCAAAGCUCAAGUGCUUCUCCGCUAUUGUCUUUUGUAUCAUUGGCUCAAUGUGACUACCCUCACCCUUAGUGUUCUGUAAAUGCUUCUUAUAUGAUGAUAUUUGUAUGUUAGGAUUAGAUGAGAGACCUGAUCACUAUUUAUAGAGUUUUCAGCUAAACCCUAUUAUUACAAGCCAAGUUCAACUUGGCUCACACUAAUAAGCUUAAUAUCAGACUAAUUAAAAAUAUCUCACUUUACUAGAUUAAUUCAGUAAAAUAGUAAAUUAUAGUAUCAAUUAAUAUAGCCCACGUCAAAAAAAUUCUGACAAUUCGUCCUUAUAUUGUUAUAAUGAAUGAUCCCAAAAUGCUUAUCGGUAGAAAUCAUCAAUUUUCUGCGAAGCAUACUUAUAGAGAAGCAAUUUUAUGUGCUUUUUAUUUAGACUUUUCUCAUGUUUUGACCUCUUCGUACGCUGCAAAAAGGAAAAAGGAAAAGUUUAGAUGUGCAUGAUAUCUAAAGGCUGGGGAUCUUUAAUUCAGAUCGAUACUCGAUCAUAAUAUCCUAGUUCCAUGACUCUGAAAGCUUUACGCUAACACCAUCUUUAAAACCUAGUAUGGGAUUGCGGUAGACAUCUCCUAUCUUGAUUUCUGUCCACCUGUAAAUAAGUAGACAUAAAAGAAGAUCAUGAGACAAUUGCCACGAGAUCUCGGCCACAUUUUCUUGCCAGAGACAACCAAUAUAUUUGGAAAAGGAUUGAUAAUUUGUCUACCUAAACUUUGUGACCAACACAUGAAGAAAUGCACAUAAGAAGGCUCGAGUGUAUUCUGCACCCACACAUUGUCUCAUUCCUCCACCAAAAGGCGUGAAGUUCUGCGAUAUUGUGCCUGAAUCUAGAUACUGAUAUGCAAUGGACAUCAAGAUAUGCCAAGAAGACAGAAAAAAUUCAGUCCAUGAAGAUUUAUUGAAGAGAAAGAUCAAGAAAUAUCUGCUAGCUUUUCAAGUCUCGCACCUUCCAGCGCCAAGGGUUAAAUUCAAGAGGAUUCUCAAACACAUUGUGAUUGGUAUGAAGAGCAGUCGUGACUACCAUGAUCGACCACCCUUUUGGGAUCGUAAAUCCUGCAAGUGCAUAGUUUGUGAGAGUAUAUUGCUAAUUAGAGUUUCAAAAGUGCAAACAUCCAUCGGGACCACUCACCUUUCAUUGGGAUAUCUUGUAAUGCUCUUCGGAGUACCCCUGGAACGGUAUUUGCCAGCCUGAGUGUUUCAUUUAUUACCUGAAGUGUUUUUUUUUUUUCAAGGAGUACUUUUACAUGUUGGAACAUGAUUGCGUAGAAGGCAUAAUUAUAAACAUUCUUGUGAAGGGAUUCUGCGUCACCUGCAUCGUGAAAGUCAUCGACUUGUAUUCAUCCCAACAAAGUGCAGUACUUUGAUGCUCUCUCUUUUCAAGGAUCAGUUUGUGCUCGGCCUACGAUGUAAUCGUUGCCAUUAUUGAACAAUUUUUCACAAUAUGGCAAGUUCAUACGUGUUAAGUAAAUCCUCUCACCCUUAAUUCUGCUAGGACUGCUGGGGUCUCAGACAGUAGCUUGAAGAUCAUAGCCAGCAUUGUCGAAAUAGACUCAAAACUUGCGAGGAUGCCCGCAAACAUCAUCUGAACUAUGAAAUCCUCUGUCAGGAACUCCUGAUCACGCAUGCUGUCAAUUGCCUGAUCAAGAAAAUCCACAUUGCUUGUUUUCCCUGAAUUGAGUCUCUCCCUCAAGAUACCUUUGAGCAUAUCUAUGAACUUCCUGUGUUCCUGGAGUGAAACGAUGAAUUGCCAAAAAGAUUAAGAUUCAUGUAUUUGGUUCAAAACUUUUUUUGUUUCCAAGGUUUGCCUUAAACUAAUUUUCUACUUCAUAAACCAUUCUUUCCUACUCCUUUAAGCCUAUUCUGUCAGUCCUCUAUGGCUAAAGAAAAAACUCAGAUAUACUAUCUUUUUGAACCAUUUAGGUGUUGAAGUUGGCACUACGGGCAUUUCCUAACUGCAGGGGAAAAUGAAAUGGCGAUUGAGAUUUUCUUCCGUCGAUAAAAUUGUAAGAAAACAUAAGAGGUGUUGCAAUUUUCAAAUUACCUUUAGGCACCUACGGUAUGCAGUACCAGGGAAAUUCAAGGGAAAUGCCAUGAAACCUCUCAAGAACCUGUUGAACCUCUCAUUGGUAGCGUCUGCUGAAGCCUCAUCAGCAUCAUAACUAAAAAGUUGCUUCCCCGCGAAAUCGAACAUCAUCUAAAAGAUGGUUAGUUCAACAAAAUAACUUGUAAGCUCAAUGAAAAAAUUUCAACGCUGUAAAUUUUAAAGGAAGCAUGCCCCAAACGGACUAACUAGAGUUUUACAGCAGAAGCAGCUUGUUUCACUUCGAUGCACGGUUGGCUGGACCACAUUCUUAGACCUCUCUCAACCCAUUCCUCUAUUUUCUGAAGCAGCUUUUCUCUGAGGAUGUCGGAGCCAAAGUGAUUUAGAAAGAUUCUUCUUAUGUACUUGUGAACAAGACCGACUCUGCUCAAGCGGGAUUCGCCCUCCAUUGCAAGUAUCUUGGCAAAGGUGUCAAAGUACCACAUUUCAACGAGCCUCCCUUCUUGCUGAAGGAUGUGAUUAUUAAAUUCAGGGUCUACAGAAAAAAUGAUUGGCCGACCUGCUAGACUGGUUCGGAAUAUUGGCCCAUACCUGAAAAUAGAAUACAUUGAUUAUCACGUUAAUUCUUUCAGGAAGCAAGAGAACCUGUUUCCUUUGCGGCAAUCUCUAUUAAGCAAACAUCGUUGAAAGAGUGUAAGAAUUGACUCAAGCGCUUUCUCGUCGUUCAAGCUUCUCAAAAUCCAUUUAUUUUUUUAUAUUCAACCUUAAAAGAAGUUCGAAAGGUCGUUAUGGGAUGAAAGCCAAAGAAUGUUACCAGUAGAAAAACCAAACUCAACCUGACAGAUUAAAAACAUAGAAUACUCGAUUUGUAAUUAUAUAGUUGAACAGAUAAUCUUUUAGUGCAACACCAUACCAUUACAACUUGACGCACACGUGAUAUUCACAAUAAGGUUGAAACCCAAGCCAAUCUAAUCGGGUUUUCAAGAGUCAGGCCACACAAGACCAAAUUAAUAUGGACCCCGCAAUCUACAAAACAUUGGGUGGAAGGAUGUUACCUCUGAACUCUCUUUCUAAUGAACGGAUGAAGGUCAAGAGAGUAGCUUGGAAUCAAGAGCUUAAGAGUCUCCCCAAGGAGAGGCAAACCCAUUGAACCUGGAGGCAAAACUCCAUUGCAUCUGGGUUUUCUCCACUUGUAGACCCAACGAACAUAGUACAAUAAAGUCGCUACCGCAAGGCACAAUGGAACGACCCACAUUUUUCUCUUCAAGUUUGCGAUUCUUCCAAUCCUGCAAAGAGACCAUAUUUAUAGAUGUCCAACAUGUGCAUGAACCGUCGCACCCCAAAAGGGGAUGACACGACCAUUAUUCUACCCAAAGGAUGAAAUCUCUAACCAUCCAAAUCUAACUUCCAAAAGUCUGUUGAUAUCACUAUCGCUCUAUUGGUUGCUAACCAAAAGACCUGAAAAUAUUGGGAGUGAGAGGAGUGAGCAACCACAGCUCAGUAAAUAAUACGUCUCUUAUAAAUAAAUCGAGCAACUUAUCAAAACCUCAUAAUCCAAACUCAAAGUAUACGAUACAUGGUGAAUCGCAUAUAAGUUGUUUCAUUUAAAAAAAAAAUUACAUAAAUCAGAAAUACUCAUUUAAAUUCAUCAUCAAAAUUCAGAUAUUAAUGAUCAAUUCCAUUAGUUAAUCUUUAUAAUUAAAAAAAAAAAUGUCAAUAGUCCAUUCUAUUGUCCAACUCGUACAACAUUACUUCUCAAGGUCCUAGAGGUGGCUCUCACCAGGCUCACGACAUUAUAUAGUAUUUAGCCCUUGAAUAGUACAAGGCCUUGGAGGUGGCUUCCACAAAAUUCCUAUCACCGUAUAGCACCUAGCCCUUGACUAACACAUAUCAAUGGUACAAGAUCUAAAGGUAACUCUCACGAAGUUAUGUGAAUUUUGUCCCAUAGUCACAUGCGAGUCACACGUGCUCGUAAGCAUGCGAAGAUUUGGCCGGCCAAGACCUGAGGGUGGUUUGAGAUUAAAGUUACCCAUUUCCAGCAGUGAUGUAAGACUCCACGCCUAAAGUUUAUCUAAUAAUGGAUCUACUCUAAUGACUCUUUUGAAAAAAUAGGGCCUAUUUGAAAAUUUCCCAAACAUAGAACACGCGAUUCCUAUCUUGCUUAUGCAUUUGAACAGAUUAUCUUUUAGCGUGACACCAUACUAUUACAAUUUUAUACACACAUCUGAAACCAAAGCCAAGCUAAUUGAGUUUUUCAGUGCCAAUUCACUUUGGUUUGCUUUCGUUCCCUAUAUAAGACCAAAUUAAUAUAGACUAUAUUUCAUCAACUCAUGCACUGUACUCACAACUACAAAAGAAAAUUGGAGGAAGAGACAUUUGUUUCGCAAAAAAUGAGUGAUUUUGAAUAUAUUUUUCUGAAAAUAAUCAUUUGUAGCACUGACCAAAAUAAAUAAAUAAAUAAUAUUUUCAUUGUUCACGAAAAUAUUUAGACAUAAAUUGUUGUCUACAACGAAAAUAUUUUUCAUUUAUUAAUUAUUUUGAACAAUAUAAGUUAUCCUUUUUAAAAAAUAUUUUCCAAACCGUUCAUUUUUCGCAAAACAAACGGACCCUUUAAUGAUUUUUGCUUUGGGCCGCGUUUGGAAUCUAGAUGGACGGUAACCCAAAAAACCGAACCAAGCUACUCAUACUUAAAAAAUACCAUUAAUCUUAAGCAAUUCACCACUUCUAUAGGCAAUUAUCUUUUGUUUUUGUAUUAUGUCCUUUAUUUGGAUACUUAAAAGAAUGACAUCAAUUGAGUUUCAGAUUCCCAGUCACUUCUUCAAGCCGGCUUUAGCACUUCCUCUCAAAAAGCAAACGGGUUAGCAACAACGUCAUACAUCACGUCAUACAUUUCAAACCCACCCGCUGUGAUCCCAACCUCCCCCAAUAUAAGCUCAUUUGAACGCAUGAUAGGACUAUUGAAAUCCAAAAGACAAAUGGAAGACUGAUGUGGAAACGGCAUACGGCUCCUAUUACAAUUGUUUUUAAAAAACAUAUGGGUGCAAGAACCAGCGGAUCUGGUGGUACAAUGGUUCAACCAGUCUAUAUAGUUAGACCAGGUGAACUGUCCAAUUUAAGUUUAAAAAGGUAUUCUAGAAUAAAGGGUUGAUAUAUAGAAAACAAUGCACUUUUUUUAAUCACAAAUCUACACAAAGUUGCAUUGGUGAUGUGCACCUUUAUAUAUAUAGGGUUUUUUAUUUGAGUCUCCAUCAUCACAUGUUGGCCCUUUAUUUUAUGAGAAGUCAUUUAGAUGCUUUGCUAUCAGAGGACGAAAGAGUUGGUUCUAAAAGCAAAAAAAAAGCGUGUGAGAAUUUUCAGAGGCAAGUGAUCAAAUUCUACCACCACCAAGGAGGAUUUUCCUUUUAAGAAAUCUGUAGAUUGGUUCAACCAAUGGAACUGGGUCACCUCCAUCCUUUUACUAGUUCCAAGUCCAUACAGCGUAGGGUGCUGAGCCAGACCACAAAGGCUGCGUGUGGGAACUGUUUUCCCAAGGGACUUUGGGGAUAAAGGCCUUUGGGCUAAACAUUUAGUAUUUGAUAAAAAAAAAAUUCACUUGCCUUUACCAAAAGUAAGCCUUCCCAAGGCUGAAAGCCUAAGGUAGGUUGGGGGCUGCCUUGGGCUUUCUCGGCAUGCUACCUUUGAAGUUACUAAAAAUUUUCUUUCAAAAUUGUCCUCUUUAAUUUUUUGUUUUUCUAGCUUUACCCGACAACCGUUCAUCAUCUUCAUCUUCUUCUGUUCUCUCUAUUGAACACGACCAGUAUCUACGCACGGUCGUUGGCGAAGGGUAGGUGGUCCGGCAAAGGGCAGGCGAUGCAGCAAAGGACAGGUGGUUCGGCUAGGGUCCCACAACCCUCCGACGAGGGUCGCCGCAUGGAGGAUGCCGGCAACCUAGAUCACGCGCAAAUCUAGUCAUGCAGAUCUGGGUCGCGGCAACCAAAUCGCAGGCGUCGACAACCUCCGCAACGUAGUGGGUUGCGUGACGACUCAACGGGUCACGCGACGGCUAUGCGAGGGUCGCCGCAACCCUUGCCAUGCCAUGUCCUCCGCAUGGUGACCCUAGCCAAAUGCUACCCUUCACCGCACCGCCUCCCCCUCAUUGGACCACCUACCCUUCGCCAGCAACUAUUAGCUCUUAACCGACAGUAACUAACAAAGCCCUUGGGUAGCCAACUCCCCUUUUUUUUUCCUUUUUUUUUUUAAUAACAAAAGUCUUUCGCAAAUUUAAUUUAUCCAAAUACUAUUUUGCUCAAAAAUACUUCACAAUGGACUUUUGCAAAUACGAUUUACCAAACAUAAUUUGCAUUUUGAAAAACUCAUUUAACUCAAUGGCAUUUACAUUUUCUCAAGGAGUUUCCCUAAAAGCCUUUCCAAACAUGCCCAAAGUCACUGCCACAACACAUAAAGAAACAACCCUCAUAUAUAUAUAUAUAUAUGUAUGUAUGGAUGCCCAUCUUUAAAUGGAUGCCCAACAUGCGUAUGAACGAUGAAUCAAACACCCACUCGUGAGAGCGUACUUCUGUUUUGACCGUUUGACCUACUGCACCCACAUCCGAAAUUCCCCCAUUGAAUUUCUCUUGGUUCACAGCUCAAAAAAAAAAAAAAAAUCUCUUGGUUCAGCAAAAGCGAUGCCUUGUACUACUAAAACCUCAACUUCCAAAUGAGCAUUGGACUUUUCGGCUGCGCAUGGUAACAUUUCUUGGCCGAGAAACAAUUUUUUUUUAGAAAUAGUUUUUUUCUAUUUCUAUUCUGGGGAACAAUUUCGAUGUAAAAAAACCUGUUUGGUAACUACACAAAAUUUUUACUCUAGAAAUAGAAAAAGACUAGAAAUGCGUUUGGUAAAAAAUAGUUUCUUUUUUAUAUUUAUUUAUUUUUUAUUUUUUGCCGAUAGAGGCGGCCUAGCGGCCGCAGGAGGUGGCGGCCGAUGGGCCGUGCAAUGGCGAUUGGCGGCGACGUGCAACGGCGGCGGCAGUCGGGCCUCCGGCGACCAGUGGCGGCGGGCCACAACGAGCGGCGGUCGAGGGCGAUCAAUGGUGGUCAGCAAGAGAAGAAUAAAAGAAAAAAAAAUUCACUUAUUUCUUAAACUUAUUCCCGAGAACAAGAAGCAACUUUUUUUUUUUACUUCUCAUUUCUAUUCCAAAACCAUUAUCGGGCUAACUUUUUGUUCCCGUGAACAAAAAACUAACUUGCCGUUAUCAAACAGGUUUCUAUUCUUUUUUUGUUCUGGGGAAGAGAAGAAUAGAAAUUGUUGGGCUGGGGAAGUUUACCAUGCGCACCCUUCUUGUUCCUAAUUUUUUUACUUAAAUAGCAAGCUUUACACCAAAAAAGUAAUUUGCAUUUAACAUCGCAGGCGUUCCAAAAUGGCGUUUGUGUGAGCAUAAGAUGUAGCACUAAGUAGUUGGAAUUAUAAAAUAUUGCCUAAAAAGUAAAUACCAAUGGACAAUUUUUUGGGAUUAUUGUCUGUCAAAAAUUAUUUUGAAACAAACUAAAUUUGAGAGAUAUAUGUAAUUGAUUUAUAUUUAUAACUAUUCCUCAAUUGAAAUACCAAAUAAAAUACCAAAUGGAGUUAUCGCCCGCUUCCGAAGUAUAUUGUAGAAUUUAACUUUUUGCAUUCCUGUGCCAUUUUAUAUAUAAUAACAGUUACAGUCCGGCCCAAAAAACAAACAAGAAACAUUUAAGUCCUCGUUACUUGGCAUUCCAGACCUUCCAUGAGCCAAGCCUUAUAUCAAAAUCAGACAAAUAAUUUUGUUUUUCUCCUGUUUCAAAGAGGGAGUUCGUUUGGCAGCGGCAGCAGCAACAAAUAAUCAGCAUCUUUAAAGACAAUUUUCCAACUGCGAUUAUGAAAAUUCAAGGUCAGACUCGAAAUUCAAUGAUAAAAUUGCCCUCGUGAGAAGAUUCCAAAUUCAAGAAUGGCUGACAAGAUGCUAGGGGUGAUAAACGGUACAUCCUCAGCACUCUUGUCUGAUUAGAAAGGGAAAAUUGCAUCUUAAACCCAUGAAGUUAAACAUGACUUUUGAAGGCAAAAAAUUUGCCACAUUCAACAGAUGAUAAAGUUGUAAACCUUCGUAAGGUAUCAAAACUGGAGAAACAUGUAAAUGCUAACUCACAAGCAACGAAAGGUGUUCGAUAAGCGCAAAUCACGUGAGUACCUAAGGGACAGCAGAAUGUCUCUUUUUUCAACAAUAAAUGCCUGCAUAUCGAGUAAAACAACCUACACAGAGAAAAUGAUAUACAAGUAUCUUGAGAAGCACACGGAAGCAGAACUCUGGGAUUGCUCAAGAAGGUAUUUUGUGCCCACCCACUCAUUCCUGGAUGAGUUUCAUGCAGAAGAUACGCCGUAAAUCUGCUUGUCCAGUUGCCAAUCUUUCAUAUACAUUUUUUGCCUUUGUUUCUGUCAUCGCAGUCAUCAGACAUCUAAGGUUGCAUCAAGGGAGAUCCACCACCAAGAUGUUGACACUUUAACUGAGCGACACCUGGAAACAUAUAGGAUACAAUGUCUGAGUGAAACUGCCAGGAGAAAAUGCAUUUUGGCUUUCAUUUCAGCACGAAGGGACUAAUAGAAGUUCUAGAUCCGAAAAUUAUCCUGAUGUUCAUAAGGCAAAUGUGGAACAAACAUGAGAUCAACCCCCGGCCCCAAAAAAAAAUAAAAAAAUAAAUAAAAAUAAAGGAGAAAAGAUAUGGAUAAUGACCAAACCUGUAUCAAUGGGACCCAGAAGGAGCACCCACGCUGCCCAAUCCCAUCUUCUUUCCUAAAACCGUAAGUUGCUCAACAAAUUCCACUCCAGUGAGAAUCUCCGUUGUUCCGUAAAUUACAUGCUUGACAGGUUGCUGGCGUUUUGCAAGUUCUUGCAAGCUUCCAUACUCCACAUAGUUGCCACCACCAAUCAUGAAAACAAUAGCCUCCUUAAAUGGACCUUUCAGAUGGCUGCCACUUGUCCCAGCACCGGAUUUAGGAGCACGAGGAUCAAGCAAAAGGUAAGAGUCAAUUUCUGGAUUCGGUUUCCCCUCCAUCAAGGCCUCCACAGUUCUUGUCAUCACCAGCUGCUGGUCACUAGACAACAGAUUCUUCACUCCUGCAGUAACUGCACUUAUAGACUGCCCAUAAAGUUUCUCAGCCCAAUCAACAAUGUUGCUUCUGCUGGCAGAAUUUGCUGACGCCAAGGAAACAUUCAGUGACUUGAUCUUCUUUACAUAUUGAAAUGCAGUAGUAUCAACCUCCGAUUCCUUCAGUGCUGCUUCAACUGAUUCGACUUCCAACUGAUUAAUAGUUUCUGAGGAAAUAAGAUAGAUGAUUGCAAAUCGCAGCUUAUCCAUCUUUGUUCCUUUCCCUUUGAGCACAGCCAGCAGUUCAGCCCGAUCAACUCCUCCUCUGACCAUCAUGUCAUUCUCUUUUUUGGCAUAAGAAUCCAGAGAUCUCUCCUUGAUCUCACCCAGCAACACUGUCGCAAUGUUUGUGUGCUUAUCAAUCACCUGCUUUCUCUCUGUUAGUUCGGGCAAGGAAUUGACAGCAUUCAUCAAAUGCUUUGUGUUUCCCAUCAAAUCGGUUCCAUCAAAUUCAGCACCUCCACUUCCACCAGUUCUUUUAUUUACCUCAUCCACAUCCUUCUUAUACUUGUUCAGCUGGUUCUCAAUUUCAACUGCAACUUCAGGAAAUUCCAGUGAACCAUUGGUCACCCAAAAAGGAUCCGAACUAUCCAACUCAAAUGACUUCAUCCCGCCCUUCUCACCUUGAACAUUCAAUCUGUUAAGUCUCAACCCGAGGACAUCGUGAACAAGUGGCCUGUACCUAAAAUCAUGCUGUAUCCCUACUGACAAUUCAAAGUUCCUAUCAAAUAAACAUAAAAUUGGACGCUGAAACGAGCUAACAAAACCUCCACCCUCAGUAAAUAAAUUGUUCUUCGACAACAAGUGAUCCCUCAGCCUCUGAUCAAGAGCCAUGGCAACCAUCUCAGCAGGUCCACCACGAGGGCACCUAAUUAUGGGAACCACUGCAAGUGUGGCCAGAACACAGAACAGCCCACUAACAAUCCUCUCCACAAUCUCUUCAAUCUCCCGAUCCCCUGCCGACGGGUCAUUCAACUGAACAUAACAUGACUUCUGGGCCAAAGAAAACAAGUCAUCCUCCAAUGUCACGAACUCCAGGUACUGAUCAUGAACCUUUGAGAUCCGAUCUAAUGAAUUCGAAUUCGAAUUCAACGUCCCAGAAGCCAAAUCCUCCAAAAGCGGGCGUGGUAUCGAAGACGAGAAGUUGAGGUGGAAACUAUCAUAUAAAGAGCGAGAAGCAUCGGCGACGAUCCUCUGGAUAUUAACUUGACUCGCUUGGACGAAAUACACCGCGGGCACAUCGUGGACCGGCUUCCUGUCCUUAUCGAUGAGGAAAUAGAGGGUCACGCCGUGCUUCCUAAGAUCCUUCACGUGGAUCAAUGGGGAGAGUAUGUUUUGGCAAAACUUGUCGUAGAUCAAGAUCUUAUACACUUCCUCAUUCGCAGUCCCGGAUGGAUUCACAGGUUGGUUCAGGUUCAGCAUCCGGAUUAUACAUUCUGUGCGCGCAAAAAAAAAGAUUACGAAUCAGAUUCGCCCCAUGGCAAACGCAGAAAAAAAACAACAAGAGACCAAAUUACAAUCCAUUUCCCAGGAUUAACAAUUAAGACUCCUCGGUUCCUGCUCCAGAAUCUCUCCACAGAUCAGACCAAAACACACUGAACAAAAAACAAGAAUUCCGCCUAAUCAAAAACAUCCCCGGCCCUCACUUUAACAAACGAAAACAGGCAAAGCACGUGCAGCAGAACUUAGCGAAUCAGAUUCAGCGAAAUGAGUGCUGCCACAUCACACCGAUCUGCCUAGGAAGAAUGACCAAGAGCCCUUUUUGCUUGCUUUCUCAAUUUCACUUCCCGGUCGCUGUCGCCUAGCUCGCUCAACAAGAACAUCAAAUCACCAGAGUCUAUCGAAACCUAAUUCCACAUCACCGCAACCGUUUAACCCCAUCAGCGCAUCAGCGCUCCACCGGGUCAAUCUCAAUCCACACGCAGGGGCCCCAAAUUGCGCCCCGCAUUUCACAACCCAACACAUCAGAACGCGCCAAGAUCGAAACUUUCGGCGCCCAAAUCGGCGCCCGACAGGCACAAGCACCGCCCGCCGAGCCGGAACCCAUCAACGAAAGCGACACGCGAUCUGCCGAGGAUUAUCGGACCAAAAACAAAGCGCAAACGCAGAACAACAUAGGGAGAAAAACAGUAGGCGAACUGAAGGGUGCCCUCGCGUUCGCGAGAUCGGCGAAGAAGGAGGAGCGAGUCGGACUCACUCUCGGCGAUCGCCGCCGAAUCAAUCGAUCGGGCACAAACGCCUACCGACGGAAAAGGAGCAGAGCUCGGUCGCCGACGUACCUGUUUGCUUCUGGCGGAGGUUGAGCGCCAUGGCUGCCGGAGGCUGCGUCCAGCUCGAGCUCACGAGAUGGAGAAGAGAGAGUGGAGAUCCGCCCGCGCAGGAUCCGAUCUAGCUAUGGAAACUCCACAACGAAUCGAAGCGAGAUCGAGAGAUCACGAAGCGAGAUCGAGAGGCCGCCGGAUGGAUCUGGCGCCGAUUGCGAUCGCUUCGUCGUCGAAUCGGAAUGCUUAUGCUCGCGAUUUGCGAAGCAGCGACCUUCUGCAAUCGCAUCGAAUCGCUGCGAAUUCGAGAGUCGCCGUCUUCCCCGUCGCUGCAGGCUGCAGCAUCUCUGAUCUGCAGCUUUAAGCUUUGAAUGGGCCCGGCCCAUUGUCGAAUGGGCCUACGAGUUUCUCAGUUUGGGCUUUUCUCAUGGGUUGGGCCUAACCGAAUUUCUUUUCCGUCUUUUGAAACAGUUGCAGAAACUGUGUACAGCAAUAGCGAUUUUCAUAAUGACCGAGAGUGUCAAAUGAGCGUUAGCGACACUCUAUGAUAGUACUGUCCCCAAAACAUUUAAUGAACAUGUUGAAAUGAUGGGCAUUAUUGAACGUCAUUAAUAAUUAUAUUAUGAUUACAUUAGGUUCAUGAUUGGACCUUGGAUUGCUUUAUAAGACUUUUUACCUAGACCUGUUUAUGUCUCUAGUGAUUCACCUAGCCAUCUAGACCCACUAGAUCUGAGCUUUAAAUUGGGUAAGUCAAGACAAGCAAUUUCUUUCUAAAGUUUUGGCUCUAGUAACUAACAUUGACACAUGAAUUUUGUUAAUAAUAUCUUUAUUUGGUGUACCAGAACCAAUGAUUUUGGUAGUGACCGAACACUAGGGAAAAGAAAAAAGUUUAGAGUAAAUGUAUUAUAUAUGUACAAGUUAUAUUUUUUUAUAUCAUAAAAAAAUUUAGAGUAAAUGUGUCAUAAUGAGUAUAAAGUUCAGGAUGAAUGUAUCAUCGAUACUCAUUGUUUAGGAUCUUUUAUAGUUUUCUUCUCUUUUACUUAAGGCUAUAUUUGUUUCACAUAAUAUUUUCCAUAUUUUUUGGUGUUUGGGGAGUGAAAAAUGAAUGAUCAAAGAAAAUAUUUUCCUAUAAAAAAAAAAAAAACACCUUCUUAAAAUUGGGAAAAAUGAUGUCCAUUUCUGAAAAAAGAAAAUCAUUUUCUCCCCCGCCUCUCAUCCUCGUCUCCUCCUCCUUCCUCUCGUCUUUUCUUCAGAGCUUUUCCAUCUUUCUCCCACGAGUCUUUCUCUCGUCUAACUCUCCGGAGCUUCUUCGUCUCGUCCCUCGCCUCCGGACCUCCUCCUCCUGCGCCACCGCCGCUGCCGCCGUGUGCUUCUCUUCUAGAUAGCAAAGUAGAGAGGGCGCCCCCGCCGUUGUUUAGUCAUCCUUCACGGUCCCAAGUCAAUCAUUGGGCGAUUUGCUGAAGUUUCGUGUCCACUGAUAUCUUUGAAGUCCAAAUUGUAGAUCCAAGGCGGUUUCCACCCCCCUCGUCUCUGAGCAAUUCUCCAAUGUCGAGUGUAGUUCCGUCUUCAUUCACGUCGAAUCAGCUGUGUUUGUUGUUUAUCUCAGUUUUUCACUUGCUCUCUGGUGGGGGUUGAGUUGAACGCAUUCAACCAGAAGUAAGUUACAAAUCAUUCAGAAGUAGUCGCCUGUUGGGGCAUACUUUCUACGUCGCCACGUAGGGCAACCGCGUGAGCACUUCGGCAUUUUCAUGAUGAGACGAAUGAUGAACAUGCAAAUCUUUCUCCGCAACUUAAAGGCGGAGUUCACUGCAUCUGGCCUAUGGAAGAUGAUUCAUGCAAUGACUUCCUCAGAUGAAAGUAAUAUGUCACGGUGAUUUCAGUUCCUGGGAUGGUGCUAGUCACCAAGCCACCUACUGAGUCAUUAACUUCAACUCCUCCCCAGGUGUUUUGAAUCUUGAGGGAAGAAGGUGAAUAUGUUCACAUUUGACAGAGCCCAGUGUAGGGUUUUCUUUUUGAAAAGAAAUGUUCGACUCUUCUCUGAUCAAUGGAAACUUAACGCCCGUCGGAGCAAUGGAGUAAUGGUCCACUUGCACAGCGUGGAGUUUUCUAGUACCUUUGUGGUGCAAAGUUUGUUGAUUAUCAUUUUGGUUGGUUGGGUUAAUGUUCACUUUGUUUGCUCAUUUAUUUAUGGUCUAUGGUGGCAUAUGGUAAUUGUGAAACUUUUCAGCUAUGAAAUAUUGAAAGCAUUUGUUUGUCGUACUUAUAGGUGUUCACAUGAUUAAAGGUUGAAGUUUGUUUGUGGGUUGUGUUUGAGUUGAGUGAGAGGUGAAGAGGGUUUGAAGGCACAGGGAAGGAUUGCUAAAGUGGCUGAAACAAAAAUGAGGAGCUGCACUUUCCCAGAGCUUAGCUGCAUUUAGGUCAAAUUCAUUGGCACGAAUUGGCUCUCUUAUAGAGUGCCAGUCAUAACCGGGCAGGUAAAUUUGAAAAGCAAUUUUUGGUAGAAAUUGAUAUUUCUUAGUCGUUUCUGGCUCUUAUUGAAAAGCAGCUACUUUGUAUAAUCAUAAGCAAAUAUUUGUAGAAAUUGAUGUUUGCUGGUUCAUGAGUUUAGUUCCACCUUCGUGUAUGCUUUGCUUACAUCUUUGAACCUGACCACCCAUUUCUUGAGUGCAUAAUGUUUCUCAAGUUUGUGAAUUGAUGAUUCGCAAAUAUUCCCAAAUGCUGCUCUAAAUUGAUAACUCUUAAACAUGGCAGCUAGAGUUUGUGAAACAAUCUUCUCAGUUUUGAGUAUAGUUGUGACUUGGCAAUCAUGUUUCUAUCAACGUGUGUUAGAAUUUAAUAGGAAAAUGGAACUUGCAAUUCAUUGUGCAGAUGGAUAAUGAUAAAAUCCAAGUGGCAGUAGUGGGUGCCGCUGAUGCAGCAAUCAUGAUUGUUAUCACACUAGUCAUGGAUGAUUAUAAUCAUUUUGAGAUGGUCAUAAAGCUGAGAAAAACGAAAUCUAUUAAUAUGUGACGGUAAGUUUUUUCAUCACUUGUCAUGGGCCAUGUAAAUGUAAUUCUUUUUGUCUUCUUGUUUUAUUUUUUUCUAGUGAAGGCAAAAGAUUUCUAGUUCUUUUCCUUUCGUUUAUAGCUCAGAGUGAGAAGUUCCUGCAAUUUUAGUUGAAUGCUACGGCACCGCGAUUGUUACUGCUUGUAUCUCUAGUUGGAAUAAUCCCAUUAAUAGUUUCCUUUAUUCAAUCUGCAGUUUCAUAGUAUUGUUUGGAUGCCUUGUUCUAUUGGAAUUUUACUAUAAAUAAGGCGUGGGGGGGGGGGUAAAAAUCGGAUCUUCACCUACUAAAGUGCCAGCAUAAGCUAGUUUGGUUCGAUUCAGACAUACCAAUACAGAGUCUUAUAAGCUGGCUUGUUAUUUCAAAUAUGCUGCCUACUAGAUUGAUUGAAGGAGGGGAAUCCUAGGAAGGGAAUCCUUUUUUUAAUGAUGUUUGCCUUCUCUGUGGAUCUUUCCCUGAAUGUAGUAGGGGUCACUUGUUUUCCGUAUGUGAUAUUUCUUUUGAAGUCUGGAGCAUGGUCUGUAGUUGUUGUGGUAUUCAAAGAAUUAGGCAGAGUUGGCUUGAAGAGUGGCAGUGGAUUUGGGUUAGUUGGAAGCGGAAAGCUAUAGCUAAUGUUCCUUGUAAGAUUUCAGGUGUCCUGUUAUUUAUCACAUCCAAUAUAUGAGGAAUACGAGGUUUCAUGGUGAUAAUUUUCUUGUUUCUAGUAGUGGUUUUAUGUUCAAAAUUUGAAGAUCUUGCCCUUUUCGUUUCGACUGAGUUAUCAUAGAUAAUUUGCAUUGACAGGUUCAUCCUUCACAUGAAAAGAGGUCUCAUAAAAGACAAAGAUGUGCUGACAAUAAUGAUAAAUAUGCAACACUUCCAAAACAACUUGGAGAAAUAGCAUCAACAAUUAAGUCGUUGGGUCAAGUCAAUGUCGAUUACUCCAAACUCUACGACAUGGUGAUGAAAGUGGAUGGAUACAACAUGGUGAUGAAAGUGGAUGGAUAUGAUGAAAUUACCCUUCAUCGAUUUUUGACUAUCUAGUUGAGAAUGACAAAAUGGGAAAGGCAUCCAUGGUGAAAAGAGCAAAUCUUCAAAAGGUGUGGAUUGAGAAAUUCCUAAGCAAAGGAGAAUGAGCUUUCAUGUCAGAAGACUUAUAUGUGUUCUAUCUUUUUAUUUUGAAAUUGUUGGUAUUGUGAGACUAUUUUUAUAGCAUGGAUAUUUUUGGGCAUGUAUUUUUGGGAAUUUUAGGGGGCAAUGUCUAUGCAUCAAAUACAUGAAUAGGAAGGAAUGUCUUGUAUAUAUCCACAAAAUGAGAAUGUGUUGUGUCUACUUCUUCCUUCCGUUCUCUGUCGUUUUGAACACUUUUACUUGUUUCAUGUUUGUCAUGGCCAACCUUUCUCCUAUGGCGGAUGGAAGAUCUCUCAUACACUUGUCCAAUUUGUCUAUAUGUUUAGGUGAAGGGAUGAAUUUUAACGUCUGUGCAUAUCAAUUUAUUCACAGACCAACUUUCUUAUGAUUAAAUGGGGUUUGAAUAAAUGAAAUUUGACAACUUUCUAUGAAAAAGUUGUUUAGUGUUGCUGGCUCACGACCUUGAUAAUGUUUUGCGCUAUGGCUUAAUGAACCUCAGGCCAGGGUGCAUGGAGGCACGGGCGCGGAGUUUGGCGCUUGGCCUCGAUGGACCUGGGCCCGAGCUUGAACUGUAGACCUGGAUCCAUAGAGGUUGGGCUCAAGACCCUUAUGUCCAUGCCCCGUCCUCUGGCCAUCUAUCCAUCCAAGAAAAAAAAAAGUAUUUUCCUUUCUAAACAAUGGAAAUUUUUUUCUUUCAUUUUCAUAUUUCAAUCGAACAUCGAAAAAUAUGGUCAUUUCACUAGAAAUUGACUUUCAGAUGAUUAUUUUCAGAAAUGUCACAUUUUCAAGGAAACAAAAUGGAGCCUAAGAUGGCAGUACUUAGUCACAUAUGAGAUGGCUUCAUCACACAAGGUAUUACUCGUGAUUGAGCACGGGUCUCCUAAUUGCACCGAAGUUUCCUUAGAUUGUGAAGAACUCACAACACACGAAGACGGCAACGACUACAACUCUACAACGAAUGUCUGAAAGUGCUCUCGGUCAAUUGGUUAACUAAAUAAAGACCUGCUUUAUUAGAUUAUUUGAACAUUCUUUUGUCGUUUGUCCCACGGGUUCGGAAAGGCGCGCCAUUUUUAUUAAAUUACGUGUGAAACAAGGAAAGUCUCAACAAUGAGUUCGUAGGCAUGGACAUCUCAUGGACUUAGGUUGUGUGAAGAAUUGGUACAUGUUUCCUUAGCGGAUUCAAAAUUGCGUACGUCCACUUAGUCAAUAAUUAAGUAGUUACCUGCAGCUGAGGGCAAAAUUCUAUUGUUCUAUGCCAAAAGUUUGAUUUCUCAUCUUGAUAAAUUUCAAUAAGUGAUGGUAAUAGGGUCAAUGAUUUUUCAAUAUGACACGACAUGACAUGUAGCUAAAUAGUUUAGGUUGAGUUUAAGUAGGUUCACACUUAUGCCAUUUAAACACAAUAAAUAUACAUAUUGUUUGUGAGUUGAACCUUUCGAUCCAUUUAUGAUAUGUCAAGACACAUUUAAUUUAUGAUAGGUCAAGACAAAUUGUUGUUGUUGUUUUUUUUUUUUUUUAAAUUGGGCUUUGGGCUCUUUCAACCCAGCUUUGACCAAACCAAUUUGGUUUUUGAUCAGGCCUAAGGACCGGGUCUAAAAACGUCAAGGCUCGUUUUGUUCGCAGACCCCUCGAGAACUUGCCUUCUGACACACGAAUUUCUCCUUGACAAAUCAGGGAGGUUCUCAUGCACUUCGAGGAGAAAGUAUAACUCACUACGGUCGCAAUUGUUGGGUGCGCGUGACUGGGGAUUCAUGCUGUUGCUGCGACCCUCGCGAUCUUCUAGUCAAAUCCAGACUUCAUCCAAAAUGCGUUCGAAAAUUGACUCUAAUGAAAAUUUUAUAGGAUCACUAUAGGAUGGUAUAAAAUUUAAAUUAGUAGAUAAAUGCACGAUUUAAUAUUUGAUUUAUCCAAUUUUAGCAUCCAGCACAAAAUGGGAUCGACAUCCCUUCACUUUAACAUUUCACAAAGAUAAGUGAUUUAUUAUUGGAAUAAGGAUACUGGGAAUUCUAAACUUUGUCACAAAAGUGUAAUUGAAUUCUAAAACUUUUAAAAAGUAAAAUUAAAUUUUAAAACUUGUCAUGAAAGUGCAAUUGAGUUUUAGAACUUUCAAAAAGUGCAAGUCCUAAACCUUACCAAAUUAAUCCAAUUAAGUCCUUCCGUUAAUUGCAGUUUUUGAAAAUUUUAUGACUUGAUUGCACUUUUCAAAAAUUUUAGAACUCGAUUGCAUUUUUGUUAACAAGUUUUAAAACUCCCAUUACACUUAACCCUUUAUUAUUAGUAUCUAGUAGUGUUGUUAUGUUUGCGAGAAGAAAAUAGUGCAGUGAUUGGGUUAUUAUUAUCAGCCUACAUUAUGAAGCUCAUACUACCUUCGUGAAUCCUUGUGUUCCUUCCCCAUUCCAGAAACAUUUGAACGAGUAUAAAAGGCCAGCAGUAAGUUCUUUUUAUUUAUUUUUAUUAAUUCUUUCUAAUUCUUUGAGGUUCUGUUCAGUCACCUGGCAAUCUAAACACAGAAGAUGAGGUAUGAUGAUUUACAUGACCUUUGGAAGCUCCAGAACUCUAUAAGUUACCUAUUCAAUCGUUAGGGACCAGUUGCAAUCUCCUAUGACGCGUAUAAUUGAUUCUCAAGAAUUUGAGGUAGCCAAAAUUUAUGAGUUGCGGUUUGCAGAACUCCAAAUAAAGCCAUAAUGACAUACAGAAGCUUAAGUGUCCCAUCUUCAGGUUCGAUUGGGCCACUCCUCUACUUUCAUCGACGUUACAAUUUAUAUUGCGUAGAUUCAGAUGUUCACACCUAUCUUUUGUGUUUCAUUUGUUUGUAUGUGCUUUGCAUAUCAUGCUUGGUAUUUUUGUUUGCCAUUUAUGUAUAAUUAUAUUUAUCCAUAUGCUCUAUUGGUAAAUGAGAAUAUAGGUUUUUUUUUUGUCGGUUCUACUUUACUUAUACGCUAAUUCUCACUCUCAAACUUUUGUCAUGCCUCCUUGCAGAGCGUGGGAGUCGAAAUCCACACUUGAAAUUAAAUCGUCCUCACCCCAACCCCUCUGAGAAGGUGGGGAUUCAAACUACUCACCUCCCCCUUCCAUGUUGAAAAUGUGACAACUAGGACAAAUCUCAGUGAUUGAGUAUAUAGGGUUUCAUUUGGUAGCUAAUUGCAAAAAUUCACAGUAAAAGAACUACUCACCUCCCCCUUCCAUAUUAAAAGCAGUAACUUUGUUUCAUGGAAUGGUUCAGACAAAAUAGUGGCUAACAGGGAAUCUGUUGACGAGAGAAUAGAUGUGAUUUGGAAAGUUUAGGUCGUUUCCUUUUCUUUUUUUGACUGAUUUUGACAUGUUUGUUCUUUCUAGAAUUAAAUAAUGCGGCUCGGUUUAAUGGGGUAGUUGUUGCAUGGGAACCAAAGCAAGUUAUCUUGUCUAACAAGCAGAGCUAGGGGGACUCACAUUUUAAGGGGAUGGGUUUGAAAAUUUGCUUUCAUCUUUAAAAGAAAGCGGAAAGGACACGAUUCGAAUGUCACCCAUCAUUAUGCAAUUAUACAAUGAAUAAGUAAGGAAAUUCCCAUACAUUGAAUUCUCGUUAAAGGAUACAUGUGUAUAAAAAUACAUUGAAGAAGGAAAGAGACUGUUAUUAGAAUUUUUUUUUUAAUUAGGAAAAGAAUUAGAACAAUUGGGGAAGAUUUCAUUAAUCCUAAAUUUGGAAUCUUGAUAAAUUGAUGCAAUAUCUGUUUUUUGAGCUGGUAUAAUCCAUUAUAAUAUAUAAGGUAAAGAGAACCUCCUACUUUUAGGGGAACUUAAUCUCUUUGUUUUUUCAUCCUAAAAUAUCAUUAAUUACUUAUAUUGUACAAAUGUUGACUCCAUGAUUAGAUCCGUAAGUGAAUAAUCCUAUGUAAUCUCUCAUAUGACAUUCAAAUUUGAAUCUUUUCUGUCUAACAACAACCUCACUAAAAACAUUCUAAAUCUUGAAAUAUGUAUGUUUCUUUGUAUAUUUUGCAUGUCUAAACAAUAAUUUCUUUCCAUUAUAAUAAUUCAAAUAUUUAGUAACAAAAUGGUUUUACUUAAUCUUUAGAUUUUAAUUUUUCGCAUACACGUAAAGUGUUUGUUAUCGAUAGUUGUUCUGGUUUUUUCUAUAUAUAUAAAGAAAAACAAUUAUUGGCCGAAUGUAAUGCUAUUGGUUGCUCUCUUUUGGUCCAUAGAGAAUCCAAUCAUUCCUGUGACUGGAUGCGCGAUGAAGAUUGGGCAGUCACUUAAAUAAAUAAUGUCGUAAUCUCUCAAUAUGAUGAUUAUAUUUGUUGGGUAGUUUUGCCGCUUUCAGUACCUUAAAAGAUCAAAGAAACUCUUCUUUCAUUACAUUUAUAUUGAGAUCCUCCAUUUGUAACAAUUUUAAUACGAUCGACAGAAAGAGUGCUUCUUAGAAAAUAGAUUGAAAGGAUUAAUGAAAAGUUAAGCCAAUUGCAGAAACUUUUAUUCUUAACGGGGGCAAGCUGAUAUAAAGAACUUGAAUGGUAAAAUUAGAAACUCACGGAGAAUCUAAACGAAUAUUUACCAUUUUUAAUGUUGUCAGAAGGAUAUUGGCCACAAAUGAUGACCUAAAGCUCACGGUCAAUGCAUUUUCUUGACCCAUUUAAAAGUUGGGUCUAUUUUUGUCCAAACAGUAAAGUUCAUGUUUUUUUUUAAGAGAUUGACCCAACAUGAAACUCUAUAUUGUUUGCCAAGAAUACAAUGGGUAUAUCUACUUAAAGCCAUACCUUUUAUAUUUGAGAUGAGUUCCUUCUUUUUAAAAUUUGGAGGCCUCUCUCACUCAUAUCGCCAAAUCCCAUAUGCCAUUCAUCAAGUGUUGCUUCUUCAUACUUCACCUAGGAAUUUUGACACCUAGGUAGCUUUUGGCAGCUAGGAUAGCCAAGAUAAGAUUCAGGAGAUGAUAAAAUUUAUUAUAUCAUGCAUUUGGUACCUACUUAAAAUAGGAUAAAUUCGGAUAUUAGGAGAAUGUAGACCGGAUGGGAAGGUGGAAUAAAGGUGGAUAGGAUUUUUAAUAUCUAUAUUACGAAAAUUACUUUUGUUGAAUAAUAAACUUCUUAAAUUAACAAAAUUAAAAUUAUUUGACCAAAAAAAUUAAAAAAAAUUAAAAAUGUAUUUCAAUAUAUAAAUAAUAUUUGAAUUCUAAUAUAAUAAAUUCAAAAAAAUAAUUAUUUUAAUUUAAUCAUAUUUUUAUCUAUAUAUUCGAAUUUAAUUCUAUUUUAGAAUGUAGAUUCAAUAUACUUAUUACAUAUUUUAGGUAUUUUAGUAUUUUUGAUAUAUUAGUGUAGCUUACUAUUUAAUAAAAUUUUAUUAGAGAGUGAUGGAAGGGGAAGAAAUAAAUAACAAAGUAGUCAAUUAAAAAUAGAGCUGAAAAUUAAAUUAAAAGAAGUAAAUAGAAAUAAAGUAGGCAAAAGUGUCGCCAGAGACUUUUACCAUCUUUGUUUGCAAAUUUUUUGGUUCAUUUAUACUAAUGUACUAUUUAUAUUAAAUAAUGUAUAAAAAUAUAUUUCAAUAUAUAAAUAAUAUUUGAAUUCUAAUAUAAUAAAUUCAAAAAAAUAAUUAUUUUAAUUUAACCAUAUUUUUAUCUAUAUAUUCGAAUUUAAUUCUAUUUUAGAAUGUAGAUUCAAUAUAUUUAUUACAUAUUUUAGAUAUUUUAGUAUUUUUGAUAUAUUAGUGUAGCUUACUAUUUAAUAAAAUUUUAUUAGAGAGUGAUGGAAGGGGAAGAAAUAAAUAACAAAGUAAUCAAUUAAAAAUAGAGCCAAAAAUUAAAUUAAAAGAAGUAAAUAGAAAUAAAGUAGGCAAAAGUGUCGCCAUAGACUUUUACCAUCUUCGUUUGCAAAUUUUUUGGUUCAUUUAUACUAAUGUACUGUUUAUAUUAAAUAAUGUAUAUGAUAUUAUAAAAAUAUAUCUAAUUACAAUCACCAAACAGUGGACAUGAUAUAGUAAAAUCCAUGGUUUUUAUAUUCUAUCAUAUUCAGUUCUAUCAUAAUUAGAAAUCUGAACCACCAAACAUAGCCCUAGUGCCCACCAAACCAAGUUCUUGAUGCCACUUGUUACAAAGCAAAAGAGUCGUUUAUGAGAGUAGGAUGUCCAAUGAUUAAACAAAAAAAAAAAAAAUGCCACGUUGGAAAAAGUAUACCAUGUCGAGAUUAGGUGCAAUCAAUGAAAUAAGCAUUCCAUCAAUGACUUUUUCCAUAAUUAAGGAUGCCAAAAUGGCGCCUAUCUUUUACCUUUUCUUUUAGUUGCUUUCGUUGUCUCUGUUUUGCAAAGAAAUUUCCCAAAGCUCUUUCUUGGUGUCGCCUUUAGAUUCCGUUGUGCAUUAGAAACAUCCAUAGCUAUCAUAAGCUUAUUGGCUAGUGCUGUUGGUUAGUAAAGUCUUAGUAAAUUAAGGAAUGUCUGAAUUAAGAAGAUUGUAGUCUAUUGGCUUAUAUAGUCAAUAGUAGAGAAUAGUAACAUAUUAUGCACUAGAAAGAUGACAUAAAUAUUUUUAAAAUUUUAAUUCAAUGUAUAAUGUCGUCCCUUAAUUUUUAAUAUAUUCAAUAUGAUCUAUGAACUUUUGGUAUAUAUUUACUUUAGCCCAUAGAUUAUAUGAAAAUGUUCAAUAUUACUCAACUUGAAUUGAUGAAACAGUAACAACAUUGGAUGUUUUCAUAUAACUUAGGGACUAGUUUGAACAAUUACAAAAAAUUCAGGAAUCACACUAAUCAAAUUAAAAAUUUAAGGAUGAUAUUGCACAUGCAGCUAAAAUUCAGGGACCACAUUAAAAGUUUAGGGAUAACUUUGCACAUCGACUCAAAGUUCAUGAACCAUUUUAUGUAAUUAUCCAUAAUUAGAUAGACGUACCCUUUUAUUGGUAAGCGCAUGCUCCCUAUCAUCUCCUCACCUUUUUAAGUUACAGAUAUGUGUUAAUAUUAAGUCAAAAUGGUUUAGCUUUGAGGUGGAUUCGGCCAAAAGAAAAAGGAAGAAUAGUUGGGAGAAAGAAAUUAAUUUACCCACUUUUCAAAACAAGCAUGCACUCGGUGAAAUUAUUUAGUUGUCCUUACGGAGUAAUGACCAACUUCACGCUUGCACUAUAUGUCAGAAAAUCCAAAAUGCUUUCAAUCUAUGUCUAGCUAAAAAGCUGGAUAGAAUAAGAUCAGUCAACUAUUUAUAUAUAUAUAUAUUAAUUAAAAAUCAUAAGUAAUUUCUUAAUUUCCUAAAAAGAUAAAAUCGAAAAUAUUAUCUCUUUCAUUCGUAACUCGAGAGUUUAUUUUCCACCUAUAUGCAGAAACAUCAUUGAUCUACUUGAAAUCGGUAAAGCACAUAAAUUAAAAUUUAAUUAUGUGGUGACUAACUAAAUUAAAACAAAUAAGAAACUGGAAAUCCCACAAUUUGAAAUAUCAUGUAAUAUGUUCUAAUUUUCAAUAAACAAUUAUCCUUGCGAAGAAAACUUAUAAAAAAAAAUGCCUUAUUUUGUCUAAUUUAGUAUUUGAAUUAUCAUAGUCUCAUAGGUAGCCCCAUAUUAAGUAUACAUCCUAAGAAUUACAUACAUUAUCAUAUACCUAGGCAGAAGACAUGACAACAAACAAAAGUAUAUAUUCCUACCUUCGUGAAUUCACCACAUUUGGAUGUAUGAACUAUUAGGAUCAGUGAUUCCUCAACCAUAUAUUAUUCACGUAUCACUCCAUGAACCAAUACACAAUCACCCCUUUUAGGAGUAUGAUUACGCAUUAGAAGAUCUUACUAAAAUAUGAGACCGAUAUUUCUCAAACCAAUUAAAUCAUUGAAACUCUCUCAUACUAAGGAUAUAAACUUUAUGCUCACAUUUACCAUAUACAUGUAUUUUUAGACUAAAUGACGGGGGUAAUUUGUCUCUAAAAUGACAUGUCAUACUAAUUACAUUGUUCCAUCCACUCAUACAUAUUAAAUUUUAUAUAUGCAAUCAAUGAAUCAUGCUCUACACAUUAUCUAUGUGAUGAUACAUGUGAGCUUCUAAUCGUAUUUUCGAAACAAUAAAAAAUACAGGAAAAUACACAAAAAUACCCUAAAAAAUACAUGUAUUGUGGGUUUUAUAUGCAAUUUCACAUCUUUAAAAGCAUCAAACACGUAAAAUUAAUAUACCACAAUGUGGAGAAUCUCAAUACAAGAACGAAAGUACCAAAAACACUCCAAUCACGGCUCAGACGCGCUCGUACAUGCCAUCGGAAUGCGCAGUGCAUGUAAUGCAUGCACAACAUGCUCGAACCAACUUAACCUCCCCAAUCCAACUGGUUUGACCGUUCAACCGGUCAACUACACCGAUCCGCCCAGUCAACGUCAAGUCCGGUACAAUCAACGAACAACUAAGUCGGUUUGGAUCCUAGGUUUGGGCCGGGUCGAACCACGUCCCAACUUCGUUGACAUAAGCCCUAGCGAGAGCCCGCCUGAGGACGUGCAACGCACGCACUGCUACAAUGCACGCAUGGCCAUGCAUGGAAGCAUGUACAACGUCCCCUAGUGUCUUGCGACCCCUCAAAAUGCUUGUCUCAACGAGCUGUUUCCAUUUAUAUGAUCAAAAUUGAUUUUUACCGCACAAAGAAUCAUGAAAAAUGCUCGAAUCCAUAUGUUCAAGUUCUAGAUUAUGGUUGUUUUGAUGACACAUGUAAGUUCCAAAAACGCACUCAAGAUUUUCAUAACUAGAAUCAAGAACGCAUAUAAAUAAGUAAAAAGAUUUGUGCGCUUGAUUUAAAAUCCAUAAUUCUUGAUGCGAAACAGCAAUGAUUCAAAGCUCAAGUGCUUCUCCUCUAUUGUCCUCUAUAUCAUUGGCUCAAUGUGACUACCCUCACACUUAGUGUUCCAUAAAUGCUUCUUAUAUGAGGAUAUUUGUGUGUUAGGAUUAGAUGAGAGACCUGAUCACAAUUUAUAGAGUUUUUAGUUAGACCCUCUCAUCCCAGGCUAAGCUUAACUUGGCCUACAUUAACCAGCUCAAUAUUAGACUAAUUAAGAAUAUCUCACUCUAUUAGAUUAAUCAUGUAAAACAGUAAAUUACAGUAUCAAUUAAUGUAGUACAUAUCAGAAUCUGACAAUUCAUUCUUAUAUUGUUAUAAUGAAUGACCCCAAAAUGUUUAUCGGUAGAAAUAAUCAAUUUUCCCGGAAGCAUACUUAUAGAGAAGCAAUCUUAUGUGCUUUUUAUUUAGACUUUUCUCAUGUUUGACCUCUUCGUACGCUGCAAAAAGGAAAAAGGAAAAGUUUAGAUGUGCAUGAUAUCUAAAGGCUGGGGAUCUUUAAUUCAGAUCGAUACUCGAUCAUAAUAUCCUAGUUCCAUGACUCUGAAAGCUUUACGCUAACACCAUCUUUAAAACAUAGUACGGGAUUGCGGUAGACAUCGCCUAUCCUGAUUUCCGUCCACCUGUAAACAAGUAGACAGAAAAUAAGAUCAUGAGUCAACUGCCACUAGAUCUCGGCCACAUUUUCUUGCCAGAGACAACCAAUAUAUUUGGAAAAGGAUUGAGAAUUUGUCUACCUAAAUUUUGUGACCAACACAUGAAGAAAUGCACAUAAGAAGACUCGAGUGUAUUCUGCACCCACACAUUGUCUCAUUCCUCCACCAAAAGGCGUGAAGUUCUGCGAUAUUGUGCUUGAAUCUAGAUCCUGAUAUGCAAUGGACAUCAAGAUAUGCCAAGAAGACGGAAAAAAUUCAGUCCAUGAAGAUUUAUUGAAGAGAAAGAUCAAGAAAUAUCUGCUAGCUUUUCAAGUCUCGCACCUUCCAGCGCCAAGGGUUAAAUUCAAGAGGAUUCUCAAACACAUUGUGAUUGGUAUGAAGAGCGGUCGUGACUACCAUGAUCGACCACCCUUUUGGGAUCGUAAAUCCUGCAAGUGCAUAGUUUGUGAGAGUAUAUUGCUAGUUAGAGUUUCAAAAGUGCGAACAUCCAUCGGGACCACUCACCUUUCACUGGGAUAUCUCGUAAUGCUCUGCGGAGUACCCCUGGAACAGUAUUGGCCAGCCUGAGUGUUUCAUUUAUUACCUGAAGUGUUUUUUUUUUUUCAAUGAGUACUUUUACAUGUUGGAACAUGAUUGCAUGGAAGGCGUAAUUAUAAAUAAUCUUGUGAAGGGAUUCUGCAUCACCUGCAUCGUGAAAGUCAUCGACUUGUAUUCAUCCCAACAAAGUGCAGUACUUUGAUGCUCUCUCUUUUCAAGGAUCAGUUUGUGCUCGGCCUACGAUGUCAUCGUUGCCAUUAUUGAACAAUUUUUCACAACAGGGCAAGUUCAUACGCGUUAAGUAAAUCCUCUCACCCUUAAUUCUGCUAGGACUGCUGGGGUCUCAGACAGUAGCUUGAAGAUCAUAGCCAGCAUUGACGAAAUAGACUAAGAACUUACGAAGGUACCCGCAAACAUCAACUGAACUAUGAAAUCCUCUGUCAGGAACUCCUGAUCGUGCAUGCUGUCAAUUGCCUGAUCAAGAAAAUCCACAUUGCUUGUUUUCCCUGAAUUGAGUCUCUCCUUCAGGAUACCUUUGAGCAUAUCUAUCAAUUUCUUGUGCUCCUGGAGUGAAACGAUGAAUUGUCGAAAAGAUUAAGAUUCAUGUAUUUGGCUCAAAAUAUUUUUUGUUUCCAAGGUUUGCCUUAAACUAAUUUUCUACUUCAUAGCCCAUGCUUUCCUACUCCUUGAAGCCUAUUCUCUCAGUCCUCUAAGGCUAAAGAAAAAACUCAGAUAUACUAUCUUUUUGAACCAUUUAGGUGUUAAAGUUGGCACUACGUGCAUUUCCUAACUGCAGGGGAAAAUGAAAUGGCGAUUGAGAUUUUCUGCUGUCGAAAAAAAUUUAAGAAAACAUAAGAGGUGUUGCAAUUUUCAAUUACCUUUAGGCACCUACGGUAUGCAGUACCAGGGACAUUCAAGGGAAAUGCCAUGAAACCUCUUAAGAACGUGUUGCACCUCUCAUUUAUAGCGUCUGCUGAAGCCUCAUCAGCAUCAUAACUAAAAAGUUGCUUCCCCACGAAAUCGAACUUCAUCUAAAAGAUGGUUAGUUCAACAAAAUAAACUUGUAAGCUCAAUGAAAAAAUUUCAAUGCUGUAAAUUUUAAAGGAAACAUGCCCCAAACGGACAAACUAGAGUUUUACAGCAGAAGCAGCUUGUUUCACUUCGAUGCACGGUUGGCUAGACCACAUUCUUAGACAUCUCUCAACCCAUUCCUCUAUUUUCUGAAGCAGCUUUUCUCUGAGGAUGUCGGAGCCAAAGUGAUUUAGAAAGAUUCGUCUUAUGUACUUGUGAACAAGACCGACUCUGCUCAAGCGGGAUUCGCCCUCCAUUGCAAAUAUCUUGGCAAAGGUGUCAAAGUACCACAUUUCAACGAGCCUCCCUUCUUGCUGAAGGAUGUGCUUAUUAAAUUCAGGGUCUACAGAAAAAAUGAUUGGCCGACCUGCUAAACUGGUUCGGAAUAUUGGCCCAUACCUGAAAAUAGAAUACAUUGAUUAUCACGUUAAUUCUUUCGGGAAGCAAGAGAACCUUUUCCUUUGUGCCAAUCUCUAUUAAGCAAACAUCGUUUAAAGAGUUUAAGAAUGGAGACUCAAGCGCUUUCUCAUCGUUCAAGCUUCUCAAAAUCCAUUUAUUUUUUUAUAUUCAACGUUAAAAGAAGUUCGAAAGGUCGUUAUGGGUUUGGCCUCAACAUAGAAAAAUUUCAGUAGUUCAGAAACCAAAGAAUGUUACCAGUAGAAAAACUAAACUCAACCUGACAGAUUAAAAACAUAGAAUACUCGAUUUGUAACUAUAAAGUUGAACAGAUAAUCUUUUAGUGCAACACCAUACCAUUACAACUUGACGCACACGUGAUAUUCACAAUAAGGUUGAAACCCAAGCCAAUCUAAUCGGGUUUUCAAGAGUCAGCCCACACAAGACCAAAUUAAUAUGGACCCCGCAAUCUACAAAGCAUUGGGUGGAAGGAUGUUACCUCUGAACUCUCUUUCUAAUGAACGGAUGAAGGUCAAGAGAGUAGCUGGGAAUCAAGAUCUUAAGAGUCUCCCCAAGGAGAGGCAAACCCAUUGAACCCGGAGGCAAAACUCCAUUGCAUCUGGGUUUUCUCCACUUGUAGACCCAACGAACAUAGUACAAUAAAGUCGCUACCGCAAGGCACAAUGAAACGACCCACAUUUUUCUCUUCAAGUUUGCGACUCUUCUAAUCCUGCAAAGAGACCAUACUUAUAGAUGUCUGACAUGUGCAUGAACCGUCGCACCCCGAAAGGGGGGAUGACACGACUAUUAUUCUCCCCAAAGGAUGCAAUCUCUAACCAUCCAAAUUCAACUUCCAAAAGUCUGUUGAUAUCGCUCUCGCUCUAAUGGUUGCUAACCAAAAGACCUGAAAAUAUUGGGAGUGAGAGGAGUGAGCAACCACAGCUCAAUAAAUAAUGUCUCUUAUAAAUAAAUCAAGCAACUUAUUAAAACUUCCUAAUCCAAACUCAAAGUAUACGAUACAUGAUGAAUUGCAUAUAAGUUGUUUCAUUUCAAAAAAAAAUUAUAUAAAUCAGAAAUACUCAUUUAAAUUCACUAUCAAAAUUCAGAUAUCAAUGAUCAAAUCCAUUAGUUAAUCUCUAUAAAAAACAAUGUCAAUAGUCCAUUCUAUUGUCCAACUCUUACACCAUUAUUUCUCAAUGUCCUAGAGGUGGCUCUCACGAGGCUCACAACAUUAUAUAGUAUUUAGCUCUUGAGUAGUACAAGGCCUUUGAGGUGGCUUCCACAAAAUUCCUAUCACCGUAUAGCACCUAGCCCUUGAAAAACACAUAUCAAUGGUACAAGACCUAAAGGUAACUCUCACAUAUCAAUGGUACAAGACCUAAAGGUAACUCUCACGAGAUUACGUGAAUUUUGUCCCAUAGUCACAUGUGAGUCACACGUGCUUGUAAGCAUGCGAAGAUUUGGCCGGCCAAGAGCUAGGGGUGGUUUGAGAUUAAAUUUAUCCAUUUCCAGCGGUGAUGUAAGACUCCACUCCUGAAGUUUAUCUAAGAAUGGGUCUACUCUAAUGACUCUUUCGAGAAAAUAGGGCCUAUUUGAAAAUUUCCCAAACAUAGAACACGCGAUUCCUAUCUUGCUUAUGCAGUUGAACCGAUUAUGUUUUAGUGUGACACCUUACUAUUACAAUUUUAUAUACAAAUCUGAAACCCAAGCCAAGCUAAUUGAGUUUUUCAGUGCCAAUUCACUCUGGUUUGCUUUCGUUCCCCAUAUAAGACCAAAUUAAUAUAGACUAUAUUUUGUCAACUCAUGCACUCACCCGCACAACUACAAAGGAAAAUUGGAGGAAGAGAUGUUACCUCCAUUUGUUUCGUAGAAAAUGAGUGAUUUUGAAUAUAUUUUUCUAAAAAUAAUCAUUUGUAGCACUAACAAAAAUAAAUAAAAUAAAAAGAUUUUUUUUAUCAUCCACGAAAAUAUUUAGACAUAAAUUGUUGUCUACAACGAAAAUAUUUUUCUUUGAUUAAUUAUUUUGAACAAUAUAAGUUAUCAUUUUUAAGAAAAUAUUUUCUAAAUCAUUCAUUUUUUGCGAAACAAACGGAUCCUAUAAUGGGUUUUGCUCUGGGCCGAGUUUGGAAUCUAGAUGGACAGUAUCCCAAAAAACCGAACCAAACUACUCAUACUUAAAAAAAAAAAAAACCAUUAAUCUUAAGCAAUUCACCACUUCUAUCGACAAUUAUUUUUUAUUUUUGUAUUAAUAUGUAUUUUAUUUUUUUUAUUUUUUUGGUCGAAUAAUAUGUCUUUUAUUUGGAUACUUAAAAGAAUGACAUCAAUUGAGUUUCAGAUUCCCAAUAACUUCUUCAGGCCGAUUUUAGCACUUCCUCUCAAAAAGCAAAGGGGUUAGCAACAACGUCAUACAUCGCGUCAUACAUCCCAAACUCGCCCGCUGCCAUCCCAACCUACCCCAAUAUAAGCUCAUUUGAACAUAUGAUAGGACUUCCUCUCAAAAAGCAAAAGGGUUACCAACAACGUCAUACAUCACGUCAUACAUCCCAAACCCGCCCGCUGCCAUCCCAACCUCCCCUAGUAUAAGCUCAUUUGAACCUAUGAUAGGACUAUCAAAAUCCAAAAGACAAAUGGAAGACUGAUGUGGAGAAAUGGCAUACUAGUUGGGGAGUGUUUAUCUAUGAACCUUAGCUUCUAUUACAAUUGUUUUUAAAAGCAUAUUGGUGCAAGAACCAGCGCAUCUGGUGGUACAAUGGUUCAACCGGUCUAUAUAGUUAGACCAGGUGAACUGUCCAAUUUAAGUUUAAAAUGACAUUCUAGAAUAAAGGGCUGAUAUAUAGAAAACAAUGCACGUUUUUAAAUCACAAAUCUGCACAAAGCUGCAUUGGUUUUGUGCACCUUUUUUUAUAUAUAGGGUUGUUGAUUUGAGUCUCCAUCAUCACAUGUUGGCCCUAAUUUUAGAAGAAGUCAUUUAGAUGCUUUGCUAUCAGAGGACGAAAGAGUUGGUUCUAAAAGCCAAAAGAAAAAAAAAAUGUGUGAGAAUUUUCAGAGGCAAGUGAUCAAAUUCUACCACCACCAAGGAGGAUUUUCCUUUUAAGAAAUCUGCAGAUUGGUUCAACCAAUGGAACUGGGUCACCUCCAUCUUUUUACUGGUUCCAAGUCCAAACAGCGAAGGGUGCUGAGCCAUCUUUAGAUGGAUGCCCAACAUGUGUAUGAACGAUGAAACAAACACCCACUCGUGAUAGCGUACUCCACCCACAUCCGAAGUUCCCCAAUUGAAUUUCUCUUGGUUCAGCAAAAGCGAUGCCUUGCACUACUAAAACCUCAACUUCUAAUUGAGCAAUGGACUUUUCUUGUUCCUAAUUUUUUACUAAAUAUCAAGCUUUACACCAAAAAAGUAAUUUGCAUUUAACAUCGUAAGUGUUCCAAAAUGGUGUUUGCGUGAGCAUAAGAUUUAGCACUAAGUAGUUGGAAUUAUAAAUUAUUGCCUAAAAAGUAAACACGAAUGGACAAUUUUUUGGGAUUAUUGUCUGUCAAAACUUAUUUUGAAACAAACUAAAUUUGAAAUAUAUAUAUAUAUAUAUAUAUAUAUAUAAUUGAUUUAUAUUUAUAACUAUUCCUCAAUUGAAGUACCAAAUAAAAUACCAAAUGGAGUUAUCAUCACCGUUUCCGAUAUAUCUCGUAGAAUUAAACUUGUUGCAUUCCUGUGCCAUUUUAUAUGUAAUAAAAGAUACAGUCCGGCCCAAAAAACAAACAAGAAAAAUUUAAGUCCUCGUUAAUUCGCAUUGCAGACUUUCCAUGAGCCAAGCCAAAUAUCAAAAUUAGACAAAUAAUUUUGUUUUUCUCCUGUUUCAAAGAGGGAGUUCCUUUGGCAGCGGCAGCAGCAACAAAUAAUCAACAUCUUUAAAGACAAUUUUCCAACUGCGACUAUGAAAAUUCAAGGUCAGACUCGAAAUUCAAUGAUAAAAUUGCCCUCGUGACAAGAUUCCAAAUUCGAGAAUGGCUGACAAGAUGCUAAGGGUGAUAAACGUUACAUCCUCAGUACUCUUGUCUGAUUUGAAAGGGAAAAUUGCAUCUUAAACCCAUGAAGUUAAACAUGUGUUGGUCGAAAGUUAAACAUAACUUUUGAAGGAAAAAAAAUUUGCCACAUUCAACAGAUGAUGAAGUUGUAAACCUUCGUAAGGUAUCAAAACUGGAGAAACAUGUAAAGGCUAACUCACAAACUACGAAAGGUGUUCGAUAAGCGAAAAUCACGUGAGUACCUAAGGGACAGCAGAAUGUCUCUUUUUUCAACAAUAAAUGCCUGCAUAUCGAGUAAAACAACCUACACAGAGAAAAUGAUAUACAAGUAUCUUGAGAAGCACCAGGAGGCAGAACUCUGGGAUUGCUCAAGAAGGUUUUUUGUGCCCACCCACUCUUUCCUGGAUGAGUUUCAUGCAGAAGAUACGCCGUAAAUCUGCUUGUCCAGUUGCCAAUCUUUCAUAUACAUUUUUCGCCUUUGUUUCUGUCGUCGCAGUCAUCAGACAUCUAAGGUUGCAUCAAGGGAGAUCCACCAUCAAGAUGUUGACAUUUUCACUGAGCGACACCUGGAAACAUACAGGAUACAAUGUCUGAGUGAAACUGCCAGGAGAAAAUGCAUUUCGGCUUUCAUUUCAGCACGAAGGGACUAAUAAGAAAGAAAAAUGUUCAUUCACAGAACUGAUUGAACUAAGAUAAACAUUGACCGAUCUGUCC
rnacentral:lncRNA from 1 species